rnacentral:lncRNA from 1 species
UCAGUUGGUGAUCAUCCGCUUCGAGGAGCUCAGAAAUUAGAUGGUUCUUGGGCUGGUCAAUGCCAACUAAUUUAGCUUCUUCCACAAGCAGCGCAUCAUCUCUGCUAUAGCGCCAGGUUGUGUUGUUCACAGCCGAAAGUGAGUUGGACGCUUGGGCAGAGAUACCAUAUUCGGAUUGGUAUCUUUGAUGACCUUCAGAAAUACUUUUGAUUCUGGACUGGAUGCUUUGUAUUUCGCUAGCAACUCGAUGACGAGCUCUCAAAUUCUUGAUGGAGCUGAAAAUUCUCCGAACAGAGCCGUAGAAUCCUGUUGCGGGAUGCCGAGCAAAGCGAGCUACAAAUUCAUCAAGAAUGUCCUCAGUGUCAUAAGCAGCAUCUCGCACUUGCUUGAUCCAUUGUUGGAGCGUGGGUUGAGCAUCUUCUUCUUUUGCUUCUGCCUCUCGCAGGAAAGCUCUCAUUUGCUCCAACUCAUCCCUGAUGAAUUGGACCUCUCGCCGACGCCGUCCCAAUAGUCGUCCCUCCUCGCGCAGAAAAGUUGAGAGUUGACGCAGAACAAAAGAGAGAACUGUUUCUGCCAUUUUCAGUUUUUCUUUCUAACUUAAGAAUGUCGGGGAAGGCGGCUUCUGGUUUAUAGGACAGUCCACUUGUAGUAUCUUGAAAGGAAGAAGGAAAAGUAGAUUCAUAAGCUGGUGAAAUUUGAUGCUAUAGGGUGCAGUAUUUAUCAAAAAGAAAAACCGUGUCAAAAAGAAAAAGAAAGAAUUAACCAAUUAGAAGAAACUAAAGCAAGAAACAUGAUUGUGAAGGACGAAGCUGCCUUACCUGCCACAAUACAAAAUCAUGGAAGCUAUUAAGAAGAUAGUAGUAUAUGAAUUCAAUAGAGAGGCCGGCCCUGGUAUUUGUUUACUAGAUACUAAUAUUAGAGAUUGAGAGAGUAGAAGGCAAAGUAAUAGUACAAGCGGGAUAGGAGAAAAGAAGCAUGGCCGCCUGGGUUAUGGUGGUAAAUUUUAGCAGGGUUUUCUUCUUUCUUUUUUAAUUUCUUUUCUUUUUUUGGGAGGGGGGGACUAGCAAUGAAAAAGGGCAAGAGAAGCCUAGAACAGAAGGGGGAGAGAGAGAGAGAGAGAUGUUUGUAAGAGAAGGGGGCUGCUGCGCAGCAGCGGUAGUACGCGUGUGAGAGAGAGAAUUUUGUGAAUGUAUAUGGUAGAUUGGUAGUAGCAGUAGCGUAGCAGUAAAUAGUAGCAUUGAUUGAUUAGUAGUAUGAGUUUGGAGAGGGUAAAAAUCCAAAGAAAAUUGAAGAGUCAGCCUAGUGAUUGAGAGUAUAGUCAACAGUAGUCAACAGUAGCAGUAGCCUAGUGAUUGAUUAUUAAUAUAGUAAUUUUUUUUUUGUCAUUUGUUAUCGUCUACUACGCUUGCACCUACACCUAAUCCUAAUUUAAUCUAUACUAGGCAUCCACAUGGAUUCUAAGCACAGACAUAUUAAGUGAUCACUUUUGAUGAGAGGUCAAGGAUAUUAAGUACAGACAUAUUAAGUGAUUAGAAGUCUAUAAGUAAGAGACAGAGAAGACUGACUUUGUGCCACUGGUGGUGCUGCUGCUGCUGCUGCUGUACCCAUACCCAUUGGUACCAAUUGGAUGGAUUUCUGGAUAGGUUGGCUACCACCACCUUAUCACUACCCUUUUGCUUUCCACCAUUUUACCCAUUUUACCUCCUGCUAAUCAAUCCUCAUUACACUUUCUAUACCGUACGCUAUGCUACCUACUUACAGUUACAGCCCUGCCCAUAAAUAUGUAAAGAAAAGACUUUGAAAGCUUUCCAUUAAAGAAAGUUGCCAAUUUAGUGUACUGCCAGCCUUUGAAGAAGAAGAAGAAGAGCAGCAGCAACAACAACAACUACUACUACUUGUGGAGUGGAAUGCUGACAAAAUUCAACAACUGGGGAUUUGUCUCACUUUGCAGCCCAUCAUCAUCCGGAACCAUUUGUCCAUUGUUACUGCUUACGUAACUUACAACAACUACUCUUUGCCAUCAAUUCCUCUCCCAAACACCACCUUUCUCCCUCCCCAAAAUGUAUGUGGCAGUGGCACAGUGAGCAAGUAGACUACGUACUAUUGACAAAUUAGCAAUAUCAUUCAUCAAAAAGUUCAAAAUGUGUUAAAACUCAUAAUCAAACAUAACAUAACCGUGUUUAUAUUAGUAUUCUAAAGCAAUUAUUACUCCCUUUUUGUUUUUUUUUUUAAUUCAAGACUCCAAAGGAUAUGCUUAGAACAUCUAUGAUUGUUUGCACAGUGAGGUCCGUGGGUUCCUGCAGGACUGAACUGAAGAGAAGGCCCCAAAGGCAGAGGUCAAAACGGCUCCGCCGCCCUCCCUCCCUUUUUCCAAAAUAAUUAGUAGUAAUAAUAAUAUUAUGCAUUUUAAGAGGGCUUUUUACCAGAAUUCAGGUGCUACAAAAAAAAAAAAAAAAAGUGCUUGUGCAUGUCUCAUAAAGCAGUACGACCCAAAAUUAAUGUUUUAUUUUCCAAAGCCAUGCAAGAUCCCACCAAACUGUGACCCCCACUUCUUGCCUUUUCUUUUCUUUUUUUCCAACUUUUUGUUGUCAGGGUGUUUUUUUUUUUUUUUUUUGAGGCGGUUGGGGUGUGUAGGAUGGCAACUGGGGGAGGUGUCCACAGAGGGUAAAAUAAUCUGUUUUGUUUCUUGAUUUAACUAGAUUUAUGGUUUUUUUAACUUUAAGCUCUGCUCCUUCUCUUAUUUUAGAGUUCCAGUUGCCAUAUUUAUACAACUAUCUACCUCCUUGAACGCAAGUUCAUAUAGUUAAGUAGCACGGGGUUAGCUUCCAUUGUUGUUAAAUGUUUUAUUCGGAUAAGUCAUCCCAAAACAAGAAACUCUCUUCCAAAUCAAAACUUUUUUUUCGAAUGGAAAAAUAAUUUCUUUGUUCAGGGUUAAAAAGUUCUUUGACAACAGUUUGCCUGCAUGAAAAAUGAAAUUUAGACCGGAUGAGUAUCGAUAAGCUCAUGUCUAUUAUUCAGGAAGACUAUGAUCACAAAAAGAUCUAAACCCCUGUCCAGACUCCAAGCAAAGAUAUCAAAAGUUUGGCAUUUUUCUCUACACUAGUAUAGGGAUACGUGUGUUGCACAUUGCAAUUAUUUAUUUUGGUGAUAUUCGUGCCAAACAUAUUCCUAAAGUGUGGUGUCUCAAAACAAUCAAUUAAUGAAGGGAAUCCAUUGAGUAUCACUUGAAUUUUUUUAGUCUCAUUACUUGUGUAUCAACUAUUAUUUGAUAAUCCAAUAUAUCUUUUGAUUGGGAAUUGAAAAAUAAAAAGUCUUGUAAGUUUAAAAGCUGACCUAAUAUGUCUAAUAAAUUUUUAUUCGACCUAAAACUAUAUUAGUUUGGAAACUAACUUUAUUUUUCAAUUAUUGUAAAUGAUUUCAGAGGACUAAUUUUUGUAAACUUUAAUCCUAAUUACAUAAUGACAUUUGUAUCUCUGUAUCCACAUUAACAUACACAAAAGCUGUGUGAAUACAUUUUUUAUGCUCAAAUUUAUUAUCUAGACAUAGACUAAUUCGAAUAUUGAAGUUGAGAUGUUUUACUUUGUUAAUCAAUACUUGUCCAAGCAUAUUAAUAGACACGAAAAAUGAUGCUACACGACUAUGUAAGCCCUCUUUAUCUCUUUCACUCUAGUAUGCAGCUAUAUUAUUUUCGUUUUCCUCAUUUUCUUUUAAAAAAUCAUUCUUAAUUAAGAAAACUAGCAUUAUCCUACUCAUAACUUCAUAAGUCAAAAGAUCAUGCAAAGUAAAUUAAAGAUCUAGAAACUAUGCACAGGAAUCGGGUUAUAGGUCAGGAAUUAAAAUCCCACAACCUAUAGUUAAAAAAAUCUAGAUGAUGUGUCAAGGCAUCUAUAUAGUUUAGAUGAUACUGCUCAUGUAAUUCAAUUCGGUCUCUGUCAGCAUAGAAUAAUGCUGACAAGUGUUGAGUUUGUACAAUAAUAAAUAUCUAUUCAAGAAAAAAUAUAAUUUUUAUAUGUAACCGUGAGGAUUGGGGAUAAUUCAUUUCGUCUAGAGUUCAGAGUAAGGGGGAUUUUUGGAAAAUACAAAAAUAACUAAUUAACCAACUAAUAAAAUAACUAAUGGAAAUAAAUAGGAAUUAAAUCAAUAAUAAAUAUGAAUCUAGUCAAAGGUACACCCUUUCAAAUACGAUUCACACAACUGAUCAUCGAUGCAAAAAUAAUUCAAUUACUCAUUAAUAGAUUAGUUAUAGCUAUCAACAAGUUCUGACAGCCAACUUUUUCUAUCAAAUAACUAAUGGAAAAUAAAUAAUGGAAAUACAAUAAUUAAUUAAUAAAAUACAAAAAUACAAAAUACAAAAAUAACUAAUUAACCAACAAAUAAAAUAACUAAUGGAAAUAAAUAGGAAUUAAAUCAAUAAUAAAUAUGAAUCUAGUCAAAGGUACACCCUUUCAAAUACGAUUCGCACAACUGAUCAUCGAUGCAAAAAUAAUUCAAUUACUCAUUAAUAGAUUAGUUAUAGCUAUCAACAAGUUCUGACAGCCAACUUUUUCUUACUUUAUCAAUAGUCAAGGUACGACUGUUAACUAUUCCCCUAACCAAGAAACAACCCUAAAUACAACCGUAGGAUUUAAUUCCUCAGUUGCAUUAGGAAUUAAAAAAAUCCAACCCUAACCAACAAACACGCUACAAGAGUUCGUUUAAAUUAGAUCAUAUAUUUCCCUAAUAUGGAACUAAUCUCGCUAGUCGCCACUAGUAUUAAUCGAUCAAAUAACUAUGGAUUCAAUCAAUUAAUCUGGCAAUAGAUUAUUUAGGUUAAUUCAAAUAUUGGCCCCAUGACAUUCAAAUAAAACAACAAUCAUAAGAAGUUAAACUAGAAAACGUACGAAUACUAAUGAAUAAAAGAAAUAAAUAAACUGAUUCGAUUUCACAGAUGUGCAUCUUCAAGUUGACCUUCAACUAGAAAAGGAAAUUAGUUCUUCAUUGUUGAGAAAAUUCCUAGCACGAUAUUAUGGAAAAGAGCCAAAGACAUGCGACUCCUAAUAAGAGAUAUCCAAUGGCUACUAGUCUCUUACGGCCGACCAAGAAAAGAUAAGAAAACCUAAUGAGUACUUGACUAAUCUCUCUGGCCAAAAAGAAAAGAAAUUAUCCUAUUGACUAGUCUCCUAUUACUACUAAAUUACCACUACUAUUUCAAAUCGAAUUGUCCAACAAAUUCCAACCUAUCCGAAAAGGAAAAACCAACAACAAUCCUCUGGUAAAACGUUGUGACCCCACUUUUGAGACUUUACUUCGCUGCUCGAUAUCGCACUUCAACUCCCUAGCUCUCGGACGUGCUGAGUUUUAAUUUGACGUGACCAUGCUGAUUAGCAUAAAAAUUCAAUGAAAACCACGUCUUUAAUUCCUGUUUUGCUCCAAAUCCCGACAACCAAUGGUAAUUAUAAAAAAAUAAGUAGAAUCCACCAAUUGACGCAAUAUUUGAUAAAAUAAAAUAGGCAAAUAAUCAUAAAAUUAAUGACAAAAUUACAACCUAUCAAUUUCUCCCACACCUGAACCAUACUUGUCCUCAAGCAUGGGAACAACAAAUCACACAAUCAAAUUGAAACAAUGGCUAUUUUUCAAAUCUUCUAUUACCAAGAUACAAUUAAAACACAUGUCAAGCAUUGACAGGUGUCGAGCCUGUACAAUAAUAAAUACCUACUCGAGAAAAACAAGAAUUUUGUAAAUAGUGGUGAGUAGGAUCGUAUCUACAGGGAUUGGGGGAAAUCUAUUCCUUUCUAGAGUGAAAUUACAAGAGGGGAUUUUUGUGAAUUUAAAAGUACCUAAUUAAUCACUAAAUCUUGAGUAAUAAAUAAACAAAAUCAACAAAUUACAGAAAUAACUAAAAAUCAAAUUAAGAACACAAUAAGCGAGAAUUAAAUUAACAGGAGACGCGAUUCUAGUCAAAGGUACAACUUCUCAGCCACGAUUCAUACAGCUGAUCAUUGAUGUAAAAAUAAUUCAAAUAUUCACUGAUAGAUUGGUUAUAGUCAUCAACAAAUUCUGACAACCAACUCUUUCUUACUUUUUCGAUAGUCAAGAUACAACCGUUGACUAUUUCCCUAAUCAAGGAACAAUUCUAGAUACGACCUUAGGAUCUAAUUCCUCAAUCGCAUUAAGAAUUAGAAAAUCCAACCCCAAUUAACAAAUACGCUACGAGGGUUUAUUUAAAUUAGAUCAUAUGUUUCCCUAACAUGGGACCAAUCAUGCUAGCUGCUACUAAUACUAACCAAUCCAACAAUUAUGGAUUUAAUCAAUUAAAUUGGCAGUAAAUUAUUAAAUUAAUUCGAAUAUCGGACCCUUGACAUUCAAACAACAAAAAAUCAUGAGAAAUUAAAGUAGAAAAUGUACAAAUACCAAUGAAUAAAAGGAAUAAAUAAAAUUAAUUCGAUCUCAUAGAACUGUGACUUCAAGUUGACCCUUAACUAGAAAAAGGGGUUUAGCUCCGCAUUAUGGAGAAAACUUCACACGACUUCAUUGAAUCUGAUUGCAUAUGAUUUUUCUCUAAAACUAAUAAAAAGCAAGAAGAAUUGAAAAAACAAGUGACGACUCUCUUAUGUUCCAAAGAAUCACCCUUGCGAAAUUGUUGCUACCGAACUCUUAAUCAUACGGGUCCGUCCUUUUUUUUCUCCCUUUGUUUUCUACUUAACAUCAACUACUAAUAAUAAGACAUGUUCCCCAAAGUAGAAAAAGGAAUCUACUAAAGAUAAUAUUUCAAGUUUCCUAAUCCAAUACUAAAACUAAUAAUGAAAAUUAAAGAUUUCAAAGUCUUCCUCCAAAAGCUGCCCUGAGUUCAAUUUGGACUUGGAAACCGGCCCGAACGUGUCACCAUCAAAUUAAUUAAAAAAUUGCCCUUUUAAUCACGUUUUGCUCCUUUUCCUACAAUUAACAUCAUCAACCAAAUAUAAGUAGAAUCUAUCAAUUAAAAUAAUAUUUGGCUAAAAUCAAGAAGAAAAUAAUCAUAAAUUUAAUAGCAAUUUUGCACCCUAUCAAGCAUUAGUGGCAAUUUUCAAAAAAUAUCUCUCCAAUUAGUUUUCAAGAUUAAGAACUUUUCCAAUUUAUGACUAACUAAUCUAAGAAUAUAAAAUAUUCAACCAGUAUCCAUCACCAACCGGUUCAACUAUUAAGAAAAAUCUCAACAUUAAAACUAAUAGAUCAGCAGGCUAAUGUAACCAUCCACAAUUUCGUACAUUUUUUUGUUUAAAUUUUUUUCACUCUUAGCACAACCCUCAUUUUUUUUCAAGAAAAAUGCUUAGUUUUUAGCCAUUCAACCCUUUUGACGCGAAUUUCGACAUCUACCAAAUGAAAGAGCCCAGUUACUCAAUUCUUAUCGUUUAAAAAUCACAUACUCAUAGCUAUCACCGCCUUUUGAUGCGAAAGUCGACGCUUGUGGUGAAAACCCCCGAUUACUAAACAACGAUAUUAGCGGAGUAUAGCUAAAUACUAUUCAUAAAUAAGAACCAAAUUAAAAUUAAAGACCACAAAAGCCCACUUCAUUUUCUAAACAUGGAGAACUAAGAUUAAUAGUUGAACGAAUUUACAGAAAAAAAUAUUAGACAAAUAUUUACAAUAUUUAGAGAAAUUAACUAAAAAGCGCAAAAGUCACAAAAUCUCAAAUAUUCACCAAAGAGACAUUUUUAGAUUUAAUCAUGUCAUACUUAAUACCUUGGAAUAUAAAACCUUAACAAUAGAAAAUAUUGAGAAUCUGACCAUCAUUUAUCAAAGAUAACCAUUAAUAUGCACAAAGAUAGGCAAAAAGUGGAUAAAAUUCGAAAAAAAAAAGCUGAACAAAAAAUUUCAACAAAAAAUGCCUAUACUUGCAUUUUUCUAAUAUACUACUCCUCCACACCUAAAUAUUACAUUAUCCCCAAUGUAAAAAAUAAAGAAUUAAAAGAUGAAAUAAAAGGGGCAACGAAACUUCCCUAAACGUGGACGAGGUACCAAACGGCUACGAGUCGGAACGAAAAGCAAGUUGAAUCCCAUGUGAUGAAAAUAGACAGCAAAAUUCUUGUAUUGUCUUGAAAAUAUAAAGUUCAUGCGGCAGAGAAGAGUAAAGCAAGAAAGAGAGAAGAAAUAAAGAAAAAUAAAGGAAAGAAAGAAGGGAGGAAGAAAGAAAAGAGAAAAAGAGAAAAAAGAAAGGAAAAGAAAGAAAAAGAAAGAGAGAAAAAGAAAAUGGAAAAAGAAAAGGAAAAGGAAACGGAAAAAGAAAAAUCUUCUUUUUACCCUUCUCAUUGAAACAAGACGCGGGCACGUCGAAAAGUGGAAAAGUUUUCUGAUCAUAAUUUUGAAAAAUUUCUUCCUAGCAUGUAACUAGAAGGCGCGGGCACGUCAUAAAGACUGGGAGUCUUCUGACCUGCAUCGUGAAAUUUUUUUCCUAGCACGCGACCAGAAAGCGUGGGCUCGUCAUAAGUGGAGGAGUCCUCUGACCAUCAUUUUUGGAUGUCUCGAAGUGAAGUGUGCCCUACCAGUGCGGGCGGUUGAUCUGCCCUUGAAGUCUUCUCGAAAAUUGUGAUGGACACAACAAUAUUUAACAUUCAAUUCUGACUUGAGCACAUUUUCUAGCGAAUUAUUUCCUGACACAAAGAAAAAAAAUCACUUGAAUUGUACUUAAAAAGUAAAUAAGAAAUAUGAAAUGACUAAAAUUAAAAAUUAAAAAUUCAUGGAUUGCCUCCCAAAUAGCGCAUUUCUUUAAUAUUUUUUGCUAGACAUUGUCAUGUUUGUCAAGGAGGAUAAAAUCGUGUAACUCAUUUCAGUAUUUCAUUCAUUAUGUAAUCCUGAUAACCUUCAUCAAUAGAGUGAUCCUUAACUACACUAGUUACAUUCUUCCAUAGACUAGUGGAUGGCGCCAAACAAUUAAACAGUGAUCGUGAUUCUUCACUUGCUCCUCCAUCACGAACACUUACCGAUUCAAGAUAUUUAGCCAUAGCAACUUCUAACUUAUUCUUGCCAUGAGACUCAAAAAUUUCUGAUACAACAAAAUCAAUCGCACUAGCAGAAAUUAUAGAAUAAGAGUCAGAGUAAUGUUGGCUAGAGAAUGGAGGAGGUGCCACCAUAUUUGGAAAUUAUUCACUGGAUUCAUUCACUUGAACGAUUAGAGAUUGGGGCUUUAUUUCUUCAUUUUCAACUGUAUCUUUAGAUUCUUCUUCUUGAAACUCUUGCAGUUUCUCGUCACUUAUCAGGAUAAUUGCACUCUCAUUUUUCUCAAGAUUGAUAAUAGUCUAUGAGGGUCAUGCUUCACAAAUUUAAGAAGCAAAUCGUUUUAUUCUAGAUAUCAAUAGACAUAUUUGAUCCAUCUGGUCACGAAUGCUCACUGCAGAUGCAAACAGACGCAUUUGAUCCUCCAUCUUUCUAAUUCUUAUUUGUAUCUCCUGUUGAAAAUGAUAUAUCAUUUCUUCAAGAUACAUAUCUAAUGUAGAUAAUGGUCGUUGAUGCAUUCCAUCCUCAAUCCCUCUAUUUCUCAUUUGUGUCUCCUGUUCAAAUUGAUAUGUGUUAGCAGUUAGUAAUUCCAUCAUUUCUUCAAAAGACAUACCUGACAUGGAUGAUUGUUCUUGAAACUCUUGUUGUUGAUAUUGAUGUUGAAAAUCGAUUAGCUCUUUUCAAUAAUUAAAAUUGGAGUUGUUCUACCAUCCUUGCUCAUACCCUUUUGAAUAAGGGUCAUACCACGUUCGAGAUUGGGAUGAAAAAUCUACAAAAGUAUUGAUUGGGGCAUUCAGGUCAUUUUGAAAUGCGAAACAUAUGUCGGUUGAAUGAUCUGAGAUAUAACAAAUUUCACAAGUUACAACAGCCAAUUGAUCAUUAGAAAAAACACGAGUCUCGUUACCCCUUCUAGAAAUAAAAUUUAGUCUAUCACCAAAAUACGAAAUAUUAGCAGCAAUAAACUAGUAAAAAAAUAAGAGAAAAAUAAAAAUAAGAUGAAUUCAAAAAAAAACAAAUUAAUCAGACACUAGUCCCUGACAACGCCGCCAAAAAUUGAUAGGUGCCGAAUCUGUACUGUAAUAAAUACCUACUCAAGAAAAAAUAUAAUUUUUAUGUAUAGCGGUAAGUAGAGUCGAAUCCACAGGAACUGGAGAUAAUUCGUUUCUUCUAGAGUUCAAAGUAAGGAGGAUUUUACAAAAAUACAAAAAUAACUAAUUAACUAACUAAUAAAAUAACUAACGGAAAUAAACAGGAAUUAAAUCAAUAAUAAAUACAACUCUACUCAAAGGAACAACUUUUCAGAUACGGAUCACUCAACUAAUCAUCGAUGCAAAGAUAAUUCAACUACUCGCUAAUAGAUUAAUUAUAGCCAUCAAUAAGUUUUGACAGCCAAUUUUUUCUUACUUUAUCGAUAGCCAAGAUACGACAGUUAACUAUUCCCCUAACUAAGAAACAACCCUAGGUACGAUCGUAAGAUUUAAUUCCUUAAUUGUAUUAAUAAUUAAAAAAGUUCAACCCUAACCAACAAACACACUAUGAUGGUUUGUUUAAAUUAGAUCAUACGUUUCCCUAACAUAGAACUAAUCACACUAGUCGCCACUAGUAUUAAUCGAUCAAAUAACUAUGGAUUCAAUCAAUUAAUCUGGCAAUAGAUUAUUAGGUUAAUUCAAAUAUUGGCCCCAUGACAUUCAAAUAAAACAACAAUCAUAAGAAGUUAAACCAGAAAACGUACGAAUACUAAUGAAUAAAAGAAAUAAAUAAACUGAUUCGAUUUCACAGAUGUUUGAGACCGCAUCUUCAAGUUGACCUUCAACUAGAAAAGGAAAUUAGUUCUUCAUUGUUGAGAAAAUUCCUAGCACGAUAUUAUGGAAAAGAGCCAAAGACAUGCGACUCCUAAUAAGAGAUAUCCAAUGGCUACUAGUCUCUUACGGCCGACCAAGAAAAGAUAAGAAAACCUAAUGAGUACUUGACUAAUCUCUCUGGCCAAAAAGAAAAGAAAUUAUCCUAUUGACUAGUCUCCUAUUACUACUAAAUUACCACUACUAUUUCAAAUCGAAUUGUCCAACAAAUUCCAACCUAUCCGAAAAGGAAAAACCAACAACAAUCUUGUGGUAAAACAUUGUGACCCCACUCUUGAGACUUUACUUCGUAGCUGAAUAUUGCACUUUAACUCUCUAGCUCUCGGACGUGCUAAGUUUUGAAUUUGACGUGACCACACUGAUUAGCAUAAAAAUUCAAUGAAAAUCAUGUUUUUAAUCCCUUUUUGCUUCAAAUCCCUACAACCAAUGAUAAUUACCAAAAAUUAGUAGAAUCUAUCAAUUAACGCAAUAUUUGGCAAAAUAAAAUAGGAAAAUAAUCGUAAAAUUAAUGACAAAAUUGCAACCUAUCAAGUGUUAUUCUUUAUGUUGAAAAAAAUAAUAAAAAAUAAAAUUUCCAACAUCCAAGAUAUUUGGCAUCCUUUUGUAUUGUUAUUGAAAAGAAAUGAGUUUCUUACCUUCAUUUAAUUUCAAUUUUUGUUAUUUUUUGAUUUAUUUCAACUUGCUACACUUCGCACCUGUCACUUUCAUGUAAAUAACCAUGAGCCGUUUUCUUUUUCUUAAGAGUGACAGGUGUCGAACCUGUGCAAUAAUAAUUACUAAAAAGUCCUAAUUACCACCACAAUUAAUUAUAGAACAAAUCUGAGUAUUGGAGUAGGGACCCUAGGUGUGCAAUGGGUUACUUGAUUCACCCUAUUCCCGAAGAGUUUGUUUGGUCCGAUAUACUAGAAUUAUCUAUAAAAAUGUUAAAUUUGCAUACAAUGGCAAGUAGGGUCGAUUCCACAGGGAACGGGUAGGAACUUGUUUCUUUUCAAGUCAAUAGAAUAAAAUAGGUGGAUAAUUAAUGGGAUGAAAAUAUAAAUAAAAUAAAUAAAAUUCAAGAGUUAACUUAACAAGUUCAAUUUAGCAAAAAUAACAAUUAAUAAAAUUCUACCCGAAGGAUCAACUGCUCAGGUACGGUCCAAUUAAAUGAUCAUCGACACAAAGAUAUUUCAUUCAUUCAUCACUAGGUUGGUUAUAGCUAUCAAUAAGCUCUGACAACCAGUUCUUCCUUACUUUUUCGACAGCCAAGGUACGACCAUUGACUGCUUUUCUAACCAGAAAACAAUCCUAGGUACGACCGUAGGAAUUUAAUUAUCCAGUUGCAUUAAAGCUAGAAGAACCCAACUCUAACCAAUAAAAACGCUAAGAGGGUUUAUUUAAAUUAGAUCUUGCGUUUCCCCAGCAUAAAGCCAAUUAUGGUUGUUGCCACUAGUUGUCAACUAAACGAACAAUUACGGAUUCAAUUUAAUUAAUGUGGCAGUAGGCUAUUAUAUUAAAUCAAAUAUCCGGCCGUUGAUAUUCAAUUAAUAAAAUACCCAUAGACAAUUAAUUCAGAAAACACAAGAAUAGCAACAAAUUGGACGAAAUAGUGAAAAUUCUAUUAGAUCUCACAGAUGUUAUGGACCGCGCAUUCGCGUUAACCCUUUGGUAGAAGGGAUAUCUAGCAGCUCCUCAUCGUAUCAAUCUCGCGUGGUUUAAUUGAUAUCAUCCAAUUAAUUGCCAAGGAGAUGCGAAAGGGGGAAAUAAUGAGAAAGUAGACGAAAAGAUGUUGUCUCUUUCUUUUUGGGUUUCGUCUCCGUACUGGAGCCGAAAUUACAAAACAAGAGCUAACGGAGAAUUGUCCAGAGCAAGAGUAAAAAUUCAGGAGUCAAAGUCGUACAACGCAAAAAGCUAGAGAAAAGAGGAAAAGCUCCAACGUCUGACCCAAAUUGAAACUCAAGCUAGAACUAAUUGGCCCCACGUGAUUCUGGCUCUUAAUUGCUGCUCAAGAGAAAAGAAACGUCUGAAGCAAUAAUUGAAACUAAAGCUCUCCUCUUAAUUGGACAUGAAUCUGGCUUUUUUAAGCCUCUCGUAGCGCCGCCAACUAAGGAAAGAAACGUCUCCAGUAGCCCUUCCUUUCCUAAGGGUUUUAAUCCCGUGCUCCUGGUCCACGUAGACCUAGUCUCCUAGUUGGCCCUGCUGCUACCAAGCCCGCGGGUCUGGCUUUUAGGUGAGUCUCCUCAGUUUCUGGUUUGGGUACGCCAUGAAAUAGAGAGUCUUCUGAAAAUUUUCCUCGUAAAAGCACUUUUUACACCAACCACCUGUAAUUCAUACAAACAUGAAAUAUGAGCAAAAUCUCAAUACUUAGCAUAGUAAGUAGCCAAAAUUAGGAUAAAAUAAUAGUGCAAAAUGUGCCCAAUAGUUGCUAUAUCAAAUCCCCCCACACCUAGCCAAUGCUUGCCCUCAAGCAUUUCGGAGCUCAGAAGUACAACCAAGAUAGCAAAGGUCAUGCAGUAAGCUAUACUAACACAAGCACCUCAGAUCCCUGACAAUGUCACCAAAAUGAGAAUACACCGGACAAGUGGUAAUUCAAAGAAAAUAUAUGAAUACUAGAAACUCUCAAAUCAAGAUCAUGGAAUGGCAUUACUAUAGGCUUGCACAUUUAUCACAUCUUCACCACUCGAAAGUGAACUAAAUACACAAAUCAAAGGGACUUUAAUAGGGUUGUAAUGGGGCUUAGGUAGAAGGCGAUUAAGGUAAAAAUAGGGUGUAAUAUGUCAAAAGAAUGUCUGAUACCCCCUACAUAACCACAAUGCUUUACCGGGGAAGUUUCACAAGCAAGGCAUUUUCCUUUGCUAUUUCCACUGUGCAAAUGUCGAAACUCGUCCCCUUUUUUUCUUCUCCAUUUUUUUCUUUUUUUUUUCUUUGAACAAGCGCCUUGUAGCCCAUAGCCUUCUGUUCACGAGCUGUUUUUUUUUUUUUGGAGAGGACGUCUAGCAAGGCAUGGGCACGCCCUAGAAGACAGAGUCUUCUGCUCACCAGGUUUUUGCCGAUUUCUCCCUUUUUUGCUCCAGAGCACAGAAACGGCACCAUACAGAUUCUAUUCUAACAACACUUGUGGUCCUAGAUUUAUUUGUUUUGCACAAAAAAUGAAUUUCAGACAUUCCUUAAUGACACAAGGGUGAACAAGAAAGUCUAAAAAGGUUCUAGGUUAUCAGACAUGGCUAACAAACAAAGGAGAGGGGUAAAAGCUCAAAAUGGUUCACUAUUGGGAGACAAGAUGAAGGCAUGGUUUGUAGAAAGUUAAAGAAAGUUAGAUCCUAAAUGCCCUUAUCAUUUCAAAUGCAUUCAGUUCAACAAAAUGUGGCCUCAACAUGUAUAAAAUAGCAAGUUCUAGAAUGCCAAUACCAUAUGUGAUACCCACUCAAUCAAACAAAAAUAGAGCAAAUAUGAAUAAUGUGCUCAUGCAUGACUCAAAAGCUCACAAAAGUUUCCAAGAAUGGGUCAAGUCCAAUAUAUCCAACAUUCAACGAUAUUGCCAAGGAAAAGUAGAACGCACAGCUAGCAUAUAUGACCACAUACUUGUGCACCCUAAUUGUGCAAUCCAUCAUAGCAACAUGCUCUAACAGCUAACAAAUGUAAAAAUAAAAAGAAAGUCAACUAACUACCCAUUUUUUCUUUUCUUUUUUUUUUCACUUUCUUGUUUUUCAUUUUUUUUAUCUAGUUAUUCCCAUUUUUUCUCCUUUUUUUCGAAUAAAAGGAAUUACUCGAAACAAAAAGAAGUAAUAGAAACCAUUCCCCCCACACCUAAAAUCUACAUUGUCCUCAAUGUAAUCUAGACAAAUAAAGUGCAAGGACAAGAGGGGCGAAACUUCCCUAACUACUGAGGAGGUGCGGCGAGAUCCUAAGGAGGUGGAGGAUGUGGUGGCUGGAAUCCAAUAUGAGCAUAGAAAGCCGCCUGAUUCUCCAUUUGAAUACGGGAGAAAACCUGUAAUGCUCUAAGACUGUCCUCCGUCCCUCAACUCGCCUCCCUAGCGCAUGGAUAGACUCUUGGAGAGAGUGAUAUUGGGACUCCCAAGCAGGAGGAGCAUGAUAGGCGGAUGGAUCCGCCUGAUCGGGGUGAGGUGGAGGCUCAGCAGAGGGGGCCGUCGGGGGAACCUGAGGUUGUGGCUUGCCCUCGCCAGGAGGUGUCAUCUGAUAGACAUCUCCUACCUUGAAAAUGACCCCCAUCCGCUCCAAGUUUCACAAAUCCAGUGGCUCAAUCUCACGAGCUGGAGCGAAGUUGUGCUCGCUGUUGAGGUCAAGCAAUCCCAAUCGAACGGGCAAGUAAGUGAUGAGCAAGCCUAGAAUUAGCAGUUUAUGCUGCUUUUGGACAACGGAUUGCAUUUGAGUGGCCACCCAACACCCAAAUUUAACUUAAACUUUGUUCUGCAUGCACCAAAGAAAAUAAAAUUUCGCCUUGGUAAGAGUGCCAGAGGAAUCCUUCCGGCCCGAGAAGUUAUAGGCCAAAAAUCGGUGGAUGACUUUCAGGAUCGGAUCCUUCAGAUAUGAGGCUUUAGACUGACUCGGAUCAUAAAGUUGAGUGUCCGUAGACCACUCCCUCCAUAUGUCAAUGUAAUCAGUAGAAAACGGUUUAGUGUAAUCACACGCACUGUUUAUAUAUGUGUCGGAUGAAAUUGUAUUCUCAGUAACAAACCCCAAAGUCACAUUAAAGUCAUUAAUGGACAUCUCAUGAUGGGCACCCCUUAACCGAAAUUGAAUAGUCCUCGGUUCAUCCAACGUAAUCCAUUCAUUUUUUAUGAACUCAAAAGUGGAAUAGAAUUCACAACACAGCUCCUCAAAUAUAGGAUAAUCAAUGUUUAGAUACCGCUGCCAACCUAUUGCCGAGAACAACUGUUCAACUUCUCGUGCAAUUUGCAAAUGGUCCAGGGUCGGGGCAUGGAAGCACUUACAAGGAGAAAAAGAACGGUGCACCAUGCUAUUAAAUCGGUCCUGUUGUGCCCUUGUAAGGUUAGUGACCGGUUCCCCCUAUUCCCCAGGAGACAUAGUGCUUUUAUUCAGGCCCAAACGAGAUCGAAUGGGGUGUAGAAUUGGGGCUCGCCUCUUACUAGGCUGGGACUCAGAUGGCCCAGCAGUUGUUACCUUUUUCGGAGGCAUUCGAAGACCACAAGUAAAAUGUAAACAGGCACAGAGACAGUCAAUCAACCACCCAAAAGUGGAUAGGGGACCACAGUCAACAAUUAAUAUUCAAUCAUCAGUAGUCCAAUAGCAAAGAGGGAACACAAUUACCCCACCAAACAACGGCAAAACAACAAACACUAACAAUGCCCCACUGCCGUCAAUUGGCAGACAACAAUAAAGAAGACAGAUCCAACACCCCACAAAUUAAAAUAUCAGUCAAUAAAAGUCAACAAUCGGUGAGUUACUGACCACGUGUACCAAAUAAUAGAUUCACCAGAGCCCACAGAUGUCUCAAGUCCAAAUUAGAUAAUCAAUGAAAGGCGGAUACGAGGUCUCCCAUUUUCAGACAACAAUCAAACGGUCCCCCGAUUAAACUAACAGUUAUUUCAACCCAACCUGGAGUGAGAAAUUAUUAACAAAAAUUCCAGAUCUUAGUCACCAGGGCAAAAUGAGAGAAAUAGGGGUACCACUAUAAUUUUUUUUCAGCUGGAGGAUACCGUGGCAGUGACAGCAAUGCGGCUACUGGGCACGCUACGGAUCUGGUAGCUGGCCGCGCGCGCUGGGUAGGCGCGCUCUGCUGUACGCGCGGUUGGGGCGAAGCUCGAUCGCAUGCUGGAUCUGGACGCUGCGCACGCGGGCGCGCUACGUCGGCUUUCUGGGCUGCACAGGGGGAGGUCCGCGCACGGCUGGCGAGGCUGGUGAGCACCUGCUACUGCGCGCAGGUCGCGCGCUGGCUCUGCUGGGUUAUGCGCGCUAGGUGCCCAACGAGAGGAAGACCGCACCCACUGGGGCACGCAGGCGCUGGCUGGAGGAAACGUGGGCAAACGCGUAAAGACGCGCUGGGUGGACCCUUCUGCUUCGCGCGCACGCUGGAGCUGGGUCGCGCGGCGAGGUGGGUCUGGCGGCGGCGCGCGACUGCUGACCACGGGCGGCGGACGAUGGCGCAGCGACAGGCGGCGGCGUGUGGCGAAGACGAUGGGAUGCGUGGAGAGAGAAGAGCAAGAAAGAGAAAGAAAGAGAGGGAAAGAGGCGUUGCGGUGGCGCUCGAGCAGUGGCGGCGGCACGCGACGGUGGCAGCGGCGACGGAACAAGAAAACAGAGGAAAAGAAGGAAGUGAAAUUAAUACCAAACAAAGAAAGAAAAAGAAAGAAGAGUAAAAACCAAAACAACGGACAUUGACUUGCCUAGACAAGACAAGGAAAAGAGUAAAGUGGAAAAGUAGGGUUAGAAGGGUCCUGGUCAACAAUUUUUUCGUUGACUUUCGUUAUCGGAAGAGUUGGAAGGAGUGGGCACGCCUUGGGGGACACAGUCUUCUGACCAUUGCAUCCUGAUAAUGUUCAAAAGGAUUCCUUUCAAGACGUGGGCAUGCUUUAAAGCUGCUAGUCUCCAAUUUGCUCAGGGCACCUGGCGUACCUUUUCCAAGACGUGGGCACGCCUUGGAACCCCUAGUCUUCUGUUUAGCACCACAAAAACAAUCAAAAUAAAAAAAAUAGAACUGAAAAAUCGCAAAGUAAUGAAAAAUGACCACAACUAAUACUGUAGUCCUUGGUUUGCCUCCCAAGCAGUGCCUUUCUUUAAUAUCUUUGGCUAGACAUGGCAAUCAACUGUUUAGAUUUCACAACUUGGAUUAUCAAGAGACAUGACCUCCACUUGCUCACUAUUAAACCCUUCAUAAUAGGGUUUCAGACGGUGACCAUUGACCACAAACUUCUUCUCCGUUUUCAAGUUUUGGAUCUCCACUGCACCAUAAUGAAAAAUAUUAGAGAUAACAAAUGGCCCAAUCCAACGCGAACGUAACUUACCCGGAAAAAGCUUAAGUCUCGAGUGAUAAGUUGGACUUUGUGUCCUACUACAAAUGACUUCCUUGAGACUUGUUGGCUAUGAAAAAUUUUACUCUACUCCUUAUAAAUUGCGGUUUUCUCAUAGGUUUCAUUCCUUAGCUCCUCCAACUCUUGUAAUUGGAGUUUUCUAUGUCCUCCGGCCUCCAUAAGAUCCAUGUUACAUCGCUUAAGUGCCCAAAAUGUUCGGUGUUCAAAUUUCACUGGUAAAUGGCAUGGCUUCCCAAAGACGAAUCUAUAUGGGGACAUUUCAAUCGGCGUCUUAUAGGCUGUGCGAUAGGCCCAUAGAGCAUUUUCCAACUUCAAACUCCAAUCUUUCCUAUCGGGCCGCACCAUCUUCUCUAGAAUUGACUUGACCUCCCUAUUUGACACUUCGACCUGACCAUUCGUCUGCAGAUGGUAGGGAGUGGAUACUUUGUGGAGCACGCCAUAUUUACGAAACAACGCAGUGAUCGCCUUAUUGUAGAAAUUGGUGCCCCUGUCACUCACUAUGGCUCUCGGCAUCCCAAAGCGGACAAAAAUGUUAGACUUUAUGAAUUCUACAACCACUCUCGAAUCGUUAGUCCGAGUAGCUUUUACUUCCACCCAUUUGGAAACAUAAUCGACAGCAAGUAAAAUAUAUAAGAAACCAAAAGACGAGGGAAAGGGACCGAUGAAAUCUAUACCCCAAACAUCGAAAAUUUUAACAAAUAACAUGGGGGUUUGACUCAUUUGGUCUCUACGAGAAAUAUUCCCUACCCUUUGACACUUAUCACAUGAUUUACAAAAUAAGUAUGCAUCCAUAAACAGAGUAGACCAAUAAAAAUCACUUUCUAACACCUUACGAGCUGUCCGCUUUGGCCCAAAGUGCCUUCCACAUGCAAAUGAAUGACAAAAAGUCAAAAUAGAAUGGAACUCACAUGCACUUACACGCCUUCUUGUCACUUGGUCCGAGCACUGCCUUCACAGGUAUGGGUCAUCCCAAAUAUAGUGCUUGGCGUCAUUUCUCAAUUUAUCUUUUUUAGCCUUUGACCAACCUGCAGGUAAUUGAUUCGUUACCAAAAAAUUGUCAAUAUCAGCAUACCAAUGUAUUGACGAAUCAAUGGCUAACAAUUGCUCCUCAGGAAAUGAUUCCCUCAGCGGUAAGUCUUCUUGAUUUGUAAGUAGCCGGCUCAAAUGGUCGGCCACCAAGUUCUCGGCUCCACUCUUAUCUUUGAUCUCUAAGUCGAACUCCUGCAGGAGCAAGAUCCACCUUAUGAGUCUCGAUUUUGCAUCCUUCUUCGCUAGUAGGUAUCUCAAGACUGCAUGAUCAGAGCAAAUAAUUACAUUUGCAUCUAAUAAAUAUGACCUAAAUUUCUCUAGUGCAAAAACAACGGCGAGUAAUUCUUUCUCCGUUGUGGAGUAGUUAAGUUGGGCUCCACUCAAUGCCCUCGAUGGAUAGUAGAUCGCGUGUGCCGCCUUUCCUAUCCUUUGCCCCAACACGGCUCCCACGGCAUAAUCACUCGUGUCGCACAUGAUUUCAAAUGGGAGGCUCCAAUCUGGGGGUUCAAUGACGGGCGGCGAUGUCAUCGACUCUUUCAAUUUGUCGAAGGCCACCUUGUAUUCAUUAGUGAAAUCAAAUGUCACAUCCUUCUGUAACAACUUGAAUAGGGGUGCUCCAAUCUUUGACAAGUUCUUGAUGAACCUCCUGUAAAACUCUACAUGGCCUAAAAAGGAACGCACUUCCCGUACACAUACGGGGUAAGGUAGAGUAGAAAUAAGAUAUAUUUUAGCUUUGUCUAUCUCUAUUCCCUUAACCGACACAACAUGCCCUAAGACAAUACCAUGUUCUACCAUGAAAUGACAUUUUUUUCAAUUAAAAACCAAGUUCGUCUCUAUGCACCUUUUCAAAAUUAAAGCUAGAUUAUCAAGACAUUCCUCAAAACUAUUACCGUAUACACUAAAAUAAUCUAUGAACACCUCAAUAAUCUUUUCUACAUAUUCGGAAAAAAUACUUACCAUACACCUUUGGAAGGUUGCAGGGGCAUUGCAGAGAUCGAAAAACAUCCGACGGUAAGCGAAUGUACCAAAUGGGCAUGUGAAUGUAGUCUUUUCUUGGUCCUCUGGCGCUAUCACGAUCUGGAAGUAAUCUAAAAAAUCAUCCAAGAAACAAUAGUAAACACGACCAGUUAAUCGUUCUACCAUCUGAUCAAUAAAAGGGAAGGGAAAAUGGUCCUUUUUUGUCACAGAGUUUAGUCUCCGGUAGUCAAUGCACUGACGCCAGCCAGUAGCUUUUCUAACCGGAACCAUAUCACCCUCCUAACUCUUCUCUACGGUCACUCCCGCCUUUUUCAGAACCACUUGAACAGGACUUACCCAAGGACUGUCUGAGAUAGCAAAAAUAAUCCCCAUCUUUAGGAGUUUAAGUAUCUCCUUUUUUACAACUUCCAUUAUCAGGGGAUUCAACCUCCGCUGUGCCUGUCUUACCGGUUUCGCAUAAUUUUCGAACCGAAUCCGGUGCAUGCAUAAUAAUGGAUUUAUCCCCUUGAUAUCUGCUAUGCUCCACCCAAUCGCCUCCUUAUGUCCCUAAGGAUUUGCACCAGUUUGUCCUUUUGACUUGGGGAUAAAUGUGCAGAGAUGAUCACCGGAAGCGUCUCUCGGUCUCCUAUGAAUGCGUACUUUAGAUACUUCGGGAGAGGUUUAAGUUUUAACUCCGGUGCCUGCACAACUGAGGGAAGCAAUUUUGUCUGAAUUUCUGGCACAAAGAUAGAAGUAAACUCAUACCUCGGAGAAACGGUUGGAAGUGAGUGCAGGGCUUCAACCGCAUGGUGUAAUUCAUCCCUCAUGUCCACAUCAAGAGUUAUACCCAACUCAAGAUGCUUGGUUAGGGCCACUUCUAAUGCGUCUUUACCAUCCAAUUCGAAAGUUUCCUGCACAAAAGACUCAAUAACACUCAAAGCAAAAACUGAGUUAAGUUCCUCUGGAUACUUCAUCGCCUCAAAAAUAUUGAAAUUCACAGUCUCACCAUCAAAUUUCAUUGAUAAAGUACCCUCAUUCACAUCUAUUUUAGUCCUGACAGUGCUAAGAAAUGGUCUACCGAACAAAAUAGGUGACGGGUUUAAUGAUUUUUCAUCUCCCAUAUCCAGGAUAUAAAAAUCUGUUGAAAAAACUAACUCAUUUACCUGGAUCAAGACAUCCUCAACUAACCCCUCUGGAUAGGCAUUGGUGCGGUCAGUUAGUUAGAUUAUAAUGGCCGUUUCUUUUAAUAGCCCAAGAUUUAGAGAAGCAUAGAUAGUUUUUGGCAUCACAUUGAUUGACGCCCCUAAAUCUAACAUUUCUUUUCUAAUCGGUGCAUUUCCUAUUUUGCAACGGAUCGUGAACAUACCUGGAUCUCCACACUUGGGUAGGAGGUUUCUUUGAAAUAUGGCUGAUACGUUUUCUCCCACCGCUACUCUUUCGUCCCCUCUCAACUUUCUCUUAUGGGUGCAUAAAUCCUUGAGAAAUUUCGCGUACUUGGGAACCUGCUUAAUUGCCUCCAACAAGGGAAUGUUGAUCUCUACCUUUCGGAAUACGUUCAGGAUCUCUUUUUCCUUCUCUGCCUUCUUCGUCUUUGCCAACCUACAUGGAAAAGAGGGUAAAUUUGAUUUAAUGGGAAUUGAAGGGGUUAGAGUUACCUCAGGAUCUCCACGAGUGUGUCAUUCUUCUUCCAUCUCCUUCUCGAUCUCAUCUUCACUUUUGCUCUUCAGGUUUGUGGCCUUAGGCCCCUCUACUUCCUUGCCACUCCUCAGUGUCAUGGCACUUACAUUCUUGGGGUUUGUCUCGGGUUCCAAUGGUAAUUUUUCAAAGACUUGGGACUCCAAACGAUUGAUCGCAGUCGCCAUGUGGCUUAUUUGGGUCUCCAGAUUUGUCAUGCCUGAUUUAGUUUCCUGCUGGAACUGAGCAGUCCUCGUGACCAAAGAUCUCGUCUCCUGUUGGAGCUGAGUGGUGCUCGUGGCCAAGCUCUUGACAAUAUCUUCCAGAGAACUUCUUGCGUUGAAGGACGAGGGUUGAGACUUUUGUUGUUAUGGUUGCUAAAAUCCUGGUGGACGAUUGGAGAAUGAAUUCUGUGGCUUAUUACCAUAACUGAAAUUGGGGUAAUCUCUCCAAUCCGAAUUGUAUGUGUUGGAAUAUGGAUCGUACUGCCUACGAGGCGCAGACACGCCUCCAGCCAUGUUAACUUGCUCAACCACAUCCUCUUGCAACAUAGGGCAUGAGUCAGUAGGGUGGCCCACAUUUGUGCAGAUUUCACAGGCCUUUACUUGGUGCAUAUUCCCCACAGCUAAUUAUCGAACAAAGGAUGUUAGCUCCGACAACUGUUGCUGAAUAGAUGUCGUCUCCACCUCAUUAACCCUGCGGGUAGGGUUACUCUCACGGAAGCCAAACUGUUGAGAAUUCUCUGCCAUAGUUUCAAUGAGCAGCCAUGCUUCCCUCAGGGUCUUAUUUGCCAGUGCUCCCCCCUCUUGCAGCAUCAAUGAUACUCCUGUCGGAUGACUGGAGCCUCUCAUAGAAAUAUUGGAUCAAUAGCUGUUCACUAAUUUGAUACUGUGGGCAUCUAGUACACAAUUUAUUGAACCUCUCCCAAUAGUCGUAUAGGGAUUCUCCAGGGUACUGCUUAAUGCUGCAUAUCUCCUUUCUCAGACUUGUGGCCCCGGAUGCAGGGAAAAAUUUUUUUAAAAAUUUAUUUUUCAAUUGGGCCCAUGUUAUGAUACUACCUGCGGGUAGGUAGUAUAACCAAUCCUUAGCUGCGUCCUUGAGGGAGAAAGGGAAAGUUCUAAGUUUAAUCUGCUCCUCAGUAAUUUCUGGAGGCUUCAUAUUGGAGCAUACCACAUCGAACUCCUGGAUGUGUUUAUGGGGCUCCUCACCUGAGAGGCCUUGGAACGUAGGUAAUAGGUGAAUAAAUCCCGACUUCAAUUCGAAUGAGGUAUUUUCCGCUAAACUUGAAAACGUGAUGAACAAAGGCUGCUGCGGCAAUUUCGGAACAGCCAACUCCCUUAGUGUUCUUGCAUUUACCAUACGGAUAUUCUCUUGAUCUGAAUCACUUGAAUUAUCACCACCUGAAUCUGUUGAUUUGACCUUAGGAUCAAGUCCCUGAGAUGCAAUGCUAGAUUGCUCCUCUCUAAACUGUCUAGUCUCUUUCCUAGUUCGACGCGCAGUUUUCUCUACUUCUGGAUCGAAAAUCAAUUCGCUUGUACGAGAAGAACGAGGCAUAAACUAAAAAAAUGUCAGACAAAUUCAAAGAAAAUAACUUAAAAAGAAAUAAAAUUAACCAAAAUACCGUUCCCCGACAACGGCGCAAAAAAUUGACAGGUGCCGAACCUGUGCAAUAAUAAUUACUAAAAAGUCCUAAUUACCACCACAAUUAAUUAUAGAACAAAUCCGAGUACUGGAGCAGGGACUCUAAGUGUGCAAUGAGUUACUUGAUUCACCCUGUUUCCGAAGAGUUUAUUUGAUCCGAUAUACUAGAAUUAUCUAUAAAAAUGUUAAAUUUACAUACAAUGGCAAGUAGGGUCGAUUCCACAGGGAACGGGUAGGAACUUGUUUCUUUUCAAGUCAAUAGAAUAAAAUAGGGGGAUAAUUAAUGGGAUGAAAAUAUAAAUGAAAUUCAAGAGCUAACUCAACAAGUUCAAUUUAGCAAAAAUAGUAAUUAAUAAAAUUCUACCUGAAAGAUCAACUGCUCAGGCACGGUCCAAUUAAAUAAUCAUCGAUGCAAAGAUAUUUCAAUCAUUCAUCACUAGGUUGGUUAUAGCUAUCAAUAAUCUCUGAUAACCAGUUUUUCCUUACUUUUUCGACAGUCAAGAUACGACCAUUGAAUGCUUUUCUAACCAGAAAAUAACCCUAGGUACGACCGUAGGAAUUUAAUUAUCCAGUUGCAUUAAAGUUAGAAGAACCCAACCCUAACCAAUAAAUACGCUAAGAGGGUUUAUUUAAAUCAGAUCUUGCGUUUUUCCAACAUAAAGCCAAUUAUGGUGGUUGCCACUAGUUGUCAACUAAACGAACAAUUACGGAUUCAAUUUAAUUAACGUGGCAGUAGGCUAUUAUAUUAAAUCAAAUAUCCGGCCGUUGAUAUUCAAUUAAUAAAAUACCCAUAGACAAUUAAUUCAAAAAACACAAGAAUAGCAACAAAUUGGACGAAAUAGUGAAAAUUUGAUUAGAUCUCACAGAUGUUAUGGACCGCGCCUUCGCAUUAAUCCUUGGGUAGAGGGGAAAUCUAGCAGCUCCUCAUCGUAUCAAUCUCACGUGAUUUAAUUGAUAUCAUCCAAUUAAUUGCCAAGGAGAUGCGAAAGGAGGAAAUAAUGAGAAAGUAGACAAAAAGAUGUUGUCUCUUUCUUUUUGGGUUUCGUCUCCGUACUGGAGCCGAAAUUACAAAACAAGAGCUAACAGAGAAUUGUCCAGAGCAAGAGUAAAAAUUCAGGAGUCAAAGUCGUAAAACGCAAAAAGCUAGAGAAAAGAGGAAAAGCUCCAACGUCUGACCCAAAUUGAAACUCAAGCUAGAACUAAUUGGUCGCAUGUGAUUCUGGCUCUUAAUUGCUGCUCAAGAGAAAAGAAACGUCUGAAGCAAUAAUUGAAACUAAAGCUCUCCUCUUAAUUGGACGUGAAUCUGGCUUUUUUAAGCCUCUCGUAGCGCCGCCAACCAAGGAAAGAAACGUCUCCAGUAGCCCUUCCUUUCCUAAGGGUUUUAAUCCCGUGCUCCUGGUCCACGUAGACCUGGUCUCCUAGUUGGCCUGCUGCUACCAAGCCCGCGGGUCCGGCUUUUAGGUGAGUCUUCUCAAUUUCUAGCGUGGGUACGCCAUGAAAUAGAGAGUCUUCUGAAAAUUUGCCUCGUAAAAGCACUUUUUAUACCAACCACCUGUAAUUCAUACAAACAUGAAAUAUGAGCAAAAUCUCAAUACUUAGCACAGUAAGUAGCCAAAAUUACGAUAAAAUAACAGUGCAAAAUGUGCCCAAUAGUUGUUCUAUCAAGUCACAAUAUAUUUUCAUAUGGAAACUUAUUUUUAACUACAUUUUGUUUCCAAUUCAUGUUUAACUUCUAGGUUUAUCGUGCUAAAGUGUUUUUUCCUAUAUUUCAUUAAUUUUUUGAACCCAUUCCUAAAAUUUUGUUUGGAAUUUAUGUCAAUAAAUUGGUCUUGCUAGUGUAAAACUUAAAAGUCAGUGGUAUAUGAAUUGCCUAAAAAAUAAUUCAAAAGGCUUCCAUAUAACCUAGAGAAAUAUUAUACAUAUACUGUUCUAUUCGAGUAAGAUUAAUUUAGAAAGGCGCUUGGGAGGAAAAGGAAAACUCUACUUUUCUUUUCUUUCAUAAUUAAUGUUCUAUAUCCUUAUAAUAUAAAAUAGGUAUAUGUGUUUUUUGUUAUUAUUUGUUAUUAGUAGGAGAGGGAUAUCAUUUAAGAAAUAUGAGUAGGAGAGGAAUUUGAAUCUAGGACCUUCACUUCCAGGGAUGCAUAUAUAUGUUGUCUUCUAUUUUGAAUGGAAAAAAAAUGGAGAGCUUUCUUAAUAUUAAGGGAAUUUGCUUUUCUAUUCUUGUUUAAUUUCAAAAGAUCAUCCUCAAAUAGUUUCCAAAUUGAGCUCCUCUCAAAAGAAAAUUUAUUUCAAUUAAAUUUUAAGGCAAAUGACAAGUUUCAUCCUUCACAUUUUAUAAAAAUAUUCUUUUUGUCCCUCACUAUUAAAACGAAGCAAAUUCGUCCUUUACAUUUGAAAACUGAAGCUAUUACAUCCCUGAAAUCAACUUUCAAUCUGAAUCCAACUACCUAACAACCCGAUUACAAAUUUUUGGGGUAUAAUUGGUAGAUUAUUUGAUUAAUUGAACUUGAUAUUCACAUGAAAUUUAAUGAAUCCAAAAAAAAAUAAAACAUAAAAGAGAAGGAUUAAUCUUUCCUACAUUGUCAUUAUAUAUAUGGACGUGUCUAGAUAUCUGUCACAUCAUUUGAAUUUAAAUUUAAACGCUAAAGUUUUUAUGUAUGGUAUAAAUCUACACUCGCAAGUGUUAUACUAACAGUGCAUGAAAAAAUUUAUCCAAAAAAGAAACUCUACCAUUCCAAGACAAAGAAUGGCCUUUUUAUGUUUUAAUUUUUUAAUUUUUUUCUUUGUUGGUUCAAUAAAUGUCAUAUGAAUGUGAUGAAAUUGACCGAGUAAUCUAUCAAUUCUAUUCCAAAAAUUUAUUAUUAGGUUACUGGAUAGUUUGAUUCAGAUUGAAAGUUGGAUUCAGGGAUAUAAUAAUUUCAAUUUUUAGAUGUUAAGAAUGAAUUUGCUUUGUUUUGAAAGUGAAGGAUGAAAAGAAUAUAUUUACGAAAUAUGAAUGAUAGAACAAGUCAUUUUCCCUAAAUUUUAAUUCUUAUGUCAACACAAAUUCUAUGGUUAAGACUUUAGGAAUUAGAGGUCUUAGAUUCAAAUCUCCACGCCCCUCCCAACUUCUUAAACCUCAAUCUUCUACUACUAGGAAAAAAAAAUUAAAAACAUGCAUAUUAUGUAACAUCAAGGUUGAUGCUUAUGUCAAUAAUAUCCCUUUAUUGACUUGGUGAAAUCCAAAGUCAGACUUUAAUUUUUAUGAUUACUGAGUAUUUUUUGUAUUCUUCAAGCCCCAGAUUUAAUGAUAGAAUUAAUUAACCAGUAAAUUAAUGGUACUCUAUUUUUCUUCAUCUUCUUUUUAGAAAAUCUAUCUUCUAUUCUUAUCUUAUGCUCAGUUAAGCACAUGACGGAUAUAUCAGCAUUUGUGCAUACUGCUGAAGAUAAAAGUCAGAUUUCUACACAACUAAAGGAAAUUUAUUUCAACUAAACUAUAUAUUUCUAGAUAAAUCAUAAAACUUUUGGAAAUUAAUUCCUACUCCAUAAAUAAUUCUACUUCAAAACCAAGAUCUCAAAGUCCAAAUCACGUAAAAAGCCCAAUCAUUAUUAAGAUUGCGUUCAUGUUUGGAAUAUAAUAGAGUCAUUAAAAUUUAUGAUGACGGCAUUAUAGGAAAAAAAAUUUAAUCACUAACCCAAAUGUGGCUAUUCUUUUUUUAUUUCUAUUUUAGAUUUAACUUUUUGAGGUUCCCUUCAUGGCUUGCAUUAAAGGGUGAUUACUUUUUUUUUUGUCAAACGUUAUCACUUUCAUAUGUAGCUAAAAACUGUUACAAAGUUGGAGCAACUGUUCCUACAUCUUCUCUAGCUAAUCUAACUAACCAGAGAGGGAAGGAAUCUUCCACUUAAUUUCACUAAUCAAGUUUGUGGCAUACUUUGCCAACUUGUGACUAACAUGGUUGCCUUCCCUUCUAAUAAAGGAGAAGUACCACUCUCUAAACUCUUUUCUAAUGACAUAGAUAUCUUGCAGAAUUGAUCCUAUUUUUGGACCAUUGGUGUUUUCUGUUGGACUUGUGAGUGGGCCAGCUCAUUUGUGCAAGUGAACAAAGCUUGACGUUUCUCAAGCAUAAAUACAAGAAGUUGCCGCACAAGCCAAAUAUACAUAGAGAGAAAAGGUUAGCCGCCACCUAGAGAGAAACGAAAGGAGAGAAAGAGUGAGAGCUAGAGAGAGAAAAUUCUUUGCAAUUUUGAAACCUCAGUUGGAAGGUGAUUUGAAGUUCGAUUGAGACGAAAUUUUACAUAUGCGAUCCUCUCGUCAAGUUCUACUCAUCUACCGGUUCAGAUUUUAGAUUUUCUGUUCGUUUGGUAACACCUUUCCAAAUCCACUUCUUUGACAGUUGUAAUUUUUGGGGGGUGAUUUUGUAGCAAUUUUGCUUGGUUGGUAUUGAUGAUAUUAUUGUCAUUCGAAUAUUUCAGGUAGACUCGUGUAUUCUCAUUAUUGUGAUAGUGGAGAUUUUUGACUGAACUAGGUUUUGUAAUUUUUUUCAAUUUGGAUUUUUCACGUAAAAAUCUUGGUGUACUGUCCCUUUUAUUUUUCUUACAUUUUAUUAUUACUGCUGGUAUUUUUAUUUGGUGAUUUGAUUUAUUCCUAUUUUAAAUGAUGCUUGAAAAAAGAGAAAUUUGUCCUGAGUUAACUCUGAUAUUGUGUGCCUGUACUGGUACCCCUUUUCUAAUAAGUAGUAUCAGAGCAGUCAGGUUAGGCUACUCAUUUGUACUGGUUAAAAAUGGAUGAUUCGGAUAGUGGUUGCAUGAUAAAAUUGAAUGCUACUAAUUAUUCGAUUUGGAAGUCUAGAAUGAAUGACUACUUGUAUGGUAGAGAUUUGUUUGAACCUAUUCUAGGGGAUAAAGGUAGACCAAGUGAUAUGAGUGAUGAAAAAUGGGCUGUUAUACAUAGAAAAACUGUUGAUAAUAUUAGAAAAUGGAUUGGUCAAAAUAUGUUUCAACAUUUUGCUAAUGACACCAGAGCUGAUGUAUUAUUAAAAAAGUUUGAAAGUAUGUAUGAAUGGAAGAUCGGUUUGAAUAAGACUAGUUGUUUGAAGCAGAUUACUCGGAUGAAAUAUAAAGAUGGAAAAUAUAUGACUGAACACCUGAGUAAUUUUCAGGGAUUGAUAAACCAGGCAACUAUGUUAAAUUUGAAUUUGGAUGAUGAAGUACAAGCUCUAUUAUUAUUUAGUUUACUACCGGAUAGUUGGAAAAUCAUAGUAGUCUCCGUCAGCAAUUCAACUCCGAAUGGUGUGUUGACCAUGGCUAUUUCAAAAGAAGCCGUGAUGAAUGAAGAGUUUAGGAGGAAGGAACAAGAAAUUGUCUAUAAAUCCCAGACCCUGGUGACAAAAAAGAAAGAAAGAAGAGGGAGAAGCAAAAGUAGAGGACCCCAUAAUAGGAAUAACAAAUCCAGAAACAGGUCUAAAUCGCGAAAAAAUAUUGCGUGCUAUUAUUGUAAAAAGUAUGGGCAUUAUAUGAAGGAGUGCAAAAUCUUAAAACGGGAAUAAGUUGAGAAAAAGGGUAAGACGAAAGAAAAAGGUGAUGAAGAGACUACAAUAGUUGUGGCAGCUCAUUAUGAUAUGUUUGUGUUUUGUGAUGAUGGUCAGGUGAAUAUUAUUCAUUAUAACAGUGAUUGGGUAGUUGAUUCGGGUGCAUCCUACCAUAUUACUCCUCACAGGCAUUUCUUCUCAACCUACACCGAAGGAGAUUUUGGACAUGUUAGGGUGAAAAAUGAGAUCUCAUGCAAAGUUGUUGGUAUGGGAGACAUAUAUUUGAAUACAGAUAUCAGGUGCCAGCUGAUAUUAAUAAAUGCUCGACAUGUCCCUGAAAUUUGCCUUAAUCUUAUUUCUACAGGAAACUUGACGAUGAGGGUUAUCAUAACUUGCAAAUGGAGGCAAAUGAAAACUCAGCAAAGAAAAUCUCGUUGUUGCUAGAGAAAAGAAGUAGAGUACUCUCUACUUGAUGCAAGCCAAGUUGGGGAAAGGAGAAGUGAAUGCAGUUCGUGAUUCAUCAAUUGAUCUUUGACAUAGGCGGCUUGGGCACAUGAGUGAAAAAGGGAUUUAGACACUUGUUCGCAAACAAAUAGUGUAUGGACGGGAAAAGAUGUGUUCUUUAAGCACUUGAGAGUUUUUGAUUGUCGGGCAUUUGUUCAUAUUCCCAAAGAUGAGAGAUCAAAAAUUGAUGUAAAAUCAAAAUAAUGUAUUUUCUUGGGUUAUGGACAUGAAGAUUUUGGUUAUAGGUUGUAUGAUCCUAUUGAGAAAAAGGCGAUCAGAGGCAGAGAUGUUGUCUUCUUUGAAGAUCAAACCAUUGAAGACAUUUAUAAAGGUGAUAACUCAAACUCUUCAGAUGACAUUCCUGCUAACUCAAAUUCAGAUCUAGAUUCAAUUCCAGUACCUGUUGAUUUUAAUCAAGGGGGAGCUGAGACAGAGCAGAGAAAGGUUGUUAAGGAUGGUGAUAAUCCUACUGCUGAUGAACCUGAGCAUGAGGCACCACCUACUCCAUCACCACAAGAUGAGUUUAGAAGAUCUACCAGAGAGAGGAGACCUUCUGGCAGAUAUAAUGCUCAUGAAUAUUUGUUAUUAACAGAUGGAGGAGAGCCAGAAUCCUACCGUGAGGUUUUAGAGCUUGAGAACAAAGAAGAUUGGUUGUGAGCCAUGCAAGAGGAGAUGGUGUCCCUGCAUGAGAAUCACACUUAUGAGUGAGUGAAACUGCCUAAGGGUAAGAGAGUUCUAAAGAAUAAAUGGGUUUACAGGUUGAAAAUUCAAGAGUACAGUUCACAACCAAAGUACAAAACAAGAUUGAUUGUGAAGAGAUUUAGUCAAAAAAAGGAUAUAGAUUUUGAAGAAAUCUUCUCUUCUGUGGUAAAAAUGUCAUCAAUUCGAGUUGUUCUUUGUAUUGCAGCCGGUUUGAAUUUGAAAAUCAAACAACUUGAUGUGAAAACAGCCUUCCUGCAUAGUGAUUUGGAAGAGGAGAUCUACAUGGAACAACCGGAGGGGUUCAAAGAAAGUGGCAAGAAAAAUCUUGUAUGCCGUCUCAAAAAGAGUUUGUAUGGGUUGAAACAGGCACCGAGACAGUGGUAUAAGAAGUUUGACUCCUUCAUAAUAGAUCACGAGUACCACAGAACUAUAUCUGAUCACUGUAUUUAUGUGAAAAAAUUUUCGGAUGGUGAUUUUGUUAUUCUCUUACUAUAUGUUGAUGACAUGUUGAUUAUUGAUCGUGAUACUAUAAAAAUUGACAGGUUGAAAAAGGACUUAAGUAAAUCUUUUGCAAUGAAAGAUUUGGGUCUGGCUAAACAGAUACUGGGGAUGAAAAUCUCACGUGACAGGCAAAAUGGGAAGCUCUAGUUGUCUUAAGAAAAAUACAUUGAGAAAGUACUCAAUAGGUUUAACAUGAGCAACGCUAAGGAAGUCUCAACUCCACUUGCAGGUCACUUUAAACUGAAUAUCAAGCAAUGUCCUACAAGUGAGAAAGAUAAAAAAAGACAUGAAGAAGGUUCCUUAUGCUUCGGCUGUUGGUAGCUUGAUGUAUGCUAUGGUUUACACCAGAUCAGAUAUUGCUCAUGCAAUUGGAGUAGUCAGUCGGUAUCUCUCUAAUCUUGGUAAGGAGCAUUGGAAUGCUGUCAAUGGAUUGUCAGGUAUUUCGAGGAAACUUCUAAAUUGUGUCUAUGUUUCGACAAUGGUAAAACUAUACUAGAUGGAUACACUGAUGCAGAUAUGGCAGGUGAUCUUGACAAUAGGAAUUCCACAUCUGGGUACUUGAUGAUUUUUAUUGGAGGAGCAGUGUCAUGGCAAAGUAAGUUACAGAAGUGUAUCGCCCUUUUUUAGUUCAGAGGCGGAGUACAUCGCAACCAUUGAAGCAUGCAAGGAGACUCUUUGGUUGUAGAAAUUUCUUCAAGAGUUGGGUAUGAAACAAGAGAAGUAUAGUCUUUACUGUGACAGUCAGAGCGCUAUUCAUUUGUGUAAGAACUCUACAUUUCACUCUCGAUCCAACAUAUUGAUGUGAGGUAUCAUUGGAUUCGAGAAGUACUGGAUUCCAAUUUGUUGACACUUGAAAAGGUGCAUACAAAUGAUAAUGGUACCGACAUGUUGACCAAGACAUUACCUAAGGAGAAACUCUUGUUUUGCAGACAAGAAUCAGGUCUGGUGAAGCCCCCCAAAUGAGUUGGAGGGGGAGAUUGUUGGACUUGUGUGUGGGCCAACCCAUUUGUGCAAGUGAACAAAGCUUGAGGUUUUCUCAAGCAUAAAUACAAGAAGCUGCCGCACAAACCAAAUAUACAUAGAGAGAAAAGGUUAGCCGCCACCUAGAGAGAAACGAAGGGAGAGAAAGAGUGAGAGCUAGAGAGAGAAAAUUCUUUGCAACUUUGAAACCUCAAUUGGAAAGUGAUUUGAAGUCCGAUUGAGACGAAAUUUUACAUACGCGAUCCUCUCGUCAAGUUCUACUCAUCUAUUGGUUCAGAUUUCAAAUUUUCUCUUCGUUUGGUAACACCUUUCCAAACUCACUUCUUUGACAAUUGUAAUUUUUGGGGGUGAUUUUGUAGCAAUUUUCUUGGUUGGUAUUGAUGAUAUUAUUGUCAUCGGAAAAUUUCGGGUAGAUCUGUGUAUUCCUAUUAUUGUAAUAGUGGAGAUUUUUGACUAGACUAGGUCCCGUGAUUUUUUCCAAUUUGAGUUUUUCACGUAAAAAUCUUGGUGUCCUGUGCCUUUUAUUUUUCUUGCAUUUUAUUGUCACUGCUGGUAUUAUUAAUUGGUAAUUUGGUUUAUUCCUAAUUUAACUGGUACUUGGGGAAAGAGAAAUUUGUUCUUGGGUUAACUCUGAUAUUGUGUGCCUGUACCGGUACCCCUUUCCCAACAUUUUCUAACAUGAUUUUCUCCACUGCCACUUUACAAUCUGACUGAAUUUCUACCUUUCUCUAGCCUUCUAACUUUGCUUUAAAAAGUGCAUUCCUGGUUGUAUUUGUUUCUUCAAUCAACGGUUCACUAUUUCUUUGUUCGGGACCUACGCAAGCACUUAUAAUUGCUCCGUUAGCUCCUCUAGCAAAAAUUCCCCAGUUAGCCUUGCCUUUCCUUGUAUCUACUGUUGCAUCAGUACUGAGCUUGAUUAUGCCUUCUUGCGGUAGUAACCAUUUGUUCUUGCCUCUUGUGUUUCCCUCCUUUUCUUCUUCUUCAUCUACUUUCUCCGUCUGUACACUCUGACAUUCAAACCAUUCCUGCAUUGCCCCAUUAAUUAUCGAACCUAGAUGCUUUCUUUUCUUGUUGAAAUGUAUCUGAUUUCUUGACUUCCAAAUCUGCCAUAGGAUAUUUACUGUUAGUAUAAUAUGAUCUUUUCUUUCAACUCUAUCCUUGGCUCCCAGGAUGCUAUUCCACCACAACCAAAACUUAUUUCCAAACUCAUGGAUUUCAGCCCAUUUAAUUGGAGCCGCGUUCCAUUUCAUCUCAGCAUGGCUGCAAAAGAAAAACAUAUGUUCAAUUGUCUCUUUACCUUCUCUACAACAUAUGCAGUUAUCAUCUUCUUUUCCUAUUCUAUUCUCAACACCUCAUUCACUGGGAUUAUUCUAUGUAACAUUUCCAUAUGAAAUGUUUGAGCUUCUGCUUCAUAUUUAGACUCCAUAAAGACUUCUAGACUUUAGUGUUUUGCUCGUUUCUACAACUACUCGCUUCUUGCUGUAUCCUUUCCAUUUUUUUCCUUUUGGAUCUUCUUUGCAACCAUAUAUCCAGUUUUACCAAUAGACACUCUUGUAGUUGAGUAUGGCCACACUAGUUUGUCUUUUCCAUUGCAGAUGCUGAGUAGGAUACCGAUGAUACGCUUGCAAUCUUCUUCACUAAACACUACUUUUAUCUUAUCCACAUUCCACUUUCCAUUUUGUAUUAAUUCAUACACCUUCUGCAAUUGACAAUUUGGUGGCUUUGAAGUAAAUACCUUCCCUUUUCCUCUAUCCAUUAUCCAUUUGUCCCUCCAAAUAUCGAUAGUACGUCCAUCUCCUACUCUUUUUCUAGCACCCCUUUCAAGCAAAUCUCUGGCACUUAUAAUACUUCUCCACAUCCAUGAAUCACUAGCUCUAAUCUUCAUCUCCCAAAUUGAUUGUCCCUUAAAGUACUUUCCCCUCAGCACCUUGCUCAUAAUCAAAUUACGUUGAGUCAGUAUUCUUUAUAACUGUUUUGCCAACAUUGCACUAUUGAAUUCCUGAAUUUGCAGCAUCCUUUUCCAAUUCAUCCAAUGAAUUCUCUUCUCCUUCUCCUUUUCUCCCCACCAAAACUUUGCCAUCUCUUUAUUGAUCCCCUCACAUAAUCCUUUAGGCAAUUUGCAGCAUGCCAUUGCAUACGUUAGCAUAGCUAUGAUAACUGACUUUAAAAGCACCUAUUUGCUUGCUUGAUUUAAUGACCAUUCUUUCCACAUUUUCAGUUUAUUUAUCACCUUUUCCUUCAUGUAGCUAAAGACUUGCCUUUUGGACCUACCAAUUACCAUUGGCAAUCUAACAAGAUUCUACCAUGCCCCAAAUUUUAAUAAAAUCUAAAUACCCUAUUUUCUACAAGUAUACAGAUAAUUUAUCGAGUGUAGGGAUAUUAGGCGUGGAUCCCACAUAGAAGAUUGUCAAUUAUCGAUGGUUUUGAAUUCUUUUAUUAUUUAGACUACCACAAAUUCAAGAGAUUAAAUCUACACUACACACAUGAAAUAAGAGUAAUAAAAAUAACAAUAGAAAACUCCUAAGGUUAUGAAAUUUCUUACUACUCUUGCAAGUGAAAUUAUCGAUUAAUGAAUGUUAUUAACUUGGUUAGUUAUAGUGUAAUUUCAUAAUUUCUGUGAAACCUAUUCUCAUAGUAAAUCAACUAUACUUUUGGUUAAACCAUACCUACUCUCAUGGUUAUGAAAUUAACUACAAACUUAUUUUUCUAUGAAAUUACAUGGAACAAACUAUGAAAACCACAAAAGUGUACCUCUACUCUCGUGAGUGUACUCUCUAGGUUUAGUACUUUUUUGAACUAGUGUCAAAUUCUAAUUCUCAUUGCAAACUGAACACCUUAAAAUUAUCACAAUUAAUGGCCGAUAAAUCAUGAUUAGAAAAGCAAAAGUGAUAACUAGCUUACUCAAAAUAAUAUAAUCAAAUAACCAAGUAAAUACUACAAAAAAAAUAUAGAAAAUUCAUCCAUAACUCUAAGUAUAAAUUUAAGCAAAAUAUGAAGAGAAUGAAAGAAAAGACCAUACUUGUAUUAUAGUUAAACAUGAACUCAAAUACAAAAGUCAAAGUCAUAGGAGAGAAGUCACUCUUGUCACAUGAGUUCCAAGCUCUCCAUCUUGUUUCUUAAUUUUUCAUCCAAAUCUAGCUACAAAUACAAGAAGAAUAAACUACACUAACUAUACUACACUAAUAAACUAAGAAAAACUAGUGAAGACUACAUUUUGGUAGUGUUUCUAGCCUUCGAAAGUUAUUAAACAAGCUAGGCCCUAUUUAUAGAGAAUUAAAGUUUCAAGCAAUCAUGUUUCAAGUUGUGCUAAUUGUGUCUUGAGAUUCCCAAAAUUUGUUUCUCCAAAUUUUCAAGAUGCUUCUUGCACUUUUCAACUGAAAUUCGUUCAGAGCUACAAAUACAAGAAGAAUAAACUACACUAACUAUACUACACUAAUAAACUAAGAAAAACUAGUGAAGACUACAUUUUGGUAGUGUUUCUAGCCUUCGAAAGUUAUUAAACAAGCUAGGCCCUAUUUAUAGAGAAUUAAAGUUUCAAGCAAUCAUGUUUCAAGUUGUGCUAAUUGUGUCUUGAGAUUCCCAAAAUUUGUUUCUCCAAAUUUUCAAGAUGCUUCUUGCACUUUUCAACUGAAAUUCGUUCAGAAAAUUGGUCCAAAAGUAGUAGGAAAGAGCUGCAAGUUGAAGUACAACUAGUUCCAGCUAUAAAGCAACCAAAAUGUGAAUACACACCCUCAAAAUGUGGGUUGAGGCCACGUAUUGCCUCCCCUGCACGUUUGCACUUUUCUUAUCAGUCUUCAACAUUGCUUUAUUUUUGUGCCAAAUUUAACUGGUAUUUUCUCAAUAAUGAAGGCCAAAUUAGCUCUUGUACAAAAAUAAAAGUUGCAACCCUUUAGUUAGCUUUUCAAUGCACUAAGAGUCAUGUAAUUUUGAGCUCUGUAGACUGAGAAAUGACCAAAAGACCCAUGACUAGUCAAUCCCCUGUUUCACCUUUCGACAAAAAAAAAAGGCUGACUAUAUUUCAACUUUUUGACUAGAAAAACUCAAGAAAUGGAUUUCAAUGUCUCAUAAUAAAUAUAGGGCUAUGUGUUAUAUUCAAAAUGGCUCAAGAAUCAUCUCAAUCCGAUGCUUCUAACUCAAGAUAUAGCCAAAAUACCAAAGGUGUCAAAGCCGUCAAACAUUUUUUCUUUUAUACUUGAUUGCAUUUCAUCUUUUGAAUAUUUUGCACUUCAUAUUCUCUUUAAAUCACUUCAAAUCAUCAACAAUCAUCCAAAUAUCUUUUCAAUUCAUUACAUUUGACUAUUGAAUCAUUAAAGCCUACAAAAACAUAAAGUUUUCAUCGUUUGAACACAUAGAAACUCAAUUUUUUAUACUUUGAACCACAAAAUGCAUAAUUCACUAGAAACCUAGUUAAUUAGUUAUAAUAAUGAAUAAAACACAUCAAAACUAAAUGAUAAAACACAUUUAAAUCACUCAAAAUGCACAGUUAAGUACUUACUUUGCUUUACUUCUUUCAUUCCACCAAGAAUUUCCACUAAAGGGUGAUUACACUAAAAGAUUUGGCUUCCAAUCAGUCGGUAUUCUAGACAUUGAUAGGUUUCAGCACAUUAGAUUUACGAACUCUUUUUUUUUUCGUUUUAACGACUUAAAUUUUUUUUUUAUCAUCAAAUGCAAUUCUAUUAUACAACUUAUUUUCAUCAUUUGAUCCAUAAUACCUUCGUAAAUCAAUACCAAAUUGAAAGAAACAAUAACUAAAUAUAAACACAAAAAGAAACAUGUUAAAAGUGGAAUAAGGAUGAAAAGGUCUGAUCACAUUGUUGACAAUAAUAGUGAUAGAGUUGAGGUGAGCAUUUUUGCAAAUCUCACAAAAGACUUGAUGUUGACCACUAAAAAAAAGGAAACAAUUGGAUGAGCAAUAAUUAUCUCACCAAUUCUUUUCACUCUUUACUAUCACAUAAUACAAGGUAGUUCAAAUUGAGCUUGCAGUCUAACAGCUACGUGACUAAUGACCAGAAGAAGGUUUGGUAUAUGUUGGUUAGUCACAAAUACUUGUGAAAAGAGCAAAACUUAGGAUCCAAUAGCUUGUAUACUUGCAAGAAAGUACUACACAAACAAACGAUAAUUGAUUUGGUCGAAUGUGAUCAGAGCAUCUUAUAAGCUAGAAUCUUAUACUAAUCGAUGACAAACAUCUAUGAAAUAGUUAGAGUCUUACUCUCAUCCUAGCAAAUCAAUUUCUUAGUUAGAGUCUUACUCUCAUCCUAGCCAGGUUUUAUUAUUAUUUUUUCUCGGUUAAUAACUUCCAAAUAUUAGAUUCAUGGUUUCUUUUUAGAAAUUCCUAUGUUUUAUUUGAUGUAUUUACUUUCAGUUGACAUAUAAGCAUUAUUCAAUGCAAUAUGCGGUAGGUUUUUUCCUGCUUCUGCUACUGUCAAAAAUUUUGUUUUCUUUUGCAAGUCAAAAUCAAAUUAGGAUUUGUUAUCCCUUAUGUUAUAUCCAGAAUCUAGUAGAAUAAGAUUAACAUUAUGUUAUUUGGUAGAAACUAUGUUUAAUUAAGUAAUUUCAUCCCAAAUCUAACUAUAUUUCGUAAGAAAAACGUAAUAUGGUUCUCUUUCUAAAAUAAAAACUUUAGGAUGAUAUUACACAAGUCAUUCAAAUUUGGAACUAGCCUUAAUAUGUUAUGGGAGGGUUAAUGUUGGAAAGUAAAAACUACUUUUUACAAUAAUUAAUAAAGUAGAAAUACUUCUUCAAUUUCCUUUUACAACAUGGUUCCCCUUUUUUUGGGUUUAACUUUGUUUUACAAUAUGAUGUCCCUUUUUUUUUUUUGUUUAACUUUGUUUGGAAUUCCUUCCGUUUAGAAUACUAAAUUUUAAAAGACAGUUUUUACAUCAACACUAAUAAUAUCCAUAAAUAUUCCUCACCCAAUUCGUAUUUGAAAUUUAAUAUACGUUUCAUUAUUUAAUUAUACAAGCGUGUUACUGGAAAGCCAAAACUAAAUCACUAAAACACCGAAUCACACUGGUGCUUUUAGUAUAUACACAUGACAGAUAUUUAUAGGGAUGGCAAUGGGGCGGGGGACAACUCCCCCAACCCCCGCUCCGUUGCAUUUUAAUUCCCCCCCCCCCGGGUUCCCUCGCCCAGCCCCGCUUCCUCCGCGGGGCCACUCUUGGGGUUAAAAAAAUUUUAUUAUAUAAUUUCAUUAUAAUUAAAUUUGAGCAAAUAAUCAAGUACUAAAAUAUCAAGUCAUCACCAAAUUAUUAUUUAUUGUAAUUUCACAAUUGAAACUCAUACAAAUAGUUAAACAAAGGUUAUUUGAAUACAAUUUAAUAUGAUAAAACAAAUAUAAUUAAAAUAAUCAAGUUUUCACUUUUGAUACAAAUACAAUCACUAAAUUAUUAUUGUAUUUUUUUUAGAAAAAAGUGUUAUUGUAUUAAGUGUAGUUAGGAAUUUAACAUAAAUGUAUUAAUAAAUUUAGUAUAAAUAAUUAAUAAUUUUUAUUAAUAGACAUGUAUAAUUAGUAGUAUAAUUGAUAAUAUCAUUAUAUAUAUAAUUAUGUACAUACAUAUAUAUAUAUAUUUCAAACGGGUGGCGGGACGGGGGAGUAUACCCCCGCCCCGUUUCUAAACGGGGGGAAAAAAUUCCCCCCUCCCCCGCCCCAAUGAUCCCUGCGGGUGUUUGCCCCCGUUGCCAUUUCUAGAUAUUUACACAGAGAGGCUUAUUUGGUAUCUAGUCUAGGGCGAUAUCCGCAAAACCAACGAGGCAACCACAAAAUUGAAAAAUAAAAAUAAAAUGCCUUGAGAAACAUUAGACAUAGAUUCAAGGGAUUGUCAACCAUGACAUUCCAAAAGAAAAGGAGAACAACAAAUCAAAGAGGAGAAUCAUCGAGGACAUCAGAAAUUAAAACCCAAUAAAUUAACUUUCUGAUGUUGAAAUAAUGGUCAAGUGAAAGGCAUCACAACUCCAAAACUUGUUUUCUCCUUUUUGUUAAUAACAGCUCGUAUAAGUGUGAACAUUGUGGAAGAUAGAAGCAUAAAUCAGCAUAACGAGAAGAAAAUUGAAAAUAAACUUAGGAUCCAUGAGCUACUAAUGACUUGGCCCAAGUGUUUUAAACCAGUAAUUUAAUAAACUUCAAAAGUUUUUAUUGAGCUAGGUAUGUAAGAUGUGUAAGAUGUGUAAAAUGCAUUCAAGGUGCUCUGCCUGUGAAAGCAGCAGUAAAUAGACGAACGGGGGAGGGUGAUCCGAUAUGUAAGAUGUGUGGUUUAGCACAGGAGACAGUCGAACAUCUUUUGCUGAAUUGCCCCCACUCGGAAAACAUAUGGAAGGCAUCUCCCAUUCAGUGGGAUGGAGCAAAGGAGCAGCAGGGAGAUUUCAAAAGGUGGUGGUUAAGAAUCUCUGAAGCAAGGCACAGGUCAGAAGGGAUGGAACACAUUGGAUUAACUGCAAACAUCCUGUGGCAGGUGUGGAAGGAAAGAAACAAAAUAGAAUUCGAGAAUGCUAACUUCGAUCCCCCCUUCAAAUCUAUAAGGAAAGCUCAUUUGGAAUGGUUAGAGCAGCAGCAGAUAGAGUACAAAGAAAAAGAAGAGAGCACGUUUGAAACAGUCCCUAGGCAAGAUGUUCAGCAUCAGAAUUAUGUAAAUGAAGGAGAAGUGCUAAUGGAGGUGAAUACAACCACGAAGCAAGGGCAGUUGUUUGUGGGAAUUGGAGUCACAGUUCAGUUUUUUGCAAGGAACACGAUGAUAGGGUGGGCACUGAAAGACAUUAGUUCUGGAAACAAAAUCCUAGAUGAAGCGUUGGCACUGAAGCUGGUGUUGUGUAAAGCUGUACAACGCAAGUGGAGCAAUCUUAAGCUGAGAUUUUGUAACAAAGAACUGUGGAGACAAUUAAAAUAUCAGAGCCCAGCAAACAGCAAAAUGGCAACAGUACUUGAAGACAUCUCUCAGUUACAGAGAUUGUUUUGCAUGUGCUCUUUUGUUUUGGAUAGGGAAGAAAAUAUGACAGUCAGUAAAACAUUGAGUGUUGAUGCGUUAAGCAUUAUUGUGGAUGAGGAGCGACAGCUUCCUCAGUGUCUUUGAACACUUGUUUGUAGAGUUCCGAUCGAGCCGUUGCUCGCACUUGUAAUUUUUUUUUUUUACCAUGAAAGCAAUGAAAUCAUCUUAUCGUUUCGACAAAAAAAAAAAAAAAGCUAGGUAGCCUGGACUGACGUAACAAUUGGGGUUCCAAUUUAAUCUAUCAUCUCACUUCUUUCUUUCUUUUGUUUUUGUUUUCAUCCAUAACAGUGUAGUUAACCACCAUUGCCAUUACUAUUACUAGAGAGGACGAAAGGCGGCUCUUUUUUACCAAUCAGAAUCGUCAUAUCCUAUCUAAUUAGUCAUUUAGUUUACUGUAAUGUAAAGAAAACGUAAGAUACGCUCGACAAAGCCAAAUCAUAAUUUUGUGUUUCUAUUUUCCUUCUUUCUUCUUUGUGGGAAAUUAUGUAUACUAUUAUAGUACUUGAUCUUUAAUUGCCAAUAAUAUUGAAGUUGACACAUGUUUCAUUCUAUAAUUAUCAUGUCUGGAGGUGCAAUUUUUUAUUCUGAGGUUUGCCUUUUUUGAUAGAUUAUAUUCACCUUUCAUCAUCGAAUUGAAUUUUCAACGUACCAAGGUUUUCUCAAAUAGCUUCGUACAAGAUGCAUGAUAUUUGUUCUGAUUUACCAUAUCAUCUUAGUAUUCGUAUGGGAUCUUUCUGUUUACCUGAUCAUUGUAAUGAUAUAUGGUUAUAAUGGAACUAAAUGGGAGGGUAGUUAGCGGGAGCCCGAACUAAAUUCUUUUGAAUAUGAGACCUUGAUUAUGACAAUACAUAAAUACCCUCAAUGAUAUUAGAAACUGCAUUCAAAUUUAGGGACAUGAUAUAGUCGUAAUUAUUUUGUAAGAAGGGUGAUCUUGAAAAGAAAAACUCAAAUGCUCAAUCAUCAAAACAAACUCGCUCUUAGCUUAGAUAUAGAUAUAGAUGAAUCUUUAUAAUUAACAAAGUACACCAUGGCAAUCAAUAAAAGUCAAUGGUAGGUAGAAUAGCUGGCAUCAAGGAACACCAUGUUGAAGGUAACUACUGCAUAGAUAUGGAUAUAGACAAAUAUAAAUAUUUAUAAUUAACAAGGUAACUACUGCAUAGAUAUAGAUAUGUUGAUCAAUAAAAGACAAUGGUCGGUUGAAAGCUGGCAUCAUCCUUGAAGGUGUCCUUUAGGACAGGAGCCAGAAAGCAAAACGAAGGAGAUCAGUAAAUUUAUCACAAGAUGCCUUGAGCUUACAAGAGUCAUCCUUGACAACGUCCUUUUGGACAAAAGAGCUAAAAAAAAAAAAAUUGAAGGAGAUCAAUAAAUUAAUCACAAGAUGACCUGAACUUACGAGGAAGCCAAUUUGUGCAAUAAUACACCAUAUUUUAUAGAUGGGAAUCUGCAAGUGGUGGAGUUGGGUAAGACUCUGCUUAUGCAAUUGUGGGGUUCCAGGCUUCAAAAUAAUGCAAAGAUGACAAUCAUGAGUUGGAGCCAGCUUAUUGAUGACAAUAAUGCUGUCUGAGAUGUGAAAUGUGAGAGUUGAAUGCUGUCUGAGCUCAUUCCAGUGUGAAAGAACCUUUUGCGAUAGCAAAAUGCUGUUCUCUGCCAGUCUCAUUCGGUCAUUUGCAAUAUGAUUAUGGUUACCUAAUCAUUUACCUACGGUAUAUCUAUAUGAGGGCAAAACUCGUUCACAUGCAUUAAUGCUAACAAUAAUGAUCUACAAUACUAAACAAGAUAUAUCACGAUAUAUGCGUUAUAAUCUUAUGUUUCUCUCUCUUCUAUUGUUACCUGAUUUUUCUUUCACCAUCCUUGCUUUUUAUUUCACCAUCUCCCUAAAUGGUAAGUCAUCUAGAUAUGUAGUGAUUUUCUUGUAGCAAUACUCUAUUUUUAAAUAGGAAUCUCCAAAAAUUUUUUAAGAAGGAUAGAGUAUUGUACACCAAUUUGUUAUUUAUAUGGUACUGCAAGUAUUCAAAACUCAAAAGGAGGCCUUAAAAGGGGCAAACAAUAAAGUAAAGGAAGAAGGACCUCAUGACUCGUGAGGUCAGAAUUAUUCUUUGAGCAAAUUGCACCGAAUGUCAUUAAACCAUUCACUUUUACUAUUUUUGAUAAUUAAACUAAUUUCUUAGCCGAAAAUGUUACUAAACUAACCAAAUUGUAUGUUUUGGGUCAUUCUGUCUAAUUUGAUCCUCAAAAGAGAUAGAAUGGCUGUCACAUGAUCUGCACAUGUAGGGUUUGAAGGACAAAAUCGUCCAAACAUUUCAAGUGGACAAAAGGGACACAAAGGUCAAUCGUUUAAUUCACAAUCUGGAAUUCCUCUCAGUUUUAAUUGAGUGAAAAAAUUUUCUCCAUUUCUCCUGUGAAAUCGAAUUGAAACUAAAUAGAAAAUCUGAAGAUGCAAGUGAAAGAUAGAAGACGAAGUUCAUCAGUCAAGCAAGUCCUAGGUUGAUUUCCUUUUCUCAGCAGCAUCCCAGUAUAAAGAUUGCAUGAAAUUCUUGGACAAUCUUGCAGCAAAUUCAAAUGCAAAGUAGGCAAGUUGAGGCUCCUUAAAAUCUAUCUACACAGUGAAGGCGCUCUUCCUUUGUGUGUUUCUUGCUAAGUCAUUUAUUUUUGCCCAAAUGCUAUCUCGCACCGAUCACACCCUCCUGAACAAGAAAUAGUAGCACUAUUAGCAUGGACAUUAUAUCAAACAUUUGGCGUACAACAUGAAAAAAUGGUCCCAAUUACUUAGCCGACAAGGAUUCCCACAGCGGUUAAGCUUCUUAGACUACCAGAUGAUGCUAGACUUCUGGCUCAUUUAGCAUUGAUCUUGAUGUCGAGUAAUGAAUUUGAAAGUCCAUUUUGAUUCCCAAGUCUCUAGAACCUUAUUUCUGUAGUACGAGCAAUCUUGGCAUCCUCUGGAUCUGGCUCAGGGAAAUCCAUGUGAAAUGACCCCGGUUUGAUGGGUGCAUCAGCCUCUAGGAGUUUAGAUGUGAAAUGCGGGAAUUGGGUUUCUAUGAAGGGAUGCUGAAAUUGUGAUUGGAUCAGCUUGCUUUCCCCUUCCUCUCAGGUGCAUAUUAGAACAGGUAAAGAAAUUUAUUUCAUUAAUCCGACUUUAUUUCCCAGAUUCUUCAAAAUGAUUUUCAUCCCACAGUAGCGAGUCGGAGUCGGUUCCUUGCAUCUUGAUCUUGAGAUUUGGGCAGAAAUUGACAAGAGCAUUGGGGUUUAGAUUUGGUGAAUGAAAUUGUCCGUAAUGUCGAAGGGCUGUUUAUGAAGACAAUUUUCAACCAAAGCUACCCUGGUGAUUUUGCCUCCAAAAAGCACGCUUGCAAGCCACGUGAUAGCCAUUCUAUUUCUUUUGACGAUCGAAUUAAGACAGAAUAACUAAAAACAUAUAAUUUGGUUAGUUUAGCGAUAUUUUCGGCUAAGGAAUUAAUUUAGUGACCAAAAGUAGUACAAGUGAAUAAUUUAAUGACAUUUGGUGCAAUUUACUCUUAUUCUAUCAAGCGCACGGCAGAGCGGCCAAAAUUGGAAAAGAAUAUAAAAUUAUGAAUGAAAUGCAGAGAGGAACCAAGAAAUUCAUAAAUUACCUUCAAAUGUCAAAAGAGUGGUGUUUUUCACCUACCAGCGCACCCUUUAGGCUUUAACGCGCUGCUGCCCACCCACCUCUUUUUCAAAUAAGUGGUAGAUAUAUAGAUAAUUGCAAUGAUUUUUCGACUAAAAUGGGGUUGUACUUUUAUUAUUAUGUUUUUCUUUUGGUCAAAUGAUGUGUAGUCAAAUAAAGAGGAAUUUGCUGAAGAAUAUAAGGGUUCAAAUCUUAUCUAUUAAAAGCCAGCUUCCUGAAUUUCAAAGAAGGAAGUUGAUUAGAAAUCUCUUCUUCAUAUUCUGGUUUUUGACAGAGUAGAACUUAAACAUUUGCUAUUAAUCAAACAAAAAGCCAACCAAUCGUUCUUGAUUGCUCACAUGUUGCUAAAUCUUAUCGUAAGCAUCGGAUCUUGGUUGCCUGCAUAAUUAUCAUCUUUUAAUUUUUCAAUUAAUUAUGCUGGAAAUGAAUACGAGUUCCACUUCAUUGCUAGUAUCAACAGGAUUUACUAUUUGACAGAAAAAAAAACAGGAUUUACUAGUAUUAGGAAUAAAUGUAGUUGAGAUAAAAAUGUGAUACUUAAUAUUUAUAUUAUUUUAUAUUUUUUCUGAGUUUAGUUUGCUCUAACCAAUACAAAUAUACAAGCAAUAAAUUAUUCUUUGUUCCAAGAGCACUUUUAUUUUGUAAUAGUAUCAAUAUUUUUGUCUUUGGUUAAAUUAAGAUGACCUAAAUGUUCUUUUUUAUGGCAUUUGAGUUUAAAUUUUUAAUUUUUUGAAUAAUUUGUUGCUCCCCUUUAAGUCAUUCAAUGAAAUGUUUAUUAGUUUUAGUGAGAUUUUUUAAUUAUUAUUAUUAUUAUUUGCCAACGGUGGAUUAUCAAAUGAUCUAUAGUGCUAUUGUUAUUAUAAUAGUAUCUAAAUAUAUUUAAAUUCCAUUGUUCGAAUUUAAAUAGCUUAACUUUGAAGAGAAAUGUUUUGAUUUGGUGAAACUUAUUUGUAUUUCGCAUUGAUAACAUGUUUUAUGGUUACAGAGUUUAUAUGAUUAAAAAUUGUAAGACAUUAAGGUUAUUUAUUACAUAAUAGUCAAUUUGAACUUGGAUAUAUUUUAUUCACUUUUGAAGUACUCCUUGAAAUUGAUAUUUUAUAUAAAAAAAAAUUUUUGGCUUAAUUCACCACAACUCGAAGGGAUGUUUUAGCUUUGUAAUUAUUAUUUUGAUUGGUAUUAAUGAACAUAAUAUUCAUUAAUUGUAGUUUAAUACUAUUAGUUGUUACAAGAAUAUGAUUGAUGAAGUUCAUUAAAUUUAAUCUUUAUUGCAAUUUAAAUAAAUAAAUUCCCAACAUAAAACUCUUUGCCUACCUUGUUACUCCAUUUUCUUUGUUUUUUUGUAAUAAAUUUUUUUUUUACUCAAAACUAAUAUACGCAUAUUAAAAAGGUGCUCUUAAAUCUUAAUUUACUUUUAUCCAAAAACUAAAAAAAAACUCAAGGUACUUUUUUAAGACUCAUAAUACCAAUUUAUUAUAUUUUGUUUCAUGUUUGAAGUACUGUCUAAACUUGUUUAUUGUAAAUUAAAUUUGUUCUUCUUUCUUUUGGCAAGUAGAAAAGUAAGGAAUUUUUCAUUUUUGUAAAUUGCUAGCAUGUUUGAUAGUAUUUAUUAAUGAUGAGAUGCAGCGCAAUUUGUCCAUUUAUUAGAAAGGAGUGUAAUUUUGGCAUCACAUAAACUAAUAUCAUUUUUUGCUUACACUAUUAACCACUAAGAUUCACCAUAUUCUUUUAAUAAUUUAUAAACUAAAUUUGUUCUUCUUUUUUCAAUUUAAUUCACUAUAACUCAAGGGAAUGUUUUUCAUUCUUGUAAUUGUUGGCAUAAUUGAUAUUAAUUAUUGAUGAAAUGAAAUGAAUUGGUUGUUCUUUUUUUUUUUUUUUGUUUCAUUCACCGGAAUCACCACAAUUUAAGAAAUGUUUCUUUGUAACUGUUAGUAUAACUCUUAUUAAUUAUUAAGGAAAUGCAAUGUAAUCUAUCCAUUUAUUAGUGUUAAGAACAAUAUUGGCAUCACAAAAAUUAAUAUCAGUUUUUGCUUACACUCACAAUAAAGACUCAUCAUGCUUUUUUUUUUCUUAUUAAUAGCUUCAGGUUAUAAAGAUUACCAAUCUCUUGAGGGAUUGUACCUGCCAAAUAAAACUGUAGUCUUGAAUUAAUGCACGAAAUUGGAAGAUACAAUUUAGAAGCCAAUUAUGAGUCAGGGUCUUCCGUAAGAAGAAUUUAUCAAGAUGCAGUGCUAAACAGUAUUGUGACUCCUAACAACUUCAGUUUAUUCUUCAUAACUUCAGUUCCUUUGCCACAAAGUACACAGAGCGCUCAUUCUCCAUUUACUCUUAUCUUAUGGCUCAUCAUGCCCGUCAGCUCCAAUAUGUAUAUAAAAAUAUAGUUAGCUUUAAUUAUCACGCAUAAGAAUAUAAUAAUUGAAGAUAAUUUUGACAUGUACAAUAAUUGGAGAUGAAGAAAAUGAUUGGUAAAUAUAGUUGUAAGUGGGAAAUUCUUAAUUUUAAUUACCAAUAAUAGAAGAAAUUUUUAAAUUUAAUUUCAAUGUAAAAAUGUUUUUAAGAAACAGUGAUACACAUUGUAGGUUUAUUAGCACAUAGUAAUUAUACUAGUCAAUGAUGAAUAAUCUCAUAUCAUAUACAAUGUGACUUUAGACAUUGGCAAAUUUAGGAAGGAAAGAAUAGAAUGGAAAAUACCUACCACGUAAAAUGAGUCAUAUAGUAAACUAGGGUGUAUAUCCAAUAUUCGCUAUAUUUAUUAGAUGAACCAUUUUUAAUGUAGGUUGUACAAGUACAAGUGAGGACAAACCAAAUUGGGUUUAUGUAUUAUCUCUUACCAAAAUUUAAAUGUUAUUAUUUAGAUUUUUUUUUAAUGAAACGGUAGAUAUUAUCAAUACACUUCUAACUUGCCAACCUCUUGAUCGUUUGCUAAAUCAAUUAUAGAAAAGAUCAAGAAACAAUAAAUAAAAGAGUAAUAUACAGUACAUCAAGUCGUUAACAACAUCACACAAUAUACACGAUGUAGUAUGCAAUAAAUAAGGUAAAAUACAGAAAAAAAAAAAAAGAUGCAAUGUCGUCCACAUUCCAUAACCAGAGAAAGGGGAGUUGCUGCUGCUGCUGCUGCUACUUGCUAGGAAAGAUUAUAUGUUUUCCUCUUCUCCGCCCACAGCCAGCGGUCUCUCCAUUCAAUUACAGAUAGAAAAGAUCAAGAAACAAAAAGAUAACAACAAUAUCACUCAUCAUAUACGAUACAUAUAAUAAAUAAGAAGGUAAGACACACAAGAUGAUGAACUUCUCUCAUGGAUGUCGAAGGGAAAAAAGAUUAAGAAAAAAUAAAAACAAAAGAAGAGGAAGCCGUGUUGUCCACAACACGGAGGGUACAAACUAGAGAAAGGGAAGCCUCGGCAGCUGCUAUUGCUAGGAAUGAUUAUGUCUUCUUCUUCUUCUCCUUCUUCUCCCAUAGCUGGUGCUCUCUCCAUAUCCUAUCAUCUGUAUAGUAACCAAUGAGAAUUUCAGGAAUGUGUGCGAUUCUUGUGUAAUCUUCACUUUCUUCCUUCUGAUUCUCUAACAGCUUCUCUCUCAAUUGAGAACUCAUCUCAUACAAACCCAGCAGUUGAAGAUGGCUCAAGUACUGAAUGCCCGAAGGUAACUCCUCUAGUAACGGAAGUUGUUGUGUAAUCUUCACUUUCUUCCUUCUGAUUCUCUAACAGCUUCUCUCUCAAUUGAGAACUCAUCUCAUACAAACCCAGCAGUUGAAGAUGGCUCAAGUACUGAAUGCCCGAAGGUAACUCCUCUAGUAACGGAAGUUGUUGCAAAAAUAGUUUUUGGAGACGAGGCAAUGCACCCUCCUCCACUCUCAUCCAUCUCAACCCUUCCAUUCUCUUUAGGUGCAUCAUCUUCAGCAUUAGGAACCCUCCAGUCUUGAAACACAACCCUUCUCCCUGGUAAGAUCCACAGAAAUUGAUUUCACCCAAAUUGGGCAAAUGUUGGAGGGAUUCAAGCGGAUCCUCCUCACUCCUUAACCUGCUCCAGUCCAAAUCUAUUCUUACCAAGCCGUGAAGACGAGCUACCCAUUGUGGCAUCUUUUCUAAGCGGCCACACAAAAUCAGCAUACGAAGAGAUUGAAGAAACGAAGAAGAAGAAAGAGAAGGAUGAUGAUGAUUUAGGUCGAUUAUCUCGUGAUCAUCACCUUUUCCAAUUGAAUAAACACUUAAUUCCCGAAGACUGGUGAGGUUGGCAAGGGAGGAGCAGAGCUCCUUUCCAUCUUCUCUUCUUAACUUUGUAAUAUAUAGCUGUCUUAAUUGGGUCAGCUUUCCUAUCUCCUUAACUAUUGCGGAUCCACUACUUGCAUCUAUGCAGUCUAAUACUUCUAGGGCAAGAAGCCUUCCCAUAUUCGAUGGAGCUUUAAAUCCGUGAGAUCCAUAAUCAUCAUCUGAAGAAUCAACUUGUUGAUAUACUUUGAGAAACCGAAGUUUUUGCAGCUUUAGAAUUUCCAUGGGCAAUUCCCUAACUCCGGUGUUACCCAAAUUCAGAUACUCCAGAUGUUGAAGCUUUCCAAUGGCUUUCGGGACUCUCUCCACUCUUGUACCAUAUAGGUCCAGAUGCUUGAGAUGAAACAUCUUGAAAAUCUCAUUUGGUAUUUCCUCCUGGGUCUCUUGACCACCGAAAUCCAAAACCUUUAACAGCUUACUGCUCCCUAAAACUUCCGAUAACAGCGUUUUGAAUAGUAGCUGGUUCGUGGAUUCAAUCGUAACGAAUGAACGAAGGUGGUCAAAGCAAUUAUUUUGUCUUUGUUGGUGGUGCUGGGUGUUGUUACUGCUACUACUAUGGACUACAAGACGGCGUACCUUGUCGGACGGCCGCAUCAUUGGUUGUCCAGUAGUAACUGUGACUACGUUUUGUUCCCUUGACUUGGAAAUGAUAACUUCUCUCAAUAGGUCAUGGAUUCGACAAGUGUCGGGCAUUCCUUCAUAAAACACACGAGUCACUUGAAUUAAACUUCUAUUGACGAGUUCACUAAAGUAAGCCCAGGCUACAUCUUCAAUACUUAUUCCUUCCCUCCAUUCUACAAACCUUUCAGUAAUCCACAAAUAAAUUAGUCUAUUGCAUUCCAUUGCAUAAUCCUCUGGGUAGAUGCUUGUGUACAACAGACAUGUCUUUAGAUGCCAAGGCAAAUCACCAUAACUAAGAGAGAGUAUCUUUCUAACUCUGUCUAGCUUACCGGUGCCUUCUAAUUCACCUCCAAGACUGCGUCGAACCAUCUCCCAUUCCUCUGCUCUGUUUACAUCUUUCAAAGCCAAAAGCCCACUGAUUGCAAGAAUCGCAAGGGGCAAGCCCUCACAUUUAUCCAAUAUACCUUUGGCAACAUCCAUCAAAUGGCCAGGGCAACUAUUUCCUUUAAAGAUCUUGUUACAAAACAGGGUCCAUGAAUCUUCAAAGGACAGUGGCUCCAUUCUGUGGAUAUAACCUAGAGAUUCUGUACAAGAGGCAGAGGUUACAUCAGCUUUUCGAGUUGUUAGCAUGACACGGUUGCCGUGGCUACUCUCGGGCAGUGCAAAUUUGAUGGUAUUCCAAAAUUCCACGUCCCAUACAUCAUCAAAAACAAUUGCAUACCUUUCAGCUUGUUGAAGAAAAUCUUUGACAAAUUUUUUCAGCUCAGUGGUAGUCAUGGACUCGAUCGAUUGUGGGACUGGUUUCUUCCCUUCCUCGUGUAACUGCCGAAUCAAGUUUUUCAGGAGGUACUGAAAGUCACAUGUUUGAGAGACAGUUACCCAAGCACGGACUGGGAAAUGCCUUCUGACUUCAGGAUCCUCGUGGACUUUUUUCACUAGGGUAGUUUUGCCAAGUCCUCCCAUACCAACCACUGAAACAACUUUCAGUUGGUGAUCAUCCCCUUCGAGGAGCUCAGAAAUAAGACGUUUCUUGGGCUGGUCAAUGCCAACUAAUUUAGCUUCUUCCACAAGCAGUGCGUCAUCUCUGCUAUAGCGCCAGGUUGUGUUGUUCACAGCCGAAAGUGAGUUGGACGCUUGGGCAGAGAUACCAUAUUCGGAUUGGUAUCUUUGAUGAGCUUCAGAAAUACUUUUGAUUCGGGACUUGAUGCUUUGUAUUUCGCUAGCAACGCGAUGACGAGCUCUCAAAUUCUUGAUGGAGCUGAAAAUUCUCCGAACAGAGCCGUAGAAUCCUGUUGCGGGAUGCCGAGCAAAGCGAGCUACAAAUUCAUCAAGAAUGUCCUCAGUGCCAUAAGCAGCAUCUCGCACUUGCUUGAUCCAUUGUUGGAGCGUGGGUUGAGCAUCUUCUUCUUUUGCUUCUGCCUCUCGCAGGAAAGCUCUCAUUUGCUCCAACUCAUCCCUGAUGAAUUGAACCUCUUGCUGAAGCCCUCCCAAUAGUCGUCCCUCGUCGCGCAGAAGAGUUGAGAGUUGACGCAGCACAAAAGAGAGAACUGUUUCUGCCAUUUUCAGUGUUUCUUUCUAACUUAAGAAUGUUGGGGAAGGAGGCUUCUGGUUUAUAGGACAGUCCACUUGGUAGUAUCUUGAAAGGAAGAAGGAAGAGGAGGCUAUAGAUUCAUAAGCUGAUGAACUUCGAUGCUAUAUGGUGCAGUAUUUAUCAAAAAGAAAAACCGCGUCAAACAGAAAAAGAAAGAAUUAACCAAUUAGAAGAAACUAAAGCAAGAAACAUGAUUGUGAAAGACGAAGCUGCCUUACCUGCCACAAUACAAAAUCAUGGAAGCUAUCAAGAAGACACGAGUGCAAUUAGUAUAAAGAUAAAGGAUAAAGAUAAAGUUUACAAGGGGAAGGAAUAAAGUUAUUGAUUUCAUUGCUACAAAGUCUUUUCAUCGAAUACGGUGCUGACAUAUAUAACCUUCCUUCCAAUACGGUGCAUGCGGUUGGAACUAAUUUCUGCUGACCAAUUAGUAUUUGCAAUAAAAAUUCGUAUUUGUUGCAAAAAAUUAGUAUGUAAUACAAACGGAUGGAAUAUCAAAGAAACCUUAGGAACUAUGAACAGCAUGCAAAUUAAGCAAAAAAAAAAAAAGAAAUUGCAGAAAAUGGUAAGGAGUACAUUAAAAAGAAUCAAAUUUCUUGGCAAUGAAGGAUUACAAAAUUUGUUGGAAUAUCUGUACCACUCAAUCAUGACGUGGCUCAUUUCUAUGCCCUUCACUUUGCCAAUUAAUUUAAUGUCUCAUUUAUAUCAUUUUUGCUGCCAUCUCAUUUAUAUCAUUUAAGUUUCCCUAUUAACUCAAUCAAAUACCAAUUAAUAUCGUAAAGACACAUUCAAACUUAAGAUUUACGCAAAAAAAAAAAAAGAAUAUGGGUGUCCCAUAUCCUAAAUGUGAUGAAUACGUGGAUUCCUUAAAAUUGUCAUCAGAAUCUUAUUAAUUAAUAAUUGGAUACAUAAAAAAAUGCUGUAAACAAAAAAAAUCAACAAUAUGAAUUAAAUUGUGAAACCAUUUUAAUCAUUAAAAGCAUAGUUAUUAAACCAACCCGGCCUGGCGGUUCAACCGAUCAACCCGGUGAACCGGCCAUGAAACCGAACUGGGUUUGUAAUUGGAUCGUUUGUGCACCAAAUCCGUUGACUUUUCAACGGACCGACGGUUCAAUCGGUCAACUCAGUUGAACCGGACGGUUUGUAAGGAACCCGGUUUUGGGAUAAAAAUGAUUAGAAAAUGCUCCAAUGCUGAUUCAAACCUCAAACUUCAAGCAUAAAAGUUACGCGCAGUCACCACUAGCCUAGCAGCUCACUUGGUGCUUAUUCACUCCUUCUAUAUUAUAUAUUAGAUUUUUAUUCUUAUUUUAUUUCUUCAAAACAAUAUUUGUUUGGAAUCUUUUAAUAAAAUUUUAUUAUUCUCUAAAUUCUAUAAAUUAUGAAAUGGAUUUAAAAAAUAACAUAUUACACAAUUCAUUUUUAAAAAAAUAUUAUUCUUAAUAACCUUUUGUGCUUAAAAUUCAAAAAUAAACUAGAUAAUUACACUUAGAUAAAAUUUUAUUCUUGAAGUUUGGUGGAUUACUAAUUAAAUUUAGGUUUUGUUAAUUCUUAUAACAAUUAAUGAUUCUAUAAUAAAUUGGACUAACUAAGUAUUUACUAUAACAUAUCAAAAAUAGUUUAUUAUAGUUUAUUAUAGUUUUAACCAUAUCAAAAAUUAUAAAACAUAAUAUUUAAAUAUAUGUAGUGACCCACCGGUUGGACCACUCACCCACUGUUUGAACCAGUAACCCGUUAACCCACCUCUUUCACCAGGUUCCUCUCCGGGCCAGGUUUAAUAACUAUGAUUAAAAGAGACUUUGUGAUUAAGAUAAUCUAUUGAAAUAUCCAAAUUGAUCAUGCAUUUUCAAAUAAAUAAUCUGCUUUGUUUCUUGAUUUAACUAGAUUUAUGAUUUUUUUACUUUAAGUUCUGCUCCUCCUCUUAUUUUAGAUUUCCAGUUGCCGUAUUUAUACAACCAUCUACUUCCUUGAACGCAAGUUCAUAUGGUUUCUAGAUCUUUAAUUUACUUUGCAUGAUCUUUAUCCGACCAAAGGGCCCUUUGUUGGCGAUUAGUUUCCAUUGUUGUUAAAUGUUUUAUUUGGAUAAGUCAUCCCUAAAUAAGAAACUCUCUUCCAAAUCAAAACUUUUUUUCGAAUGGAAAAAUAAUUUUCAUGAGUAAUAACUUUGUUUCGGGUUAAAAAGAUCUUUGAUAACAGUUUGCAUGCAUGAAAGAUGAAAUUUAGACUGGAUGAGUACUAAUAAACCCAUGUCUAUUAUUCAGGAAGACUAUGAUUACAAAAAGAUCCAAACCCUAGUCCGGACUCCUGGGCAAAGGAACCAAAAGUCUGGCAUUUUUCUCUACACUAGUACCUGUGUUGCACAUUGCAAUUAUUUAUUUUGGUGAUAUUCGUGCCAAACUCAUCCCUAAAGUGUGAUAUUUCAAAACAAUCAAUUAAUAGAGGGAAUGCAAUCAGUAGUAUCACUUGAAUUUUUUAGUCUCAUUACUUGUGUAUCAACUAUUAUUUGAUAAUCCAAUAUAUCUUUUGAUUGGGAAUUGAAAAAUAAAAUGUCUUGUAAGUGUAAAAACUGACCUAAUAUGUCUAAUAAAUUUUUAUGCGACCUAAAACUAUAUUAGUUUCGAAACUAACUUUAUUUUUCAAUUAUUGUAAAUAAUUUCAGAGAACUAAUUUUUGUAAACUUUAAUCCUAACUACAUAAUGACAUUUGUAACUCUGUAUCCACAUUAAAACAUACACAAAAACUAUGUAAACAUAUUUUUUUUUAUGUUCAAAUAUAUUAUCCAGACAUAGACUAAUUCAAAUAUAGGAGUAGAGAUGUUUUACUUUGUUAAUCAAUAUUUGUCCAAGCAUAUUAAUAGAGACGAAAAAUGAUGCUACACGAGCAUGUAAGCCCUCUUUUUCUCUUUUACUCUAGUAGGCAGCUAUAUUUUUUUCAUUUUUUUUGGAAAAAAUCAUUCUUAAUUAAGAAAAUUCAUAAUUUCAUAAGUCAAAAGAUCAUGUAAAGUAAAUUAAAGAUCUAGAAACUACACACAGGAAUCGGAUUAUAUGUCAGAAAUUCAAAUCACACAACCUAUAGUUAAAAAAAUCUAGAUGAUGUGUCAAGUCAUCUAUAUAGAGCUUAUGUAAUUCAAUUCGGUCUCUGUUAGCAUAGAAUAGUGCUAUUCUUAAUGUUGAAAAAAAUAAUAAAAAAUAAAAUUUACAACAUCCAAGAUGUUUGGCAUCCUUUUGUAUUGUUAUUGAAAAGAAAUGAGUUUCUUACCUUCAUUUAAUUUCAAUUUUUUGUCAUUUUUAUUUAUUUAUUUCAACUUGCUACACUUCGCACCUGUCAUUUUCAUUUAGAUAGCCAUGAGCCGUUUUCUUUUUCUUAAGAGUCACAAUAUACGUUCAUAUGGAAACUUAUUUUUUAACUAAAUUUUGUGUCCAAUUCAUGUUUAGCUUCCAGGUUUAUUGUGCUAAAGUGUUUUUCCAAUACUUCAUUAAUUUUUUGAACCCAUUCCUAAAAUUUUGUUAGGAAUUCAUUUCAAUAAAUUGGUCUGAAAGACGAAGCUGCCUUACCUGCUACAAUACAAAAUCAUGGAAGCUAUUAAGAAGACUGUGCAAUUGGUGGGGUGAUCAGUCUUCAAGACCUGCUUUCAACUGUGGGUCCUUUGGUCGGAUAAAGAUGGAGGAGCACCUUUCUAACUGUGGGUUCUUUACAAGGGGAAGGAAUAAAGUUAAAACGCGGUUGGAGUCGUUGGACUGGACAUUAUUGAUUUCAUUGACGAAGAAAUAAAGCUAAGAACAGGGUCUUCUACUCCUCCUGCCGACAUCUAUAACCUCCUCCUUCUAUGGAACUAAUUUCUCCUUUUUUUUUAUUGUUUGUCCCUUGGUCUGCCCCAUUUGAAUUGUAUUUUUCGUCAUUUUUCAUGAAAAAAUUAUUGUAACGAUUUAAUAUAUGUAAAAUAAUAAUAAUAAUAAAAACAUAUGAUUACGAAAAAUGACACAAUUUUAUGACAGAAAAUGACAAUCCAAACUGGGCACGUUUGUAUUAAAAACGGAUGGAAUAUCAAAGAAACUUUAGGAACAAACCACUCCAUUACGGUGUCUGACCAAAUUUUUGGUAUAAACAUACCUCUGUGUUUAAGUAGUUAAAGAGGAAAGACUCCAAGGGCAAUGAUGUCGAAGCAUCGUGCAAAGGCAAUGAUGUCGAAUUAUUUAACAAGGGAACGAAUAAAGCAAUGGUGUCUGACCAAGUUUUCCAACUCAAAGCAACUCACCCACCCACCCCUCUUUCUCCUCAUAGCAAAAAUGACAGUUCUGAAUCAAAUGGAAGCCAGCCAUGAGUUUCCAGUAACAUGUGAUGCAGAGGAAAGUGAAUUUCCCUCCAAAUGGAAGCCAGCUAUUAAACUGUUCCGGGCAAGAUAUAAACCCUCCAGCUUCUUCAAGGUUCCAUAUUUCCGUUGGUAUCUGUCCGCUAAAUUCAUGAGUUUGUUUGGAUUGCCUUGAUUUCAAAUAAAAAAAUUUACUUCACAAAUCUCACAAACUUAUUUGAAGUUAAAUAAAGCCCUGUGAGACUUGGAAGAUCAUUGCACGCGUCUAGAGGAAGAUUACCAGGUAAGUUAUUUCCAGAGAGGGCAAUAAUUUCCAACGUUGAAAUGUUGAAAAUGGAGGAUGUUAUAGACCCUGUAAGCUGGUUAUACUGCAAAUUUAGUACCCUCAGGUUUUGUAGACCUCCCAUCACUUCAGGAAUCUUACCUUGUAAAGGAUUGUAUGAUAGUUCCAAUGUUUCAGGCUUCGAGAAUGAGGGAUAAAUCCAGUGAAGCUGUUAUUCUAAUUGACAACAAAAAUUUAAGUUCAGGAAAGGAACCAAACCAUGACGGGAUAUCUCCAGUGAAGUUGUUGAGCUUAAAGUUCAUAAACCUCAGGCAUCGCAAACGGGACAAAUUCUCCCGGGAGAUUGCCCUGGAAAUUGUUACAACUCAGGUCCAAGAAACAAGAAAAGACAAGUUCCCCAGAUGGGGAGGAAUGCUGCCUGUCAAACCCCAUGAAUGAUAUGUUUAAAGCAGUUACUCUAUGAUGUUGGAUGCCUCAAGUGACUCCAAUCCACUCACAAACAGAAGUUUUAGCAGUCUAGUAGUCUUCCAGGACUAGUUAGGCGUCUGAUAAUGUGUGCUCUUUCAAAGCAACAAGAGCAGAUUGAUCGGUGACAAUAUUGGCUUCUAAGCACACAUGUAGUAUUCUACUCAUCUCUUUCCGAUGUGGGAUAUUGAUUCACACUUGAUAUCCCAUUGAGCCUACAUCCACGGAGAGAAACACGUUCUUUAUUAUGAGAGGAAAACCCUAUACAAGAAUACAACUUGAACCCAAGCCCAACCCUUGUAUACCAUCUCUCAUCUCCCAAGAACCCUCUCUCACACCCCAAGUAUAAGGCUACAUCUUGCCCUUGUAUCUCUCUUGUGUGUCUCUUGUGUGUAUCUUGUAGUAUGUCAACCCACCUAUUUAUAGAGAAUAUUACUGCCAAAAAACCAAAUAACAAUUGGAAAUCAAUACUAUUUUCUAAACUCAUAUAGAGUAGAAAAUAGUAUCUAGCUAAAUAGGAAUUUACUUGACUACUACUUCAAGUAACCAAAUCCAAUUAGAAAACUAGUUACUUCCCACACCAAAUAAGAAUCUUACCUAAAAGAAAUUAAGCCAAUUUCCUAAUAUGCAGGAGCAGAACUGCAAGAGGAAAGUAAUGCGGGAGUGUUCUCUCCAUGAGAAGAACUAGCAAAAAUGUUGUGAUUUCACAACUUGAUGUAACUUUGGAAGUGCAUGGACAUAGGCCUAUGUGCAUGUUACAAAAAAAAAUAACCUUUUUUAGAAUCAAAGCUUAGUAUUGUCGGCAUCAUACUACUAUUAUUUAAACUUUUCUUUUUCAUGCAUCACGAUUAGCACCUCAGUUGUAGAAGCCACUCUAAAAUUGAAAAAAGAAUCAAAUCAUUGGUGUAGAGCAAGUUGAGAGUUCACCAAGUACACGUUGAAAACACAAAUGCUAGAAUGCAUGUAGGCGAUCUGAUUAGAGUCUAGGUUGCAAACUGGAGUGCGACAUGCGCAGAAAUAGCUGACAUUUCUCAAUGAGAGGCCACAUUGGCUAAUGAUAUCAGCCUGGCCGCGUUAUGGUCUGAUUGGAGUUACUGAAGCAUGGCUGCUGAAUUUUGCGCUUCUUUUAUGGACGAACAAAAGAUGAGGACAGCUUAACUGCGUCUCAAAUAGUCAAAUGCCAAGUAAGAUCAGCAAUUGGGGUCCUAUCGAAUCUGUUCACGUUUGAAACGAAGAAAAGAAAAGAGCAUGAAUGCCUAUCCAUACUUCCCAGCUAACUAGAGUUAAAGUUCCAAGAUCUAGAAUUCUAAAUUCAGAUCUUGGUAUUUUCUACUAGUUCGUAUUUGUUGGGACGUAUUCAAUUUGUAUGAUCCUACAAUUUUUUAGUUGAUCUGCCCUUGGGCUUCAUUCAAUUUGCAUCCAUCCUACCAGUUGUGAGCAUGAUGUAGCUCUCCGGUUGUGAGCAUAACGUAACUCUUUGACAAGUGUCUUCACCCACAAUCUUCCUUUGAUCCUACCAUUUGUGAGCAUGAUUUAACUCUCCAUAGACGCUAGCAUCACUAAUGCUUUUGGCACAUUAAAAAAAUGUACACUAAGUCUUCUACAUACAAUAACUUAUUGUAAAAAAAAUAAUAAUUAUUAUGUAUUUAUAUUUUUGAAAUAAGCACACAUGUGUACAUUUUUUUAAAAAAAAAAAUCUAUUAAUACUACGCAUUUUUAUUUAGGAAAUUAUUAUAUCUAAAAUUAUGGUUGAGUAGAAAUACUAACUUUAGAGGGUAUUUUUAAUAUAAAGAAUUGUACACUUAAAUUAGCAUUGUACUUUAUCCCUUCGAGUUGGCAUUGUACUUUUAUUGCUAGGUGAAUUAAGACUCAAUUCUCACAUUUUUACACCACCAAAUUGCAAAUUGCAAAUUGCAAAUUACAAAAGCAUAGUAUUGUGUUUCUGACACAUUUUGUAGAAUUUAUAUUUGUUGAAUCAAAUAUAGAGGCAUACUAGAUAUCUGGGAAAGAGAAUUGUAUUGAAGUUACACAUCAAUAUUCCUUUUCCACUCAAUGUAUCAAUUCCUCCUAAUAAAAACCACAGACUGAUAAACAUUUAGAUGCUGGCAUUCCCCAAAUUUGAUAAAAUCAACAGAACAAAGAAUGAUAUUGAUAGAGUGCAGUUUAGUCGGUCUUCUCACGUGCUUUUCCUAUUUAUUUGGACUAAAUACUGCACUAAUCGGUGGAUUUUACUGAGAUUUUGUGUUCUAUGCGAAUUGCAGCAUUUAGGGGCAAAAGGAGCUGGAAAAUUAACUUUUGAAGCCUUCCUGUCAGUUAGACGUGGGCACGCCUAAGUAUGAUGUCCAAAGCCGGAUUUGCGGGAUUGUUGGCCACGUGCAAACUUCCAAAUAUUUGGAGAUUCCUUCGCGGGUGACAAUUCUGGAACAAUACUGACUUAGCCAAUUUGCACGUGAAGAGUCAUUUGGCAACAAGACUUCAAUUGGAUUUCAAUUGAUUGGGUUCCUUCUUUGACUAAACGUGCUGACCCACAAAAGCAGGUGUGAGAACCCGUAUUUUUCCCAUUUUAUAGGUUUUAUUAUUUUUCAUGGCUUGUUUUCUGCAUUUUCGUGAGUAGGAAAAUUUCUAGAUAAUUUUAAGGAGCAGAUAUAGUUUUUAGAUGAUUUUUCUAGUAUCAAAUAGAUUUUUCGAAAUUAAGAGCGUGUACCGGACGUGGGACCCACUAGUGCGAAAAGUUCGGCAAAAUUCGGCAAACUAGGUUAAGUUUUGGAUACUGGAAUUAAUUUACCGGAUGUUAAGAGAUAAUUAGAGGAGGCUAAGUGGAUUGGUAUAAGAGAGACAAGUUAGGUAAGCAUUUAAUAAAAGGUGACAAGUGUCACCAUUUAAGUGGUUUACCUUUAAGACCACUAUUCAUGGUCUUACCAUUUGACUUAAAUAAACCAAAAAUCACCAAAAUUUCCCAUUCUUUUCUCUUCAAGUGGCCGGCUCUCUCUCUCCAAAAGAAAGAAAGAAACUCUUCAAGGUUUGCUUCCAUUUAGCUCAAAUCUAUCCAACCAACCAUUGAAACCUGCAAUUUCUCCAUAAAACCUCUUCAAUUAGUGUUUGUGAGUUGUUGUGUGAAGUUAUUUGGAAAGUUAAGGUGACCAAUUGCUCUCUCUCUCUUGUUUUUAAUGACAGGUUGUCGAAGCCUGUGCAAUAAUAAAACCUGCUCAAACUAAAAGUGAUUUCUGUAAAUAGCGGUGAGCAGGGUCGAAUCCACAGGGACUGGGAGUAAUUAUUUCUUUUCAAGUUCACAGUGACAAGGGGGGUGUUUUUGUGCAGAAGGUGACAAUCAAAGAAAUUCAACUAAAAUCUAAGAAACUACUAAAAAUUAAAUAACAAAUUACUAAAAUCUAAUGAGUGAUAAUUAAGGAUCUAGCCAAGGAAUAACUUUAGCAAUGGUUCACCCAAUUGAUCAUCGAUAAGCAAAGAUAAUUCCAAUUAUUUAUCAAUAAAUAGGUUAUAACUACCAAACAAGCGAUGGCAGUCAACCCCUCCAUACUGUGUCGGUGAUCAAGGUACGCCCGUUAAUCACUGCUCUAAUUGAGAAAUAAUCCUAGGUACGCCCAUAGAAUUUAAUUCCCCAAUUGCCUUACGUAUUAGAGGAACCCUAUUCUAACCAAAUAACGCACUACCAGGGUUAUUUUAGAUUAGCCCGCGUAUUCCCCUGACACAAACCUAAUCAUGCCAGUUGUCACUAUUUUAGAGCAAUUAAACAAUUACGGAUUUAAUGCCCUAAUUGACAAUAGAUUACCCAAUCAACUAAUUAUCUGGAUCCAAGACAAUCAAUUAAUUAAAUAACCAUAAGUAUAGCAAUCAAGAAAUAUGCGGAUACCAAUAAGUAAAAGGAAAAGAUUAAAUUAAAACGAUCUCACAAUUUUAGGCGACCCAAAGCAUCCGUUGUCCCUUGACUAGACAAGGGAAAUUAGUUCAUUGUUGCUAAACAAAGCCCAAACAAAAUUGCAGAGAGAGACGCAGCCAUCAAUUGGGCAAAUGCCCAAGUUCAAUUCGUUUGAAGGAGUACUGAAAACCGAAAUUGCAUCAGAUGGUUUAAUGCGUUAACUUGUCUGCUCAUACCAAGGAAGAAAACGAAACUGCUACAAGCUAAAAGGUGGAAAAGCUAACAGGAAAAAGUCAAGUACUACGGCUAAGCUAUCCUGCCAUGCGUAAGAAAAGUAAAAAGCAAAGCUCCAGGAAAAGUCAACAAUAAAGCUCCUAAGCUACAGACGAAAGACUAAGCAAAGCCAGCCAUCCUUUCCUCUCUGAAGCAUUCUACUCUAAUGCCUCGCCAUUGUGCGGCGGCUCCCCUCCGAGAGGAAGAAAAUUCGAGAGAGCCCAAGAAGACUUCGGCCUCCUCCUUUUAAUGCUGUCUGCGGGCCAAUUACCAAGAAGGGUUGUGGUUUGAUAUUCCAAAAAUGUCCCUAGAUGCCUGCUACUUGAACUCUUUUUUGAUAACUGUCAAAUUGGCCUUGAUUGUGAUAUUUUUGUUCUACUCCCUGAAAUAAAUAUAAAUUACGAAAAAUGAGUAGAAUCUAAUAAUUAAUUCACAUCAAGUCAGGUAAUAGGGGAAAUUAAUAAUAAAAUAAAUAACAAAAUUGCAACCUAUCAAUUCCCCCCACACCUAAACCAUGCUUGUCCUCAAGCAUAAGAACAGUACACAGAUACCGAAAUUUGAUAACGGCUGUUGCUCUAUCUAUCAUAUUGCCAAGAUAUCAAGAAAAAUAUAUAUCAAGCAUCAGUGAUUAAGAUCCAAGAAACAUCACUCCGGUUAGCUUCUAAACCACAAAUUUCUCCAAUUUCAGGUUAACUAAUCUAAGAAAAAGGAAUGACGUGCAACAUUUAUCAGCAAAUGGUCCAACUAUUAACCAAAAUCUCAACAUUAAAUCCAUAAAUCGGCAAGCUGACUAUCACAACCUUCACUUUUUUUUUUUUAGCACUUCACUUUUCAUUUUUCUACUUUUUUUUUUUUUUUUUUUUUUUUUUUUUCAAUAGUAACAAAAGACUUAGUCGCUAGCCAUUUGAGCCUUUUGACGCGAACUCCAACAUUGGCCAGAUGAAGGAGCCCGGUUACUCAGCUUCUAUCGCCACGUGACCACGUACUCAUAGCAAUUACUACUUUUUGACGCGAGAAUCAACACUUUUAGGUGCAGAUCCCCGGUUACUCAGUAGUAACUAAUAGCGGAGUACAGUCAAAUUUAUUCAUAACUAAAAAUCACAAAAACUCAAUAUAACACAAGAACCAAAAGAAAACUUGCAUCAGCUAGCCUCAUUUUCAAACAUGGAGAACUAAAAUUAAUAACCGGACCAAUUCACAUGAAAAUGCCAAUAAUCAUUCCCUAUGCCUAGGAAAGUUAACAAAAAAUUAUAAGAGUAAAACAAUUAUUGAUAUUCACCAAAGAGAUGUUUUUGGAUUCAACCACAUUAACUUGAUACCCUUUUAUUAUUAAAAUUGGCAAUAGCAGAAAUAGAGGCAAUAAUCCAACAUCAAACCUUGGCAUGCACUUACGAGCCAAUCACUAAAAAGAAGAAAAAGAAAAUGAAUGAAAGACACUAGCACCAUAACUGCUCCCCCCACACCUAAAUCCUACAUUGUCCUCAAUGGAGGUAAUAAAGUAAUUAAAGCGAAGAGAACAAUGAAACUUCCCUGUUGAACAGCUAAGGGAUAGGAGGGAACAGUGGAGGGAAGUCGAGUUCUGAGACAUCCUUGCCACUUGGCGUAGAGAAUGCGCACUGAACAAACUCCCAAUUGAACAAACAAGUGCAGUAUUGCAGUUCACCCAAAAUCUCAACAAAUGGCUCCAGUUGGCCAGCUAAAGUCUUAACCCAAGAUCAGCAAUUCCAAUGAAAACAGCAUAGAUAUUGGACAAUAAGAACGCAGCCAACCAAAUAGAGGUACCCAAUUGAGGUAUAAGACCCGCAUGCUACAUGAAUGCUGCCAAAUUCUGCGCCAUGCUAUGCACAUUGUUAAUUAGACAUAAUCACUAAGCAAUAAGCAAUGAAAGUGGCACAGUAGCCUUCCAAAUCAACAAACAAAAGCAGAAAUUACUCACUCCAAUGGACUCAAGACAGAAGGCAGGACAAUAGACUCAGGUGAAACCAAAAAUGACCCCAACAAGGUAGCAAAUAAUGACAAAAUGAACUCACCCCUAAAGCCCAAAAGUUGUCACCAAUUGGAAAGUCCAAUACAUAACUCAACUGGGAGCAAAUAUAAGCACAAGGGUUUGGGUUUUCAAGCAAACAGCUGACCAAACACAUAGGGAAGAAGCAAUUCGAAUAGGCCGCCCAAAACACUGAUAAAUCCAUCAGCACAAGCAGUACCAGAAAUAGAAGAAACCAAAUGGCAAUCAAUUGUGGCAAAUAACUCCCAAGGCAGCCCCAAACAUGCACUAGAAACUCCAAGCAAGGCACAGGUAAAGAAAAUCAAGCAAUAUACCACUUGCUAAUAUCCACCCAAAAACACAAGAAAAUGGCAACAACUCCAGCAGUUUAAAAUCCAGAAAAAAAAAAAUUUAGAAACAGAGGUGAACAGCACUACCUCCACCCGUCAAUUUGUUUGACAGGUGGUGAUGGUGGACAGCGUCCAUAGUAGUGGCGGCGGUGAGCCGGAGCUUGGGUGAGCUGUGCGACAGAGAAGGAGAAGACCGCAGGGUCUGCGUGCAGUUGCUUGGUGGCGGAUGAGGUGGUGAUGCGGCCGUGAGCAAGGGCGAGGCACGCGAGGGAGCUGCGCUGGUGGAUGGCUCGCCACGCGCGAGAUUGGGCAGCGGAGUUGGCGGCUUGGGCGGCAACAGGGGGAAGAUGAGCUGGUGUGAGGUGGAGUGGCUUGCGGCGCGACGCUGGUCGCGCGAGGUGGUGGCGAUGGAGCUACGGUAGAUAGAGGGAGGCGCGGCCUCGGGUGAGAGAGCUGGCAGCCGCGAGGAGGGCGGCGGCAAUCGGGGCGUCGGCGUGCGCAGAGGGAAGAAGAAACAGGGGAAGAAGAAAGAAAGAAGAAGAAAAAAAAAGAAAGGAAAAGAAAGAAAAGAAAGAAAAGAAGAGAAAGAAAAGAAAAAGGAAUUUUUUUUUUUUCUCUUGCUACGGUUAAGAGGAAAGAUUUUUCUUCUUCUCUUUUUUUUUAAUUAUUUUUUAUUUGAUUUGUUAUCAUUUCAUUUAUUCAAAAAAAUUCUUUUUUUUCUUCUUUUUUUUUAUUUUUUAUUUUUUUUAUUUUUUUGAAUUCUUACCUUUUCCGCGAACGUGACGCGGGCGCGUCAAGAGAACAAGAGAGCUCCCAGAAGUUCAGGUCGUGAGCUUUCUGCACGUCACCACGCGGGCACGUCAUGAGGGCAAGAGAGCUCCCAGAAGUUUGAAGUUUCUGAUCGUGAGCUUCCUGCUCGUCACCACGCGGGCGCGUCAUGACUGAAUGGCACCUAUAAAGCAGCAAAAACGAAAACUAACACCCAAAAUCAGUCAAAUUCAAGGAAAACAGAUUUAAACUAUGACACGAAACCAACAACCAAUUAAAAGAAACAAUUGGGUUGCCUCCCAAUGAGCGCCUUUCUUUACUGUCUUUGGCUAGACAUUAUCACGUUUUUUUUCAUGGAGGAUAAAAUCUUGUGGCUCGUCUCAUUGCUUCAUCCUCUACAUAGUCCUGAUAGCCCUCGUAGAUAGAAUAAUCUUUGGGCAUACGAGUUACGGGCUUCCAUGGACUAGUAAAUGGCGCCAAACGAGUCGAUGAUAAUUUGCAUUCUCCAUUCACUCCUCCCUCACUUGCAUUUAUUGGCACAAAAUAUCUUGCCAUCGCCACUCUUAAUUUAUUCCUGUCAUGAAAUUCAAAAUUGUCUGGUAUAAUAAAGUCAAUUUCAUUAACAGGAAUUGAAGAGUAAGAGUCAGGAGAAUAUUGAUGAAGGAGUGGAGGAGAUGUCACCGCAUUUGGAGAUUGUUCACUGGAUUCAUUCACUUGAAUGGGUUGCGGUUGGGGUUCCAUUUCUUCCAUUUCGGCUUCUUUUUCAACAGCAUCUGUAGAUUUCUCAUUUUGACACUCUUGCAUCUCCUCAUCACUAGUCAGGCAAAUUGCACUCUCAUUUUCUUCUAGAUCAACAAUGGUUUUCGAGGGCAAUUCUUCCAUUUGAGAAGCCAAUCGAUUCAUUCUGGAUGUCAAUAGACAUAGUUGAUCCGCCAGAUAACUCAUUGCAUCCUUCAUCAUCUCAUUCCUCCUUUGUGUCUCCUGUUGGGAUUUGUAUGUAUUAAUAAAUAAUUCACCCAAUUCUUGAAAAGACAUACCUGACAGGGACGAUGGUUGUUGAGACUCUUGCUGUUGAAAAUCCAUUGGCCCGGUCGCAUAAUCAAAAUUGGAAUUAUCCCACCAUCCUUGAUCAUACCCAUUUGAAUAAGGGUCAUACUGCAUUUGAUAUUGGGGUGGAAAAUCUCCAAAAGUAUCAAUUGGAGCACUUAGAUUGUCUUGAAAUGCGGGGCAUGUGUCAGUUGAAUAACCUGAGUCAAAAUAAGUUCCACAAUUUGCAACAGCCCAUUGAUCAUUAGGAAAAACAUGAGUCUCAUACUGCUGAAAAUCCAUUGGCCCCGUUGUAUAAUCAAAAUUGGAAUUAUCCCACCAUCCUUGAUCAUACCCGUUUGGAUUAGGGUCAUACCACGUUUGAGACCAGGGUGAAAAUUCUCCAUAAUUAUCGAAUGAGACACUCAGAUUAUCUUGAUAUUCGGGGCACAUACCUGUUGAAUGAUCCCUGGCAUAACAAAUUUUACAUGUUGCAGCAGCCAUUCUUUUUCUAAUAGAGUUUACUGCCUCUGCAUAUGCCAACUCAGGAAAAAAACAAAUCUCAUCGCCUUGCCUGGAAAUAAAAUCCAAUACAUCACCAAAAUACGGAGUGUUAGAAGCCAUAAACUAUAUCAAAAAAUAAAUAAGAGGAAAAAUAAAUAAAAAAAUGAACUCAAAAGGAAACAAAUUAAUCUGACACCAGUCCCCGGCAACGGCGCCAAAAAUUGACAGGUUGUCGAAGCCUGUGCAAUAAUAAAACCUGUUCAAACUAAAAGUGAUUUCUGUAAAUAGCGGUGAGCAGGGUCGAAUCCACAGGGACUGGGAGUAAUUAUUUCUUUUCAAGUUCACAGUGACAAGGGGGGUGUUUUUGUGCAGAAGGUGACAAUCAAAGAAAUUCAACUAAAAUCUAAGAAACUACUAAAAAUUAAAUAACAAAUUACUAAAAUCUAAUGAGUGAUAAUUAAGGAUCUAGCCAAGGAAUAACUUUAGCAAUGGUUCACCCAAUUGAUCAUCGAUAAGCAAAGAUAAUUCCAAUUAUUUAUCAAUAAAUAGGUUAUAACUACCAAACAAGCGAUGGCAGUCAACCCCUCCAUACUGUGUCGGUGAUCAAGGUACGCCCGUUAAUCACUGCUCUAAUUGAGAAAUAAUCCUAGGUACGCCCAUAGAAUUUAAUUUCCCAAUUGCCUUACGUAUUAGAGGAGCCCUAUUCUAACCAAAUAACGCACUACCAGGGUUAUUUUAGAUUAGCCCGCGUAUUCCCCUGACACAAACCUAAUCAUGCCAGUUGUCACUAUUUUAGAACAAUUAAACAAUUACGGAUUUAAUGCCCUAAUUGACAAUAGAUUACCCAAUCAACUAAUUAUCUGGAUCCAAGACAAUCAAUUAAUUAAAUAACCAUAAGCAUAGCAAUCAAGAAAUAUGCGGAUACCAAUAAAUAAAAGAAAAAGAUAAAAUUAAAACGAUCUCACAAUUUUAGAUGACCCAAAGCAUCCGUUGUCCCUUGACUAGACAAGGGAAAUUAGUUCAUUGUUGCUAAACAAAGCCCAAACAAAAUUGCAGAGAGAGACGCAGCCAUCAAUUGGGCAAAUGCCCAAGUUCAAUUCGUUUGAAGGAGUACUGAAAACCGAAAUUGCAUCAGAUGGUUUAAUGCGUUAACUUGUCUGCUCAUACCAAGGAAGAAAACGAAACUGCUACAAGCUAAAAGGUGGAAAAGCUAACAGGAAAAAGUCAAGUACUACGGCUAAGCUAUCCUGCCAUGCGUAAGAAAAGUAAAAAGCAAAGCUCCAGGAAAAGUCAACAAUAAAGCUCCUAAGCUACAGACGAAAGACUAAGCAAAGCCAGCCAUCCUUUCCUCUCUGAAGCAUUCUACUCUAAUGCCUCGCCAUUGUGCGGCGGCUCCCCUCCGAGAGGAAGAAAAUUCGAGAGAGCCCAAGAAGACUUCGGCCUCCUCCUUUUAAUGCUGUCUGCGGGCCAAUUACCAAGAAGGGUUGUGGUUUGAUAUUCCAAAAAUGUCCCUAGAUGCCUGCUACUUGAACUCUUUUUUGAUAACUGUCAAAUUGGCCUUGAUUGUGAUAUUUUUGUUCUACUCCCUGAAAUAAAUAUAAAUUACGAAAAAUGAGUAGAAUCUAAUAAUUAAUUCACAUCAAGUCAGGUAAUAGGGGAAAUUAAUAAUAAAAUAAAUAACAAAAUUGCAACCUAUCAUUUAAGGUGAGUUGUGAAGAACCACCCUCCUCCCUUAAUUGAUGCUUAAAUCAUGAUUAGUGGUAGUAUGAGAUGCAAUAUUAUGCAUUAUUUCUUGAUUUGUGGUUGAAGUGAUGAAGUUUUAUUAUUUUUGGGGAUUUUUCUGUUUUAAUAUAAGCAUGAUUGUGUGGCUAUGUAUGAUGAUUGGAAAUGAUGUAUAAUGACUCUAGAAGGUGGAAAAAGUGAUUAAUUGCAACCAAUUUCUGGUUUGGAAGAAAUUUCAGAAAAUUAGGUUUUGUGAAGGAACAUUCUGCCCGAAUUUAUAGCUCCUAGUUAGAGGCCGAAUUGGCCUUGGAUUAAAACAUGAAAGUUGUAGGGAAUGACAUUUUAGAGGUUCCUGCAAAAUUUUAGGUCAAUUGGAGUAGCGUAGAGUGAGAAAAGUUGAAAUUACCCUUGCUGUCCUGGUUUUACCCGAAUGUAAGAAUUGCGCCUGUAAUUGGUUGUUUUGGCUGGAAUUGCUUCCGAAUUGAUUGUUGAGGUCUUCUGAUGAAAUUUAUCCCUGUUUCUUAUCUUUCAUCUGGUUUUGGAAUUUGUGGAUUUGGACUUCGGUAGCCUGAUUUAUGAUGUUUGCACCAGAAUGCGAUUUGUGAACCUGUUUUUUCGAUUCUGGUGUAGUAUCUUGCAUUUUUGACCUGGUUACACUCGAAACUGGGUUGAGUGACCUUCUGUAAUAUUGUAGCCCUAUCUCUUAGCUUUGAAACGGUGUAUCUUCCACCUUCAUCCGACAAUCGUAGUGCCAUUGGUGCCAUUACCGCAAAACGAGGUCAAAAACCAUUUUUUUUUCAGGGCAAAGCUAAAUCAUUUCCGGAUUUUUCUGGUUUCCUCUAUUGCUUGUGUACGCUUAAGGAACCCUAUUUUAGUAAAAUGUAGAAUUGGUUUAUGACUUGUAAUCGAGUCUUAUUGUGUUUAUUUGAAUAGUUUAGGGCUUGACUUUCAUAUCCGGUCAUUUCCUAGCUAAAUUUUGUACUUGAAUGCCAUUAAGCCUAGUGAACGGCUUUUGGGAAUGAGAUUAUUUUUGGACGAGAUGUUGGGAUUGAUUUGAGGAAAUAAUGAAGCCAUGAUGGCUGGAAAGUAGGUAAACACAAGGGAUAUGCUGCCGAAAUUUUUCUUGAAGGCUAGUUGGAUUUACUUGUGAUUUGAACGAAGGGCUUUUGGGUUGUUUGAGCCUAGGUCUUCAUGUUACCUUUUCGUUACCAAAAAUCAUGUUUUGCACCCUUGCUUUAGUAAUUAUUUGGCGAGGCAUACGACUGGUAGUCGAGCCUCACAUGUACAUUCUGUAUACUCGAUUUUGAAAGUGGAACCUUCAAUUGUUUUCCUUGGAUUAUUUUAGGGUUUCUUGGUGAUUAAAGCUCUCUUUUGGGAGGUAUCUGCACUGACCCUGGUGAGUGUACUACUCACUUGUGUGUUACUAUAUGGCUUUGAAUGUAAAUUGCUUGAAGUGAAUAGAAUGUGACUUGAUUGAAGUGAAAGUGUACUUUAUCACUCUCACUUAUAUGCCUUAUAUCAUUGUUGUCAUGUUAUUGGAAUGUUACAUGAAAUGUUACAUGAAAUGAAAGUACUUGACUUGGUGUCGAUUGGACGAGUAUCCAACGACUACAAAUGUUAUCAUUGAGCUCAACCCCAUUGGUAGUUGAUUGAAUCGAGCCGGCGAGGGUUUGGUCGUGCCAAUUAAUGAACCUUGGGUAAAGUUAUAUGGAAUCUUGUAGUAUGCGAGACUCUCGAUUCCGGUAUACUCGAGUAAUACCAAAGUGCAAGUGUUUGGAUUUCGGGCCCGGUAGGGGGAUGUUAGGUGGAAGGAGUGGAAGUAAAGUGGAGUCUACGGUUGGUUACGUUUGAACAUUGACGGAGAGUCAAUGACGUCCGAUCAAGAAAUGCAAACGGGGAAAGGGCUCUUGAGAGCCAUCUGUAUCCUUUUAUCACCAUAUUUGACGUGUGUCUUUGCUUAUUUUGCUAUAUUGAAUGAAAGCUUGAUGCUUAUAUGCACUUGGUUGCGUAAGUGAUAGUAUCUCACUGGGCAAUUAGCUCACACCGUUCCUUUUGUUUUCCUUACAGGAAUAUGACUCUUUGGGAAUGAAUCUUGAUAGAUGGUUGCCGAAUGAACUAGAUGUAUAUUUCUUUUGUAUUGUAUUUGAAGAGAAACCCUAAAUGUAUCUUUAGAGCCGUUUUCACUUUCAAUUUGGCAAACCGUGUAUAUAUUAACUUUUGAAAAUUUUUGUAUGCCACUUUGGGUUGUAAUUGCUAAAGUUCAAGAUGUGAAUGUCUGCUUGCAUUUUGGUUGGGUUCUGACGGGUCGGUUACUAUUCAUGGCCGACUCCGAAUUUCUUUUUUUUUUUUAUUUUGGGUUAUUUUGCCCUUUUGCCUUGUUUAUGCGCGUUAUAAGUUCCGAAACGCAAUAGAUCGCUCUAAACUGCACCGUUAGUCCUGGCGAGAGUUGGGCAGGCAGUCCGCUAACCCCUUUGGCUCGCCUUAGGGGAAGGUGGGGCUGUCACAGCAGGAAGACUACUGGGUCUCUUUUGGAGACAUCCGCACGAGGACUCUAUAAAUACAAUCCCUUCGCUGGCUUCAGAGGAUCUCUCUCUCUCGGCAGAAACAAGUUCUAGCUUAGGAAAUUUUUCUCUUUUUCGCUUCUUUUUCUCUUUCGCACCACGGAAUACAAUUUCUGGUGCAAUUCUCGUUAGCUUUUCGUUCAUGGCGAUGGGAUCUUCCCUAGACCCAAUUGUGAUGCCUGAGAUCAUGAUAUGUAGCUGAAUUUCUUCUUCUAGUCAAGGAACAACGGACGACUUAGUUCAAUUAUUACUGUGAGAUCUAAUUUAUCUUAAUUGCUUCCUCAUUCAUUGAUAUUUAUAUGUUCCCUGCUUUUAAUUGCUAUAACUCGUGUGAAUGAUUGAUUAGUGCGCAAUAAUUAAUUCUUCAUAUAGGCUAUUUUGCUAGUUAGGAGUGAUUGAAUCCGUAAUUGUUCGUUAUCCCUAUCUCAGUAGCAACUGGCGUAAUUGGGUUUAUGUCAGGGGAACAUACGAUCUAGUUUAAACAAACCCUCGUAGCGUGUUUGUUAGUUAGGAUUGGAUCUUUCUAAUUAUUAAUGCAAACCAGAAAUUAAAUCCUAUGGUCGUACCUAGGGUUGUUUUUGGGUUAGGGAAGUAGUUAACGGUCGUACCUUGACUAUCGAUAAAUUAAGGAAGGGUUGGUUGUUUAUCGCGUGUAUGACAACUAUAACUGAUCUAUUAAUAAAUGUUGGAAUUAUUUCUGCAUCAAUGAUCAGUGCAUGAACCAUUUCUGAAGUGUACCCUUGACUAGAACUCUCCUAAUUAUUUCUUUUAAUUAAUUACUUUUCUGCAGUUAAAUUGUUUAGUUAGCAUUUAAUCCUAAAACCCCCUAUUAAUCUUGACUUGAAAAGAAAUAAAUUUCUCUCCGGUCCCUGAGGAGACGACCCUGCUUACCACUGUCUACUAGUAGUGAAUUCAGUUAAAUAAUUAAUUCAGGUAUAUCGGAUUAAGCAAACUCUUCGAAAACAGGGUGAAUCAAGUAACCCAUUGCACACCUAGAGUCCCUGCUCCAGUACUCGAAUUAAUUAUUGACUGCCUUAGGUGGUAGUUAGGUUUUAUUUAUUAUUAUUGCACAGGUUCGGCACCUGUCAGAUAUAAUUUAAAUCAAGAAAAUGCAAUUUAUUUUUGGAAAAAAAAAAAAGAAGCACCCCCGCCACCCAAACACCCCAAAAAAAAUAUUUGUUUUGACGGAAUGGAAUUUUUUUUUGGCGACCAGAGAAAAUGCAAUCAAACGUGAAAUCAAACAAAUUAUCCAAAAGAAAAAAGGAUUAAAAAAAACAUAUUAUAGAAAAGGGCAUCAGGUCUCCAAGGUGAUUUAGCAUCAAUGUAGAGCUAUUCAGACGCAAAUUACCCAUUUGUAUACAUGAGAUUCAUCCUUUGCCCAAAAAAUUAAUCUGAAACCUAAAUAAAUUUAAAAACCCGAUUUCACGAUAAGAAAAAAAAUAAAGAAAAACUUCAAAGGAAAUAAAGAAAGGCGAUCAGAACCUGUCGGUUCCAAUUACUUAACCGACAAGGAUUCCCACAGCGGUUAAGCUUCUUAUACUACCAGAUGAUGCUAGCCUUCUGGCUCAUUUAGCAUUGAUCUUGAUGUCGAGUAAUGAAUUUGAAAGUCCAUUUUGAUUCCCAAGUCUCUAGAACUUUUUUUCUAUGGUACGAGCAAUCUUGGCAUCCUCUGGACCUGGCUCAGGGAAAUCCAUGUGAAAUGACCCCUGUUUGAUAGGUGCAUCAGCCUCUAGGAGUUUAGAUGUGAAAUGCGGGAAUUGGGUUUCUAUGAAGGGAUGCUGAAAUUGUGAUUGGAUUAGCUUGCUUUCCCCUUCCUCUCAGUCUCAGGUGCAUAUUAGAAAUUUAUGUCAUUAAUCAGACUUUAUUUCCCAGAUUCUGCAAAAUGAUUUUCAUCCCACAGCAGCAAGUCGGAGUCGGUUCCUUGCAUCUUGAUCUUGAGAUUUGGCCAGAAAUUGAUAAGAGCAUUGGGGUUUAGGUUUGGUGAAUGAAAUUGGGCAGUUUAUGAAGGCAAUUUUCAACCAAAGCUAUUCUGAUGAUUUUGCCUCUAAAAAGCACGCUUGCAAGCCACGUGAUAGCCAUUCUAUUUCUUUUGACGAUCGAAAUUAGACAGAAUAACUAAAACAUACAAUUUGGUUAGUUUAGCGAUAUUUUCGGCUAAGGAAUUAAUUUAGUGAUCAAAAGUAGUACAAGUGAAUAAUUUAAUGACAUUUGGUGCAAUUUACUCUUAUUCUAUCAAGGGUACAGGAGAGCAGCCAAAAUUGGGAAAAAAAAGAAAAGAAAAUUACAAAUAAAACGCAGAAAGGAACCAAGAAAUCUAUAAAUUACCUUCAAAUGUCAAGAGAGUGGUGUUUUUCACCUACUAGCGCACCCUUUAACCCGGCGCCCACCUCUUUUUAUGUAUACUAUUAUACUUGAUCUUUAAUUGCCAAUAAUAUUGAAGUUGGCACAUGUUUCAUUCUAUAAUUAUUAUGGCUGAAGGUUCAAUUUUUCCGUCUGAGGUUUGCCCUUUUUUGCUCGAUUAUAUUCAUCUUUCAUCAUCGAUUUGAAUUUUCAACGUACCAAGGUUUUCUCAAAUCGCUUUGUACAAGAUGCAUGAUAUUUGUUCUGAUUUACCAUAUCAUCUUAGUAUUCGUAUGGGUGCAUUCAAAUUUAGGGACACGAUGUAGUCCUAAUUAGUUUGUGAGAAGGCCGUGAUUUUGAAAAGAAAAACUCAAACUCUCAACCAUCAAAACAAACUCGAUCUUUUAGCAUAAAUAUAGAUAUAGAUAUAUAGAUGAAUCUUUGUAAUUAACAAAGUACACAAUGGUGAUCAAUAAAAGUCAAUGGUAGGUAGAGAAGUUGGCAUCAUCCUUGAAAGCGUCCUUUAGGACAGAAGGGCUAGAAAGCAAAACGAAGGAGAUCAGUAAAUUAAUCACAAGAUUACUUGAGCUUUCAAGAAUCAUCCUUGAAAACGUCCUUUUGGACAAAGAGCUAAAAACCAAAUUGAAGGAGAUCAAUAAAUUAAUCACAAGAUGCCCUGAACUUAUGAGGAAGCCAAUUAGUGCAAUAAUACACCAUAUUUUAUAGAUUGGAAUCUGCAAGUGGUGGAGCUAGGUAAAGACUCUGUUGAUGCAAUUGUGGGGCUCCAGGCUUCAAAAUAAUGCAAAGAUGACAAUAAUGAGUUGGAGCCAGCUUAUUGAUGACAAUAAUGCUUGUAUUUUAAGCACGUUAGAUGUGAAAUGUGAGAGUUGAAUGCUGUCUGAGCUCAUUCCAGUGUGAAAGAGCCUUUUGCGAUAGCAAACUGCUGUUCUCUACCGGUCUCAUUCAGUCAUUUGCAGUAUGAUUAUGGUUAUUUAUUAGUGUGAACACAAAUGAUUGGAAUGAACAUUUGUUUAUUUAUGUAGAAAAAGUGAUCUUGUUAACGUUAUUUUUUCCAAAUAGCAGCCCGCACUAGUGAUUUCGCUCUACUUGUUUUGGGGUAAAUUGUGGAAGAUAGAGGCACAAUUAAAUCGGCAUACCUCUAAUCAUUUACCUACCGUAUAUCUAUAUGAGGGCAAAACUCGGAUCACGUGCAUUAAUGCUAACAAUAAUGAUCUAUAAUACUAAACAAGAGAUAUCGUGACAUAUGUGUCUUAUGUUAUUUCAUAUUGUGAAUUAAAUGGUUGACCAUUGUGCCUUCUUUGGUCCACUUAAAAUUUUUAGAUGAUUUUGUCCUUCAAACCCUACAUGUGCAGAUCAUGUGAUGGUCAUUCUUUUUUUUUUUUGACGGUGAAAUUAGAUAGAAUGACCAAAAACAUACAAUUUGAUUAGUUUAGUGAUGUUUUCGGCUAAGAAAUUAAUUUGGUAACCAAAAUUAGUACAAGUGAGUAAUUUAAUGACAUUUGGUAAUUUGCUUUUAUUCUAUCAAGGAAUACAGGUAGCCAAAUUUGGAAAGGAAUAUAAAAUUAUGAAUGAAAUACAGAAAGGAACCGAGAAAUCUAUAAAUUACCCUCAAAUGUCAAAAGAGUCAUGUUUUCCACCUACUAGCGCACCCUUUAACCCGCCGCCCAUCUCUUUUUCAAAUGAAUGGCAGAUAUAUAGAUAAUUGCAAUGCUUUUCUGGCUAAAUGAGGUUUUACUCUUUAUUACUCUUAUUAUCAUGUUUUUCUUUUGGUCAAAUGAUGUCAUACUCAAAUAAAAAGGAAUUUGUUAAGGAUUCAAAUCUUAUCUAUUAGAAACUAGUUUCCUUAAUUUCAAAGAAAGAAGUUGAUUAGAGAUCCCCUCUUCAUAUUCUGGCUUUUAACACAGUAGAACUUAAACAUUUGCUAACCCUUACAUUAAUCAAACAAAAAGCCAACCAAUCGUUCAUGGUUGCCUGCAUAAUUCUCAUCUUUUAAUUUUUUAAUUAAUUACACUAGCUGGAAAUGAAUGCGAGUUCCACUUCACUACUAAAAAAGAUUAUUAGCAGAAGUAAAAUUUAUUAGCAUAAGUUAUAUAUAGCCCAUGCUCCCAUGUGCAAUAUCACAAUGUUAACGUUGGUAAAUAGCUAGGCGAGAAGACAAAAGAGAUAGAGAUGCCGCCGCCGAGCCUUAGCACCUAGCUGUCAAGUGGCAGAUGCCUAUGCAUUUUCUAGGAUACCUUUAUGGUAAGAACGCGUUGACCGUGCCUAUGGUAGGAAGGCCUCCAGAGGUCGACACGUGUUGCAGGUGGAUGAAUUGCAAACGGAGACGUUAAGCCGUGGAAUUGCGCGUGGAGAUGCAACGUUAACAUGUUGUCCGCGGCUGCAAGGUAAAAGCACAGGUUCGGAUAUUGCCUAUUAUAUGAAUAUGAAUACAAUAGUCAAUUGUUUUGAAAGACUAAGUCUGCCUAGAUAUUGCCAACUAAUUAAAGAUAACUUUUAUUUAACAUAGCAAAUACAUAUUUACAUAUGAAGACGGUAAUAAGAAUACAUAAAAUAAUUAAUGAUACCAAAAGUUAUCCUUAGUGUUUGGGUUUUACAUUCUUAUUCAAAUCUAAUCAGGGUCAAAUUUGGGUUAGAUAUAUACAAAUUAAGUAGUAUUUUAGGGUCGAAUGUUCUAUAUUUUUUUCUUAAACUAUAAUGUUACUUUUUUAAAAAAUUUUGGUAGAAUUGGUGUUGUUAUUAUCAUAUUUAUCAAAAAAAAAUUUCCACGUUAAAAGGCCAGUAGUACUUUUUUUUAUUUAGUGAUUUCAUAAUUUAGAUUUCAUGAAUGGUACCAUUCUUGAUUUUUUAAAUCCACGACAUUAUUUCCUUUUGUUUUCUGUAUAAUUUUGCUAUUUUACUUAGGAUUACUAAGUUAAAAGAUAAAAUAUUAUUAUUUACUUUUUUACUUUUACUAAGUUUGGUAAUGUUUUCUCUUUAUUUACCUUCCCACUAAUAAAUUUCAAACCAAAUUCCUAUAUAAGUGGAGCCACUUCUUACUUAUUUAAAUUAGAAAGGUAUGGAAGGCACUUCUUACUUAGAAAAAUGUUAUUUGCACUCCAUUUUUUAUUAUUUGUAAUUCCACCAUUUGUUUUAUCAUAUAGUCUAAUGAAUGAAAACUAUAUGAUCAAAAUGAUUAUUGAAGUGUGAAUAACAAAAAUAUAGUGUAAAUAAUCUUACUUAUUUAAAUUAAUAAGAAAGCAUGAAAGGAUGUCAUAUUUGUUAUCUCUUGUUAUGGUCUUAUAGAAGUUUUAAUUGGAGUAGAAUAAUAAAUAACGCAAGGUAAUCGAAAACGUGAUAGGUUGAAGUACAAAUAAGAUAACAUGCAUAUUAACCAACAAUUUGAAAUGAAAUGAUUUUAAAAAGUAACUAACAAUUUCAAAUGUAAAGAGUAGAUGUGAAAGUUAAGAGAAAUAUAUUUUAUAAAUUAAAUUAAAUGUGAAAUGCUAGAAAAAUAGAAUUGGUAGUGGGAAGACGUGUGAAGGCUUGUUGCUAAAAAUUCUUUCUCAAAUUUAUAUAGAUAUAGAUAGAUAUAGAUGUCUUUUUUAGUGGUUCAAUCUCAUAUUCAUGAACUAUCUGCAGAAAAAAAAUAAUUCUGGACUAUACUAAUUUUGUUAUACCAACUCUGUUAUUUUUAUUAGUGUAUUAAUUGUUACGUUAUUUCUCUCAUUUUGUUGGGUCUACAUUAAUACAAGUGUAAUUGUUAUUAUGUCUCGUGUCCCAGAAAAUACAUAAUAUCCUAUUCAGGUGGAUACGUGCAACAGAUAAUCAAAUUGAUGGUAAAAAUUUAGAAUGAAUAAGUUGCUUUUGCAUAACGGUUGUAAAGGUUUCUUGAAACUUUAUGAAUUAGGUGUCUUGCGUUUGCAAAAAGAAUUUCAGAAGAUUUUUUGUAUUGGAAAUGGAGUUAAAACUUGCUAUAGGUUACUUUCCUGUAUUUCAAUCUUAUCGUAAAGGGUAAUUUGCUGUUGAACCUAAUUUUUUUUCUGAUUAUAUCCAACUAAUAAAUUAACUUAAGAAAAUAGAUAAUUUAUGGAGGAAAGCUAUAAGUAGCUGGUGCUUAUUUUGAAAAAUAGAUUUAUUUUUAUUUUAUCCAAUAAAUAAAUUAGUUUAUGAAAAAUGGGUACUCUGUUCUUAUAAUGGAGGAAAGCCAUAAAGAGCUAGUGUUUUAUUUAAAAAGGAUCUAUUUUUAUUUUAUCCGAUAAAUAAAAUUUUUGUAUGCAAAAAUGGGUACUCUAUUCUUAUAAUGGAGGAAAGUCAAAAAGAGCUAGUAUUUUAUAGAAAAAUGUGUUUAUUUUUAGUUUAGCCGAUAAAUAAAAUUUUUUAUUUAUAAAAAAAUGGGUACGCUGUUCUUAUAAUGAAAAAAAGUCAUAAAGAGCUAGUGUUUUAUUGAAAAACGGGUUUAUUUUUAUUUGAUCCGAUAAAUAAAAUUUUUUAUGAGAAAAACGGGCACUGUGUUCUUAUAAUGGAGGAAAGUCAUAAAGAGCUAGUGUUUUAUUGGAAAAUGGGUUUAUGCAGAAUUUUAUUUUAUCCAUAAUUUUUUUUUAUGGAAAAAUGUGUACUCUAUUCUUAUAAUGGCGGAAAGCCAUAAAGAGCUAGUGUUGUAUUCAAAAACAGGUUUAUUUUUAUUUUAUCCGAUAAAUAAAUUUUUGUAUGGAUGUCUAGAUAAAAUUUAUUGAUCGGAUUAAAAGAAAAUUUAUUUUAACACUCAUUUUUCCAAAAACAAAUUUUCUUUUCGAAAAAAAAAAGAAAAUAAGCCCGUUUUCUAAUAAAACAGUCGUUGUUUAUGGCUUUCCUGCAUUAUAAGGAAAGAGUACCCAUUUUAUCAAAAACAAAUUUAUUUAUCGAAAUAAAAUAAAUAUAAAGGCGUUUUACAGUUAACCACCCACUAUUUACGGCUUGCCUCCAUAAAUUAUCCACUUCACUAUUUUUCAUAAGUUAAUUUUCUAGUUGGAUAAAAUUGGAAUAAAAUUAGGUUGAACAGCAAAUUACCCUUUAGGAUAAAAUUAAAAUACAGGAAAGUAACCUAUAGCAAGUUUUAACUCCGUUUCCACUACAAAAAAUCUUCUGCAAUUGUUUUUGCAAACGCAAGAAGAAUAAUUCAUAAAGUCUCAAGAAACCUUUACAACCAUUAUACAAAAGCAACUUAUUCAUUCUAAAAUUUUAGCAUCAAUUUGAUUACCUAUUGGACGUAUCAACGUCAAUAAGAUAAUAUGUAUUUUCUGAUACACGAGACAUAAUAAGAAUUAAACUUGCAUUAAUGUAGACCUAACAAAAUGAGAAAAGUGGCGUAACAAAUAAUACAAUAAUAAGAAUAACAUAUUUGGUAUAACAAAUUUAGUAUAGUCUAAAAUUUUAUUUUUUUUCUGCAGAUAGUUCACCAAUAUAAGGUGCAACCACUAAAAAGAAUGACAUGCAUAUGUAAUGUAAAAAUGAAUAUAAAAUGAAUGUAGUUACAUUGUGUCAUCCGGUAUUCGGGUCCAUAGUGGAAGCCGAACUUCAAUAAUGGAAAGCCAAAGUUGAAGCUUACUUCAGACGCUAUGGGGAAGAAGUGGGGUCACCAAAUAUUUGGUACAAAGGAAAGACUUGCAAUAACAUAGUACGGAAGUCAGUUUGCUGUUUGCUUCCAUCCGUACACGCUUCUACUUGAUUCCUUAUGCACGCGCUCUCCAACAAUUUAACGUCUCCGUUUGGACUGUUUUGCCCCCAACACGUGUCGCUCUCUGCCGGCAUUCCUACCAUAGGCAGGUUCCUACCAUAAAGGUUUCCGCAUUUUCUAUCUGCCCAGAAAGCAAUACUAAAUUCAGUGAUGCCUGCGAUUCUUCAGUCAUCCCUUUUUUCUUUUUGGGUAAAGAAUGUGAAGGUGGAUAGAUAGGGAAAAAGCAGAAUCCCCAUUUUCUAGAAUGAGAAAUACAUAUCUUUGGUCAUUCAGUUAUAUCAGAUUGAUUAAUUAGCAAAUUUGGCAUCUAAAAUACAAGUUUUUUGAACUUAUUUCACGUAUAAGUAAUAAAAUACUAGCAAUUAAGAAUGUAUUGUCUAUUUGGUUGAUAGGUUGCAAUUUUAUCAUUUAUUUUAUUAUUAACUUCCCCUAUUACCUGACCCGAUGUGGAUUAAUUAUCAGAUUCUACUAAUUUUUCAUAAUUUGUAUUUAUUUCAGGAAGUAGAUCGAAAAUACCAUAACCAAUGCUAAUUUAACAGUUAUUAGAAAAGAAUUCAAACAGAAGGCAUGCAGGGACAUUUUUUGUAACAAAAGAGACGCAAGCCCUUUUUGGUCAUCCGGCCGAAGUCUUCCUCUAAAAGAGAUGGGAGCCGCCGCACAUGGAGAGGAUUAUUAGAUAGAAAUUAGAAAUGGCAGGUGGGGAGCACUACUCUAGAGCUUUAGCUUUGACUUUUCCUUCCUUUGCUUCUUAGUAGUUUUUGUCUUCUCGGAUGUCAGGAGCAAUUGAAGCAUUGAAUCAUUUCCCUGUAGCUUUUUCGUUUGUUUUUUCCUUGUGAUCUGUAGUGGAUUCCUCCUGCCACAUAAUGGCCGCUGCUAUCACUUCAGUUUUGUAUGGAUUUUUCUCAUCAACAAUGAGCUAAACCCCCCCUUUGUCUAGUCAAGAAACAACGGAUGCUUUGGUUCGUCUAAAAAUUAUGAGAUCAAUUUAAUUUAAUCUUUUUCUUUUAUUUAUUGGUAUUUGCAUGUUCCUUGAUUGCUAUGCUUAUGGUUAUUUAAAUUAAUUGAUUGUUUUGGAUCCAGAUAAUUAGUUAAUUUGGUAAUCUAUUGUCAAUUAGGGCUUUUAAAUCCGUAAUUAUUUAAUUGUUUUGAAAUAGUGACAACUGACACGAUUAGAUUUAUGUCAGGGGAAUAUGCUGGCUAAUCUGAAAUAACCCUGAUAGUGCGUUAUUUGAUUAGAAUAGAACUUCUCUAAUACGUAAGGCAAUUGGGGAAUUAAAUCUUAUGGGCGUACCUAAGAUUAUUUCUCAAUUAGAGCAGUGAUUAACGGGCGUACCUUAAUCACCGACACAGUAAGGAGGGGUUAACUGCCAUCGCUUGUUUGGUAGUUAUAACCUAUUUAUUAGUAAAUAAUUGGAAUUACCUUUGCAUCGAUGAUCAAUUAGGUGAACUAUUGUUGAAGUUAUUUCUUGGUUAGACCCUUAAUUAUCACUCAUUUGAUAUUAGUAAAUUGUUAUUUAAUUUUAGUAACUUUUUAGAUUUUAUUUGAAUUUUUUUUAUUGUCAUCUUUUGCACAAAAACACCCCCUUAUUACUGUGAAUUUGAAAAGAAACAGUUACUCCCAAUCCCUGUGAAUUCGACCCUACUUACCACUAUUUACAAAAAUUAACUUUAGUUGAGCAGGUUUUUAUUAUUGCAUAGGCUGAUAACCUGUCAAUUUUUGGCGCCGUUGCCGGGGAUUGGUGCCAGAUUAAUUUAUUUAUUUUUUAGUUCAUCUUAUUUUUAUUUUUUUAUUUAUUUUUUUCUUAUUUUUUUAUAUAGUUUAUGGCUGCUAGCAUUCCAUAUUUUGAUGAUAGACUGGACUUUAUUCCUGAAUGGGGUUAUGAGACUCAUGUUUUUCCUAAUGAUCAAUGGGCUGUUGCAAAUUGUGAAACUUAUUUUAUCUCAGGUUAUUCAACCGACACAUGCCCUUCAUUUCAAGAUAAUCUAAGUGCUCUAAUUGAUAUUUUUGGAGAUUUUUCACCUCGAUUUCAAACGUGAUAUGAUCCUUACUCAAACAGGUAUGAUCAAGGAUGGUGGGAUAAUUCUAAUUUUAAUUAUGCGACAGGGCCAAUGGAUUUUCAACCGCAAGAAUCUCAACAACCAUCACCCGUGUCAGGUAUAUCUCUUGAAGAAAUGAUUGAAUUACUAGCUGCUAAUACAUAUCGAACUCAGCAGGAGACACAAGCGAUGGCGGAUCAAGUGCAACUAUUGAUAUCCGGGAUGGCAGAUCAAAUAAAUCUAUUGACAUCCAGGUUAACGUGAUUAGUUUCUCACCUUAAAGAAUUGCCCUCACAAACCAAUAUCAACCUUGAAGAAGAUGAGAGUGCAAUUAUCCGACCAAAUGACAUGGAACUGCAAGAGUUUCAAGGAAACGGAUCUAAAGAUGCAGUUGAAAAGGAAGUUGAAGUGCAAGAAAUGAGACCCCAAUAUCAACUCGUCCAAGUGAAUGAAUCCAGUAAACAAUUUCCAAAUGCGGUGACAUCUCCUCCAUUCCUUAAUCAAUAUUCUCCUGACUCUUAUUCUUCAAUCCCUAUUAAUGAAACUGACUUUAUUAUACCAGAAAAUCUUGAAUUUCAUAACAGGAAUAAAUUAAGAGUGACGAUGACAAGAUAUUUUCGACCAAUAAAUGCAUGUGAGGGAGGAGUGAAUGGAGAAUUCAAAUUAUCGUUGACUUGUUUAGCGCCAUUUACUAAUCCAUGGAAGACUGUAGCUCGUGUGCUCAAGAAUUACUCUAUUUACGAGGGUUAUCAGGACUAUAUAGAGGAUGAAGUAUUGAAACGAGUUACAAGAUUUUAUCCUCUCUAAACAAACAUGAUAAUGUCUAACCAAAGAUAUUAAAAAAAUGCGCUCAUUGGGAGGCAACCCAAUUUCUUUUAGUUGUUUGUUCGGUUUUGUUUGUUAGUUUCAAUAUGUUUUUCUUGAGUUUGACUGAUUUCUGGUUUCAAUUUUCAUUUUUGAUGAUUCGUAGGUAUCCCUCUGACAUGACGCGCCAGCGUCAACUGGGCGCGUGGCAUAGUGCGAUUUCCUGGUGCUUAGUAAAAAGGGUUUCGAUCCCCUUGACGUGCCCGCGUCAAGUUCCAUGAAAAUCUCAUGAUCAGAUUCGUCAGAAGGGGUUCUUGUCCUCAUGACGUGCCCGCGUCGAGUCAUCUAGGAAACUCUUCACUUCUUGCCUUCUUGACGUGCCCGCGUCAUGUUCGCGGGAAAAAUGAGUAUUCAAAUCUCGAGAAAAAUUUCGAUUUCCUUUUAACCUCUAAUUUUGAAUUUCGAAAAUAAAUUUUAUUAAUGAUAAUACAAAAAAGAAAUUUAAAUAAAAAAAUUUCGUUUAACCGUAACUUCAAAAAUGAAAAAAAAACCGAACAAAAUAACUAUUUUGUUUUUGUUUUUCUCUUUUCUUUAUCUUUCUUUUCUUUUCUUUCUUUCUUUUCUGUCUUUUUUCUUCCCCGAUUCCCUUUUCCUUCGCACGCUGCCACCCUUCUUCUCUCCAACCUCGCACGCCGCUCCUCUUUUUCCCUCGUCGCCGCCGUCCGCCGCUCACCAUGCCCUUUCUCCCUCGCACCUUAGGCGCCACCGCCGCUCCUUCGCCCUAAGUCCCGCCUCGUCCACCACUUUGACCCGAUUUCAGGGAAGUUCCGUUGCCCUUCUUCUUCCUAUUGCUGUUUAUUUGUCACAUUAUAGGCAAUGUGUCAUUUAGGUGUGGGGGGGGAGGGAUUAGAUGGGGUGCCAGUGUUUCUAGUUUUUAGUUUUUAGUAGUUUUUAGUUUUUUGAUAUUUUUUCUUUAUUUUUAGUUUGGUAUUUGUCUAGUUUUCGUUACUUUUUUGACAUUUAUCUGUCUAGCUCCCCUCUGACUGCCAAAGUUUGAUGUUGGAUUGUUGCCUCUAGUUUUGCUAUUGUCAAGUUUUAAUUAUAAAAGUGUAUCAAAUUAAUGUGGUUGAAUCUAAAAACAUCUCUUUGGUGAAUAUCGAUGAUUGUUUUACUCUUAUAAUUUUUGUUUAACUUUCCUAGGCAUAGGGAAUGAUUGUUGGCAUUUUCAUGUGAAUUGGUACGGUUAUUAACCUUAGUUCUCCAUGUUUGAAAAUGAGGCUAGCUGAUGCAAAUUUUCUUUUAAUUUUUGUGUUAUAUUGAGUUUUUGGGUUAUUUAGCUGAGAAUAAGAGUUAACUGUGCUCCGCUAGUCUUUUCUAUCAAGUAACAGGGAAUUUUUACCAAAUGUGUCGAUUCUCGCGUCAAAAAGCAGUAAUUGCUAUGAGUAUGUGGUCAUGUGGCGAUAGAAGCUGAGCAACCGGGCUCUUUCAUCUGACAAAUGUCAGAGUUCGCGUCAAAAGGCUCUAAUAGAUAGAGAUUAAGUCUUUUACUAUUAUUGUAAAAAAAAAAAACAAAAACAAAAAUAGAAACAAAAAAAGUGAAAAAUAGAAAAAAAACGUGAAAAAAAGUGAAGGUUGUGUUAGGGUGUGAUAAAAAUCAGCUUGCCGAUUUAUGGAUUUAAUGUUGAGAUUUUGGUUAAUAUUUGGACCAUUUGCUGGUAAUGUUGAGCGAUCAUUCCUUUUUCUUAGAUUAGUUAAUCUGAAAUUAAAGGAGUUUGUGGUUUAGAAGCUAAUCGGAGUGAUGUUUCUCGGAUUUUAAUCACUAGUGCUUGAUAUAUGAUUUUUUUUUGUAUCUUGGCAAUAUGGUAGAUAGAGCAAUAGUCAUUGGCAAAUUUUGGUGUUUGUUUACCGUUUUUAUGCUUGAGGACAAGUAUGGUCUAGGUGUGGGGGAAAUUGAUAGGUUGCAAUUUUAUCAUUUAUUUUAUUAUUAACUUCCCCUAUUACCUGACCCGAUGUGAAUUAAUUAUCAAAUUCUACUCACUUUUCAUAAUUUGCAUUUAUUUCAGAGAGUAAAUCGAAAAUAUCAUAACCAAUGCCAAUUUAACAGUCAUCGGAAAAGAAUUUAAAUAGAAGGCAUGCAGGGGCAUUUUUGAGAACAAAAGAGAUGCAAGCCCUUUUUGAUCAUUCGGCCGAAGUCUUCCUCUAAAAGAGAUGGGAGCUGCCGCACAUGGAGAGGAUUAUUAGAUAGAAAUUAGAAAUGGCUGGAGGGGAGCACUACUCUAGAGCUUUAGCUUUGACUUUUCCUUCAUUUGCUUCUUUAGUAGUUUUUGUCUUCUCGGAUGUCAGGAGCCAUUGAAGCAUUGAAUCAUUUCCUUGUAGCUUUUUCGUUUGAUUUUUCCUUGUGAUGUGUAGUGGAUUCCUCCUGCCACAUAAUGGUCGCGGCUAUCACUUCAGUUUUGUAUGGGUUUUUCUCAUCAACAAUGAGCUAAACCCUUUGUCUAGUCAAGCAAUAACAGAUGCUUUGAUUCACCUAAAAAUUGUGAGAUCGAUUUAAUUUAAUCUUUUUCUUUUAUUUAUUGGUAUUCGCGUGUUCCUUGAUUGCUAUGCUUAUGGUUAUUUAAAUUAAUUGAUUGUCUUGGAUCCGGAUAAUUAGUUAAUUUGGUAAUCUAUUGUCAAUUAGGGCUUUUAAAUCCGUAAUUGUUUAAUUGCCUUGAAAUAGUGACAACUGGCACGAUUAGAUUUGUGUCAGGGGAAUACGCGAGCUAAUCUGAAAUAACCCUGGUAGUGCGUUAUUUGGUUAGAAUAGGGCUCCUCUAAUACGUAAAGCAAUUGGGGAAUUAAAUCUUAUGAGCGUACCUAGAAUUAUUUAUUAAUUAGAGCAGUGAUUAACGGGCGUACCUUAAUCACCGACACAGUAAGGAGGGGUUAACUGCCAUCGCUUAUUUGGUAGUUAUAACCUAUUUAUUAGUAAAUAAUUGGAAUUACCUUUGCAUCGAUGAUCAAUUAGGUGAACCAUUGCUGAAGUUAUUUCUUGGCUAGACCCUUAAUUAUCACUCAAUUGAUAUUAGUAAAUUGUUAUUUAAUUUUUAGUAACUUUUUAGAUUUUAUUUGAAUUUCUUUGAUUAUCAUCUUCUGCACAAAAACACUCCCUUAUUAUUGUGAAUUUGAAAAGAAACAGUUACUCCCAAUCCCUGUAGAUUCGACCCUGCUUACCACUAUUUACAAAAAUUAACUUUAGUUAAGCAGAUUUUUAUUAUUGCACAGGCUGACAACAUGUCAUUGGUAGUGCUCCAAAUAAGGGGUGGAUCCAAAGUUGCCUAAUUGGUCUAUGUGAAUAUGAAUCCUGUACAUAAACAAGAAGCAAUUUUAGAGGGUACUGUUCACAAAAUUUUAUCUGCUUUUGGAGGGUUAAUUAAGUCAUUUAAAUUUUGAUGGGCCAAUCGGUUUAGAAGAGUGUACAAGUGGAUGAUGCUGCGGUAUUUGUGAAAUGACUUUGGGGGGCCUUUAUUUAGUUGCUCUUCCUUCACAUAUUUAUCAUUAAAAUUAAAUGACAGCUUUAACUUUUAGGCUCAUACACACUAGGGUGUACGUGUGAUGAAAGAGAUAUAAUUGUUUGAUAAUGAUGGUCUUCUACCAUUGCAACUAUAGUUGCUGUUAUUCGAUAUGUACUUAGUCAAUAAAUUGGUAUUAAUCUCACACUUAUCUUACUAACUACAAUUAAUUAGUCAAACUCUUCCUUUCUUCUCCGUUAGAAUUUUGUUAGUUUUCAAUUCUUCCAGGGAGAUUAUAUUGAAUCACUUUUGCAAUCAGUGUUGGUGAUGGUGGCAUGGUAAUUAGUAAUUUGCAACACAAAUUCUUUACUAGCGAAUCUAUAACAACUAAAAUGAUUGUGAGAUGUGCCACUGGCCUUAAAUUCUUUUACGAUCGUCAUUGAGCAACUUGUUAUUUAUCAAUUGUAUGAUUACUUAUGAAUUAAUCACAUUGAACUCCAUCAACGCAUCUUGGCGGGGUAAUUAUUCAAUAAGCUGAAGGAAUGACAAUGCAGUGAAAUUAGGCCAGGUUGAUACAGGAUUUUAUUACGUUUAUUGGAGUAAUCAUCUCACAUGUUUCUAAGGGUGUUUAGAUUACAAAUUACUCAGAAAUCUCUUACGUGUCGUGAAGCAUCUGUGAAAAUGUGAAAGGCACCUCAUCAAAUUUCAAAUUCGCAGGCCAACUACUGAAUUAGCAGUUGGCAAUUUGUCAUUCCUUCAAAUUUUCAGUGCGACGGCUGAUCUUCUCCAUCUGAGCAUCUAGCUGCAAACAAAUGCCAGUUUCUGUAUUGUCAUUGAGUUAAUAGAUGCAUUAGCACUAAAAUCUCACAAGAUCAGGCAAACAACAAGGCAUAAAAACUGAAAUGUGUAAGAGGUCCAAUUUGAUAUCUGGGACACUGAUAUCAAUGGAAACUGAGAUGGCCAAAACAGGAAGGGGCCUUGGUUUUUCUCUCCCUGCGGAGAAUGUUCAAGAACUAGCUUCUAAUUGCUCUAAAGAAAUCCCCCAUCGAUACAUCAGGCCUGAAAUAAUGCUUGAUGAAGUAUCUACGAACGAGGUAGCACAGAUUCCAGUGAUCGACAUGGGAAAGCUUGCAGCUGAUCAUUCAGGAUACCAGAAUGAAAUGGCAAAACUUUAUCGGGCUUGCAAAGACUCGGGUUUCAUUCAUGUAACAAAUCAAGAGAAUCCUUCACAUAUAGAAUCCUAAUUGUACUACUUGUAAUGAUUAGAUACACAGCUUAAUUUUCCUAGUAAAGUAACGACUAACAGCCCGUGACUCAAUCUUGAACAGUUAAUUAAUCAUGGGGCUACCACAGUAGUUGAGAAAAUGAAGUUGGUGAUGGAGGACUUCUUUAAGCUGCCAUUACAGCAGAAGAUGGCCUGUGCAAAACUACCAAAUGAUGUUGAAGGAUAUGGUCAAAUAUUUGAGGUAUCAGAGGAUAUGGUCAAAAGCUUGAUUGGGGGGACAUGCUCUUCCUCCGUGCAUUGCCAGUUUCUCAUAGAAAUAUGAGAUCUGGCCUACGACUCCAACAUCUUUCAGGUAGACAAUGGAUAAUGCACAGUAUCACAAUCUUUUCCCACUUCUGCAGCAAUAUUAUACUGCUCUUAACUUUUCUCUGAAGGCUAGCCUUGUUCGUCAAGCUCCUCUGCUUACAGAAUUUCCCGUUCGUCAUGGGAAUUUAUCCUCUAUUUUUUGAGCAAUUGCAAAACAAAGAUUCUUUAAAAGGAAGCAUCUUUUGCUUCCAUUAGAAAGCUACAUGGAUUACUGUACUUAGGCGACAAAAACCUGAAAAUUGUGUAAGAAAAAUUCAUCACAAUGUUAAUUUCAAAUUUCUGAUGAUGUCAGAGAAACCAUGGAUGAAUAUUCACUUCAAAUGCACGAGGUUUGCAUGACCCUGUUUAAACUUAUGUGGGCGAAUCUUGGUGUAGACCCAGAAAAAUUAUGCAGCAUCUAUCAAGAUGGCACACAAGGAAUAAGAAUGAAUUACUAUCCACCUUGCCAGCAAGCAGACAAAGUUAUUGGCCAGACUUCACACUCUGAUGCAAUAGGACUGACCUUGUUAGUUCAAGUCAAUGAUGUUCAAGGCCUGCAAAUAAAGAAAACCAACACAUGGGUUCCUAUUAAACCCAUUCCUGGAGAAAUCAUCAUCAAUAUCGGUGAUAUUAUGGAGGUAACUGACCACCAAACCAAAUUUCCACUUACUGAGCAUCUAUAGAUAUCAUUGAGUUGAUGUGCUUUGAUGAUUUGUGCAAAUAAAGAGCAAUGGGGAAUAUCGCAGCAUUGAGCAUAGAGCUGUCGUGGAUUUCCACAAAGAAAGACUUCCAAUAACUGCAUUUCACGGAACAAAUUUCACAGCAAAAGUUGGCCCUGUAGCAGAUCUUGUCAAAGAAAUUGGAGAACAAUAAAAAACAACAGAAACCGAGAGCCUUCUCAGACUGUAUCUGAGCAGCAAACUUGAUGGCAAAAGCUUAUGGGAUCACAUGAGGAUAAACAAGUGAAAGAAUCAGCACAUUUUCACUUGUAGUAGUAGUAUUACUUUUUUUUUUUAAUCUUCAUCAUAAAACAAGCUUGAUGAAUUACCAAUAUGCCUUCAUGGAAGUUUCUAGUUGCAUGUUAUUGAUCUGUUUGCUUUUUUAUGUUAUGGUCGGUUGUCCUUAGUUGAUUUCCUUAUACUUUAGUGGUGUAAGUACUAGCCUACACAAGUCAGAUUCCUAAGGUCACAUCGGCAGUGGUGUUUAGUUGUCCAAAUUCAAGUGUGUUUCCUGGAUGAAGUAUCAAUAUUAGGAAGUUUGUAACUACAGUGGUGCGCUAGAUUGCAUGUCUGAACGAUAUCAAACCAACCUUGGAUUCCUAAGGUUAUAUCCGCGAUUAAGCGGUGGCGUUUAGUUGUCCAAAUUCAAGCGUGUUUCCUGGAUGAAGUAUCAAUAUUAGGAAGUUUGUAAUUCUAUAUAUACCUAUAGUGGUGUGCUAGAUUUGCAUUUGUCUGAACGAUAUGAAUACUCACUUGACUUGCUUGAAGUCUGCAUUACCCUUGUUAAAGUGAUGGUCACGAAUCUUGGGGUGGACGGACCAGAGAUACUAAACAGCAUGUAUCAGGAUGUCAUGCUCACAAGGAGACAAGGUAAUGUGUCUCAUCGCUCCACACUCUGAUGGAGGACUUACACAAUUGGUUCAACCAAGUUGAGGGCCAUACCCAACCAAUAGGUUCAAGUAGAUCAAGAAAAAUAAUAGAUGGGUGCUUACGUAACUUCCUAGUUCUAGUUUUUGGUCAUGUAUCGGAGUAUGAUGACGUAGGAAGUCUGGGAAAAAAAUUGUCACAGAGGAAGAAGUCAAUUUCUAAGAAUGGACAUAAUGUCAAUUUCUAAGAAAGGAAUUUCCUUAGUUUGGGUAAACAAUUUUCUAGGUUGCCCCACAAUACGUGAGACGUUGAACUUUGAUCUUCUUUAGUGCUGCAAGACAUCUAUAGCAUUCAUCUUGUCCCUGGGAGAAUCCUCUGUGCAACCUAUAGCUACUCUCAUAAUAGACGUUAUGCCCUCCAACUUUUCAGCGAAGUGUUGAUAGCCUGGCUUGAGCAAGUUUGCUUCUACUACCUGAGAUACUGCAUUUGGCGCACAACUUUUUACCCAGUUCCUUAGACGUGUCUGAAAACAUUUCAUCAAUGGGCUUCAAUCUAGUGAAAACUUCUAUCAGCAUGAUUCCAUAGCUAUAAAUGUCAGAUCCUGUUGAUACCAUGGUUCGCCGUUAUGGGCCGCGGGCGCGAUUGUUCCACAUCCGUUCCAGACUUGCGGUAGAUCGGUUAAAUAUCGGGUGAUAUGCAAGUUAGAGCAUAUAAGUCUUUUUUAAAAAUUAGAAAAAUUAAUUGGAGCUUUACCUGUUGCAAAUAUAGCCAAAUGUUGCUCGAGUCAUUGGUGUAUGCAGUGUUCUCCCCACCAGUCAAUAUUUUUACAGCACCAAAAUCAGUCACACAGGCAACCAUAUCUUCAUUUAGAAGGACAUUACUUGGCUUCAAAUCACAGUGAACAACGGGAAUUGAGUAAGUAUGAUGGAGAUACUCCAAUGCAGAUGCCAGAUCUAUCAUCACAUUCAUUCUUUGGAUGAUAUUUAAGCAAUUAUUGUAAGAAUACAACCACUUCUCAAGUCAAGGCUCCCAUUGGGGAAGUAAUCCCUUGAAGUCAUCAUUAGAGCAUACACCGAUGACUUUGGUCAGAUUUCUGUGCCUAAGACUGCGUAAGACUUCACAUUCUCUGGUGAAACUCUUGAAUGAAUAUUCCAACUGUAAAUUGAACACCUUUAUCGCCACACAAAUUCCAUUAGCUAGAAUCCCUUUGUAAACAGAUCCAAAACUUCCUAGUAAGUGGAUUUCAUCAUAGCCAUUGGUUGCUUGUAGGAGUUCAUAAUACGAAAUCCUUCCUUUUGCUGUCAAGGAUAACAAAUUUGUUCCAUUAGGAACCUUCUCCUUCUUUACGUAUCAAAAGAAAAAUAAAUGCCAAGGAUACACCAGCAAUUAUUGCUGAAACUCCAAACACUAUCAAUGUAGUUCGAAGCACUUCCUUUGUCCUUGAUCUGUGAAUUAAAGGAGUUUGGCAUGCUGGAACAUGAAACCUAGAUGAUCCACAUAAUGCAUCACUGGAGAUAAACGAUUCACUAGUGAAAUUCUUGAAAGGGCCGUUAGAUGGAAUUGCUCCUGUAAAUAAUUGAAAGAGACAUUGAAGUAGCUGAGCGAUUGAAGUGUUCGUGACAGGUCUAAAUAUUCCAAACUUAGCAUGUUACUGAUUGACUCAGGAAUUGUACCUUCAAAGUUGUUAUAUGCCAAAGAAAGAUGAUUCAAGUUUUCUAAAUCUCCAAUUCUGCUAGGAAUGUUAUUUGAGAACUGAUUCAACGACAAAUCUAUCCAUGUUGCAACCUUCACCUGUCCAAUCUCUAAAGGUAGAGAGCCAGUCAAGAAAUUCGAUGGCAGAAUAAAUCCCAAGAGAUCUUUGAGGCUCCACAAACUGUGAGGCACAUAAGGAGUUAUUCUGUUGGAAGCUAGAUAAAGACACCUGAGAGAAGUAAGAUUACCUAAACAUGCUGGAAUUGAUUUCCAAUCAGAUGUAAUAAAUUAAAGUACCGUAAGCUACACAAACUGUCAGGGAUAGUUCCGCUAACAUUUGCAACCCUCUAUAGAUAAUCCUUGAAGCAUUUGCAACCCUUUGACUGUACUUGGAAUUGAUCCAGACAAGGGAUUCUCUUGUAGACCUAGCACUCUCAAAUUGCUUAGAUUGCCAACAGUUUUUGGAAUUCUUCCCAUCAUUUUAUAGCCACCUGCAUAAAUCUUUUCUAUAGAAGAAGAAAGGUUUCCUAUAGAAACUGGAAGAAUACCAGUUAACGGGUUAUUAGCCACUGAAAUUUUUCUCAGGUAUCUGCAUUCUGUUAACGUAGUGAAGAAGCUUAACUCCGCCGAUGAAGAUUCAUUUGUUAAAUUGUUAUCAAACAGCACUAAGCAUUCAAGAAAUUGUAGAUUCCCAAAGACUAUAUAAAUUGGACGAGUGAGUCUGUUUCGAGCAAACUCUACAUGAGUGAGUUUAGAGGAGUUUGAGAUUGAGUCAGGUACAAUACAAUAGUCCACUGAGGUUAUUAGAGCAAGGUAAAGUUCUUCUAAAUUAGGCACACCUAAACCCAUAUCGGAUGGAAGAUUGCCUGAAAGACUGUUGGAAACAAUUGAAAGCACUCUUAAAGUUGAGAUGUUGAAGAUCCUGGUUGGUAUGGAACCUUUUAAACUGUUAAAUCUUAGGUUCAACACCUCCAAUGUCUGUAGGUUUCCAACCUCGUAGGGAAUUACACCUGCCAAAUUAAAACAGAUAGAACUCCUGAAAUGGAAUGUUUCGCAAUCCUGAAGAAACACAUCAUUUGCAAACGGAAGCAUGUUUAUUUGAUCAUGAAAGUUUCAGUUGUCUCAUGAUUGCUAUUCUCAAGUGCCAUACCUGUUAAAUUGUUUACACCAAGGUAUAGUUCUAUAAAGUGUAGUCAAAUUUCCAAUAUGUCUUGGUAUAGAGCCUUCAAUCUGGUUAUUCUCUAGACUAAACAGCAUUAGCUUUAAAAUACCUCCAAGCUUUUGCGUAUUUGUGCCUGCCAAAUUCAAGAUAAAGCGAGGAUAUAUAUGUUGGACCAGAAUAAUCAACUGUUUGUAACAAUAAAAGAUGCUGGAUGGACUGUGACACUGGCUUUGUUAAUUUUUUAACUUGACAAGAGAGGGAGUAGAUAGAAAUACAUAGGAGUUCAAAUUGUCACCAUCUCCGUUAGCAAAGCAAAACUUAUUAAUAUUUCUCUUGAAGUAGUCAGUAAAUUGUCACACCUGUCAAGUUGUUAUGCCCAAGAUAGAGCCGCUGAAGCCGAGUCAAAUUCCAGAUUUCUCUUGGGAUAGAUCCUAUAAUCUGAGGUUAUAAUCCAUGGCUAAUAGCUUUAGGUUAUAAAAAUUACCAAUCUCUUGAGGGAUUGUACUAGCCAAAUAAAACUAAAGUCUUGAGUUAAUGCACGAAAUUGGAACUAGGCAUUGGUCCCCGUGGCCAUCUCGUCAUACCCAUCAGGUUGUUUAGGUAUAGAACCCGUAAGCAGGUUAAGAAGUCAAUUGUUUGGUGAGCAAUUUUUAAGAAAUAGUGAUACACAUUGUAGUUUUAUUAGCACAAAGUAAUUAUACCAGUCAAUGAUGAAUGAUCUCAUAUCGUAUGCAAUGUGAAUUGAAACAUUGGCAAAUUUGGGAAGGAAAUAACAGGUUGGGGGAUACCUAUUAGGUAAAAGGAGUCAUAUAAUAAAUUUGAAUGUAUGUCCAACAUUUGCUAUAUUUACUAGACAAAGCAUUAUUAAUGUAGGUUUGUGCAAGCAGAAGUGAGGACAAACCAAAUUGGGUUAACGUAUUAUCUCUCACCAAAAUUUAAAAGCAGAAGUGAGGAGUUUUUAAUGAAAAUUUUUUGGUAGAUAUUAUUAAUACACAUCUAACAUCCCCACCUCUUGAUCGUUUGCUAAACCAAAUGUAGAAAAGAUCAAGAAACAAAAAGAUAAAGAGUAAGCAGUGCUGUCUUUAUAUUCACAAUCUCACACAUUCAUUAUACAGAUAAUAAAUAAGAAGGCAAGACACAGAAGAUGUCCAAACUAAAGAAAUACAAAAUAGAGGAAGCAGUGCUGUCCACAAACUAGAGAAAGGGUGCAGCCACCGCGGCUGCUAUUGCUAGGAAUGAUUAUGUCUUCUUCUUCUUCUCCUUCUUCUCCCAUAGCUGGUCCUCUCUCCAUUUCCUAUCAUCUGUGUAGUAACCAAUGAGAAUUUCAGGAAUGUGUGCGAUUCUUCUGUAAUCUUCACUUUCUUCCUUCUGAUUCUCUAACAGCUUCUCUCUCAAUUGAGAGCUCAUCUCAUACAAAGUCAGCUCUUGAAGAUGGCUCAAGUGCUGAAUACCCAAAGGUAAUUCCUCCAGUAAUGGAAGUUGUUCCAGAAAUAGGUCUUGGAGACGAGUGAUAGGUCAUUAUUUGUCGCUAAAUCUAUAAUUAUUCUUCCCUUGAUUUCAGCCAAAUAUUGCGUUAAUUGAUGGAUUCUACUUAUAUUUGGUUAAUGGUGCUAAAUUGUAGGAAAAAGAGCAAAACGUGACAAAAAGGGGCAAUCUUCCAAUUAAUUUGAUGGUAGCACGUUCGGGAUCGAUUUCCAAGUUCGAUUCAAACUCUGGGCAGCUUUAGAGGAAGAUUUGGAAGACUUGAAUUCUAAUUACUAGUCUUAUUGUUGAAUUAGGAAACUUGAAAUACUUUCUUUUGUGGUUUAUUUUGCUAUUUAGGAAACUAGUUCUAUUUGGUAGUAUUUUUCCAUUAGGAAACUAAGGAAAAAGCCACGGUUGUUGACCUUGGAAAAGUGGGGACCAUUGCAAUUGUCUUCCAAUAUUGCUUUGAUCGAAAUUGAAGGGAGAGAAGGCUACAAAAGGCCAGCCGACUUUGAAGAGGAGGAAAAGGACGGAUCCCGCGGGAUUACUACUUAGCCAGGGAUUUCACGUGAUAACUGGGGAGCGAAGGGAAUAAGAAAAGGAAGUGGCUCUGGUCCGCGGAGUAGAAAGAACGCAGCCGCUUGGCUCUGGUCCGCGGAGUAGUUCCUCCAUUGUAAAACAUUGACGCAAUUUCCUUCAAUGGAAUUGCGUGAGUUACUCUCAAUGGGGAACUAAACCUCCCAACUCUAGUCAAGGGAACAACUGAUGAAUUGGUUCAAUUAAUACUGUGAGAUCUAAACCAUUGUUAAUUGUUUUCUUCAUUUAUUGAUAUUUACAUAUUCCUUGCUCUUAACUGCUAUAGCCUUGUGUAUGAUUGGUUAGUGCGCAAUAAUUAAUUAUUCACAUAGGCUAUUUUGCUAUAUAGGGGUAAUUGAAUCCGUAAUUGUUCGUUACCUUUAUCCCAGUAGCAACUGGUAUAAUUGGGUUUAUGUCAGGGGAAUAUAUGAUCUAGCUUAAAUAAACCCUCGUAGCGUGUUUAUUGGUUAGGAUUGGGCCUUUCUAAUUAUUAAUGCAAUCUGGAAAUUAAAUCCUACGGUCGUACCUAGGGUUGUUUUUGGGUUAGAGAAAUAGCUAACGGUCGUACCUUAGCUAUCGAUAAAUUACGGAAGGGUUGGUUGUUUAGCGCGUGCGAGACAACUAUAACCAAUCUAUUAGUAAAUGUUGGAAUUAUAUUUGAUUCGAUGAUCAGUUGCAUGAACCAUUUCUGAAGUGCACCCUUGGCUAGAGUUUCUCUUAGUUAUUUCUUUUAAUAAAUUAUUUUCUGCAUUUGAUUUGUUCAGUUGGCAUUUGAUAUCAACACCCCCCCCAUUAAUCUUGAUUUGAAAAGAAACAAAUAUCUCUCCAGUCCCUGAGGAGACGACCCUGCUUACCACUGUCUACUAGUUAGGAAAUUCAGUUAAAUAAUUAAUUCAGGUAUAUCGGAUUAAGCAAACUCUUCGGGAACAGGGUGAAUCAAGUAACCCAUUGCACACCUAGAGUCCCUGCUCCAGUACUCGAAUUGAUUACUGACUGUUUCAGGUGGUAGUUAGGUUUUAUUUAUUAUUAUUGCACAGGUUCGGCACCUGUCAACGAGGCAAUGCACCCUCCUCCACUCUCAUCCGUCUCAACCCGGUGUUUUAGUGCUGGGAAUGUGUGCUGGGAAUGGUGUCAUUGUUUAGCUAAACCUUUCUACGGUUCAGAUGGGUUUGUACAAGCAGAAGGGAGGACAAAUUGGGAUUAUGUAUUCUCUCUCACCAAGAUCUGAAAGUUAUUAUCUGGAGAUUUUAAUAAAAAUUUUCUUGUAGAUAUUAUUAAUACACUUUUAACAUGUCUACCUCUUCAUCAUUUGCUAAACAAAAUAUAGAAAAGAUCAAAAAACACAAAGAUAAAGAGUAAUACUCUGUUACAGUACAUUAAAAAAACAUCACGCAUUAUACAUACAAUAAAUAAGAAUGUAAAACACAGAAGAUGAUGAACUUUCUCAUGCACAUCGAAGGGAAGAAAAAUUACUAAUAAAAAAUAAAAAACAAAAGGAGAGGAAGCAGUGUUCUCCACAACUAGAGAAAGGGAGCCACGACUGCUACUGCUAUGUUUUCUUCCUCUCCACCCACAGGUUGUGGCGUCUCCAUUUCCUAUCAUCUGUAUAGUAACCAAUGAAAAUUUCAGGAAUAUGUGCGAUUCUUGUGUAAUCUUCACUUUCUUCCUUCUGAUCCUCCAACAGUUUCUCUCUCAAUUGAGAACUCAUCUCAGACAAAAUCAGCCGUUGAAGAUUGCUCAAGUGCUGAAUACCCAAUGGUAAUUCCUCCAGUGAUGGAAGUUGUUGCAGAAAUAGUUGAUGGAGACGAGUCAAUGCACCCUCCUCUACUCUCAUCCAUCUCAACCCUUCCAUUCUCUUUAGGUGCAACUCCUUCAGCUUUAGAAACCCUCCAGCCUUGAAGCACAACCCUUCUCCCUGGUAAGAUCCGCAGAAAUUAAUUUCACCCAAAUUGGGCAAAUGUUGGAAGGAUUCAAGCGGAUCCUCCUCGCCCGUUAACCUGCUCCAGUCCAAAUCUAUUCUUACCAAGCCGUGAAGACGAGCUACCCAUUGUGGCAUCUUUUCUAAGCGGCCGCACAAAAUUAGCAUACGAAGAGAUUGAAGAAACGACGAAGAAGAAGAAGGAUGAUGAUGAUUUAGAUCAAUUAUCUCAUGAUCAUCACCUUUUCCAAUUGAAGUAACGCUUAAUUCCCGAAGACUGGAGAGGUUAGCAAGGGAGGAGCAGAGCUCCUUUCCAUCUUCUCUUCUUAACUUUGUAAUAGAUAACUCUCUUAAUUGGGUCAGCUUUCCUAUCUCCUUAAUUAUUGUGGAUCCACUACUAGCAUCUAUGCUGUCUAAUACUUCUAGGGCAAGAAGCCCUCCCAUAUUCGAGGGAGCUUUAAAUCCAUGAUAUCCAUAAUCAUCAUCUGAAGUAUCAACUUGUUGAUAUACUCUGAGAACACGAAGUUUUUGCAGCUUUAUGAUUUCAAUAGGUAAUUCCCUAACUCCGGUUUUUCCCAAAUUCAGAUACUCCAAAUGUUGAAGUUUCCCAAUGGCUUUCGGGACUCUCUCCACUCUUGUACCCCAUAGGUCUAGAUGCUUGAGAUGAAACAAGUUGAAAAUCUCAUUUGUUAUUUCCUCCUCUAUGUUUUGACCACGGAAAUCCAAAACCUUUAACAACUUGCUACUCCCUAAAACUUCAGAUAAUAACAUUUUGGAUAGUAGCGGAUCCGUGGAUCCAACAGUAACGAAAGACCGAAGGUGGUCAAAGUAAUAAUCUCGCCUUUGUUGGUGGUGCUGGGUGUUGUCAUUGCUACUACUAUGGACUACUAGACGGCGUACCUUUUCGGAUGGCCACGUCGCCGGUUGCCCAGUAGUAACUGUGACCAUGUUUUGUUCCCUUGACUUGAGAAGAAUAACUUCUCUCAAUAGGUCAUGGAUUCGACAAGUGUCGGGAAAUCCUUCAUAAAACACACGGGUCACUUGAAUUAGGCUUCUGCUGAUGAGUUCACUGAGAUAACGCAAGGCUACAUCUUCAAUACUCAUUCCUUCUCUCCAUUCGACAAACCUUUCAGCAAUCCACAAAUUAAUGAGUCUAUAGCAAUUUAUUUUGUAAUCCUCUGGGAAGAUACUUGUGUACAACAGACAUGCCUUUAGAUGCCAAGGCAAAUCACCAUAACUAAGAGAGAGUAUCUUUCUAACUCUGUCUAGCUUACCAGUGCCUUCUAAUUCACCACCAAGACUGCGUCGAACCAUCUCCCAUUCCUCUGUUCUGUUUACAUCUUUCGAAGCCAAAAGCCCACUGAUUGCAAGAAUCGCAAGGGGCAAGCCCUCACAUUUAUCCAAUACACCUUUGGCAACAUCCAUCAAAUGGCCAGGGCAGUUACCUCCGUCAAAGAUCUUGUUGCAAAACAGGGUCCAUGAAUCCUCAAUAGAUAGUGGCUCCAUUCUGUAGACAAGACCCCGAGAUUCAAUGGAAGAGGCACAGGCUACAUCAGAUUUUCGAGUUGUUAGCAUGACACGGUUGCCGCGGCUAUUCUCGGGCAGAGCAAAUUUGAUGGUAUUCCAAAAUUCCACGUCCCAUACAUCAUCAAAAACAAUUGCAUACCUUCCAGCUUGUUGAAGAAAAUCUUUGAUAAAUUCUUUCAGCUCGGUGGUAUUCAAAGACUCGAUCGAUUGUGGGACUGGUUUCUUCCCUUCCUUGUGUAACUGCCUAAUCAAGUCUUUUAGGAGAUCCUGAAAGUCACAUGUUUGAGAGACAGUUGCCCAAGCACGAACUGGGAAAUGCCUUCUGACUUCAGGAUCCUCAUGGACUUUUUUCACUAGGGUAGUUUUGCCAAGUCCGCCCAUACCAACCACUGAAACAACUUUCAGUUGGUGAUCAUCGCCUUCGAGGAGCUGAGAAAUAAGACGUUUCUUGGGCUGGUCAAUGCCAACUAAUUUAGCUUCUUCCACAAGCAGUGCGUCAUCUCUGUUAUAGCGCCAUGUUGAGUUGUUCACAGCAGAAAGUGAGUGGGACGCUUGGGCGGAGAUACCAUAUUCGGAUUGGUAUCUUUGAUGGCCUUCAGAAAUACUUUUGAUUCUGGAUUUGAUGCUUUGUAUUUCGCUAGCAACUCGAUGACGAGCUCUCAAAUUCUUGAUGGAGCUGAAAAUUCUCCGAACAGAGCCGUAGAAUCCUGUUGCGCGAUGCCGAGCAAAGCGAGCUACGAAGUCAUCAAGAAUGUCCUCAGUGUCAUAAGCAGCAUCUCGCACUUGCUUGAUCCAUUGUUGGAGCGUGGGUUGAGCAUCUUCUUCUUUUGCUUCUGUCUCUCGCAGGAAAGCUCUCAUUUGCUCCAACUCAUCCCUGAUGAAUUGAACCUCUUGCCGAACCCCUCCCAAUAGUCGUCCCUCCUCGCGCAGAAAAGUUGAGACUUGAUCCAGCACAAAAGAGAGAACUGUUUCUGCCAUUUUCAGUCUUUCUUUCUAACUUAAGAAUGUCGGGGAAGGCGGCUUCUGGUUUAUAGGACAGUCCACUUGUAGUAUCUUGAAAGGAAGAAGGAAGAGGAGGCUAUAGAUUCAUAAGCUGAUGAACUUCGAUGCUAUUUGGUGCAGUAUAUAUCAAAAAGAAACAGAAAGAAUUAGCCAAUUAGAAGAAACUAAGCAAGAAACAUGAUUGUGAAAAACGAAGCUGCCUUACCUGCCACAAUAUAAAAUCAUGGAAGCCAUUAAGAAGACUGUGUUUGCACAUGCCUUCGGGACCUUCUUUCAACUGUGGGUCCUUUGGUGGGAUAAAGAUAAAGGAGCAUCUUUCGCGAGGGGAAGGAAUAAAGUUAAAACGCGGUUGGACUGGACAUUAUUGAUUUCUUCUAACGAAGAAAUAAAAACUACUGCAAAAUGUUUUGCCCCUUCUGCGGACUAAUCUCUGCUGGCAUUUUCCUUCCCUCCACUAUGCAAUUAUUUAUUUUGGUGAUAUUCGUGCCAAACACAUUGCUCUAAACAAUCAAUUAAUGAAGGGAAUCCAUUGAGUGUCACUCGAAUUUUAUAGUCUCGUUACUUGCGUAUCAACUAUUAUUUGAUAAUCUAAUAUAUCUUUUGAUUGGGAAUUGAAAAAUAAAAUUCCUUGUAAGUGUAAAAACUGACCUAAUAUGUCUAAUAAAUUUUUAUACGACCUAAAACUAUAUUAGUUUGGAAACUAACUUUAUUUUUCAAUUAUUGUAAAUGAUUUCAGAGGACUAAUUUUUGUAAACUUUAAUCCUAAUUACAUAAUGACAUUUGUAUCUCUGUAUCCUCAUUAAAACAUACACAAAAACUAUGUAAACAUAUUUUUUUAUGUUCAAUAUAUUAUCUAGACACGGACUAAUUCAAAUAUUGGAGUAGAGAUGUUUUACUUUGUUAAUCAAUAUUAGUCCAAGCAUAUUAAUAGAGACGAAAAAAUAAUGCUACAUGAGUAUGUAAGCCCUCUUUUUCUCUUUCACUCUUGUACGCAGCUAUUUUAUUUUCGUCUUCUUCAUUUUUUUUUGAAAAAAUCAUUCUUAAUUAAGAAAAUUAGCAUUAUCCUACUCAUAACUUCAUAAGUCAAAAGAUCAUGCAAAGUAAAUUAAAGAUCUAAACACUACACAAGAAUCGGAUUAUAUGUCAGGAAUUCAAAUCCCACAACCUAUAUUUAAAAAAUUCUAGAUGAUGUGUCAAGGCAUCUAUAUAGUUUAGAUGAUACUGCUCAUUUAAUUCAAUUCGGUCCCUGUUAGUAUAGAAUAGUGCUAUUCUUAAUGUUGAAAAAAAUAUUAAAAAAUAAAUUGUUUGGAUAGGGUAUUAUUUGGAAUAAAUACUGUAGCACUGAUAGGGUGUUAAUUGUUGGUUAUUUUAUUGUUAAUUUUCCCCUUUAUCCUUGCCAAAUAUUGUUUUAAUUAUUAAUAUUUACUUAUAUUUGGUAUUGGACUCAAUUUCAGGAAGUGAAACAGAAAACUACAAAAAUGGUUGUGCGGCGGGCUGGAGUGGUUGUGCGAUGGGCGAGGGAGCUUCAGCCGUGGACUGCUGUGAGCUGCGGGCGACAGCGGAGAGCUGGGAUGCGGAGAGCCGCGCGCGAGAUGGCGGCGGGCACAGAGGACGACGGGCUGAGCAGCGUCCGUGGCAGGCUGGGUGCGUGCGGAAGAGAGGAAAGGGAGGGCUGUGGCGGCGGGCCGCUGCUUCGGACGACACAGAGGAACAGGGGAGAAGGAAGAAAGAAAGAAGAAGAAGAAAGAAAGAAAGAAAAAGAAAGAAAAGAAAGAAAAGAAAAGAAGAAAAAGAAAAAGAGAGAAAUUGCUGUUUUUUUUUUUCAAAAAUGUUUCUUUUUUUUUUCUUCCAAUUAUGAGGCUCUUUGAGCCACGGAAAUAAUUUUUCGUUCUUUUUUUUUUUUUUUGGAAAUUGAUUUCGACUUUUUAAUAUUUUUUUUUUUUUUUUGAAAUUUGGAAACUAAAGCUACGGUGAUAAGAAAUGUUUAUUCUAUUUUUUUCUUUUUUUCUCUUUAUUUUUUUGAAUCCUUACCUUUCCCGCGAACGUGACGCGGGUGCGUCAUGAGGGCAAGAGAGCUCCCAGAAGUUUGUGAAGUUUCUGAUCGUGAGCUUCCUGCACAUCACCACGCGGGCGCGUCAUGACUGAAGGGCACCUAUAAAUCAGCAAAAAUGAAAAUUGAAACCCAAAAUCAGUCGAAUUCAAGGAGAAUACAUCUAAACUACCACACGAAAAUGAACAAACAAUUAAAAGGAACAAUUGGGUUGCCUCCCAAGGAGCGCCUUUCUUUAAUGUCUUUGGCUAGACAUUAUCAUGUUUUGCUCAUGGAGGAUAAAAUCUUGUGGCUCGUCUUACUGCUUCAUCCUCUAUAUAGUCCUGAUAACCCUCGUAAAUAGAAUAAUCCUUGAGCAUACGAGCUACGGGCUUCCAUGGACUAGUGAAUGGCGCCAAACGAGUCGAUGAUAAUUUACAUUCUCCAUUCACUCCUCCCUCACUUGCAUUCAUUGGUUCAAGAUAUUUUGCCAUCUCCACUCUUAACUUAUUUCUGUCAUGAAAUUCAAAAUUGUUGGAUUCAUUCACUUGAACGAGUUGAUCUUGGAGUCUCAUUUCUUGCACUUCAGCUUCCUUUUCAACUGCAUCUUUAAAUCCGUUUUCUUGAAACUCUUGCAGUUCCAUGUCAUUUGGCCGGAUAAUUGCACUCUCAUCUUCCUCAAGAUUGAUAUUGGUUUGUGCGGGCAAUUCUUCCAUUUGAGGAGCCAAUCGAUUUAUUCUGGAUGUCAAUAGACAUAGUUGAUCUGCCAGAUCACGAAGGCUCGCUUGUGUCUCCUGAUGAAAUCGAUUUAGGCUCGCUUGUGUCUCCUGAUGAAAUCGAUUUGUAUUAGCAAUUAGUAAUUCCAUCAUUUCUUCAAGAGACAUGCCUAACACGGAGGAUGAUUGCUGAGACUCUUGCUGUUGAAAAUCCAUUGGCCCGGUCGCAUAAUCAAAAUUGGAAUUAUCCCACCAUCCUUGAUCAUACCCGUUUGAAUAAGGGUCAUGCUGCGUUUGAUAUUGGGGUGAAAAAUCUCCAAAAGUAUCAAUUGGAGCACUUAGAUUAUCUUGAAAUGCGGGGCAUGUGUCAGUUGAAUAACCUGAGUCAAAAUAAGUUCCACAAUUUGCAACAGCCCAUUGAUCAUUAGGAAAAACAUGAGUCUCAUCACCCCAUUCAGGAACAAAGUCCAGUCUAUCAUCAAAAUAUGGAAUGUUAGCAGCCAUAAACUAUAAAAAAAAUAAGAGAAAAUAAAUUAAAAAUGAGAACAAGGUGAACUCAAAAAGAAACAAAUUAAUCUGACACCAGUCCCCGGCAACGGCGCCAAAAUUGACAGGUGCCGAACCUGUGCAAUAAUAAUUACCUACUCAAGAAAAAUAUAGAUUUUGUAUAUAGCGGCGAGCAGGGUCGAAUCCACAGGGAUUGGGGAUAAUUCGUUUCUUCUAGAGUCCAGAGUAUGGGAGGUUCUUGGAUUAAAUGCUAACUAAAUAAAUCAAGUGCAGAAAAUAAUUGAUUAAAAGAAAUAAUUCAGAGAAACUCUAGCCAAGGGUACACUUCAGAAAUGGUUCAGGCACUGAUCAUUGAUGCAGAAAUAAUUCCAACAUUUAGCAAUAGAUUAGUUAUAGUUGUCAUGCACGCGAUAAACAACCAACCCUUCCUUAAUUUCUCGAUAGCUAAGGUACGACUGUUAGCUAUUUCUCUAACCCAAAAAUAACCCUAGGUACGACCGUAGGAUUUAAUUUCUAGAUUGCAUUAAUAAUUAGAAAGGCUCAAUCCUAACCAACAAACACGCUACGAGGGUUUGUUUAAAUUAGAUCAUAUGCUCCCCUGACAUAAACCCAAUUACGCCAGUUGCUACUGAGGUAGAGAUAACGAACAAUUACGGAUUCAAUUACCCCUAUUUAGCAAAAAUAGCCUAUAUGAAUAAUUAAUUAUUGUGCACUAAUCAAUCAUACACAAGGCCAUAGCAAUUAAAAUCAAGGAACAUAUAAAUACCAAUAAAUGAAGAAAAUAAUUAAAACAGAUUCGAUCUCACAGUAAUUGUCGAACCAAAUCGUCAGUUGUCCCCUUGACUAGAAAAGCUUAACCACGCCUCAUGAGAAAAUCUCCCCGUUGGGGAAUAUUGUCGAAUACCUGGCGUGUGUCACCUGGCGUGUGUCAGAGGCCAGUCCAAAGAAAGAAAACUAGAACUAAACUAAAAAACUAAAACUAAAGCCCUAGAUAUCUUUUGCUUCUGUACGUUGUCCCCUUUUAAAGCAACAAAAGAAAGAUGACUAAAAGCUAUCUAGGUGGUCCCCACACAUGUGGACAAAGCCUCCCAAGUACUUCUUGUUCCAAGUCUCUCUACGUUACUUUCUUUGAAGCCCAAAUGACCAAAUGCCUUUCACUAGCUUGUGGUCCCCCACCAAUUCAAGGGCCCAAGGAUUGAAGCCCUUAGAAGUCUCCAUAUUUUUCACAAAGUCCCUCCUUUUUGGUAGUUUUCUGCUUCAUUCCUGAAAUUGAUUCCAAAUACCAAAUAUGAGUAAAUAUCAGCAAUUAACACAAUAUUUGUCAGGGAUAGAAGGGAAAAUUAAUAAUAAAAAUACUAACAAAUUAUACCCUAUCACCUUGGUGGUUCUCUCCCUGUGGAGAAAUCCCCAUCGAUGCAUCAGGCCUGAAAUAAUGCUUGAUGAAGUUUCUACGAAUGAGCACAACCACAGAAAUUGAGAAAAUGAAGUUGGUGACAGAGGACUUUUUCAAGCUACCAUUACAACAGAAGAUGGCCUAUGCACGACUGCCAAAUGAUGUUGAAGGAUAUGGUCAAAUAUUUGUGGUAUCAGAGGAUCAAAAGCUUGACAGGGGGGACAUGCUCUUCCUCUGCGCAUUGCCAGUUUCUCAAAGAAAUAUGAGAUUCUGGCCUACGACUCCAACAUCUCUCAGGUAGACAAUGGAUAAUACACAGUAUCACAAUAAUCUUUCCCACUUCUGCAGUAAUAUUAUACACAGUAUCCAAAUGAUGUUGAAGGCUAGCCUUGUUCGUCAAGCUCCUCUGCUUACAGAAUUUCCCAUUCGUCAUGGGAAUCUAUCCUCUAUUUUUUGCGCAACAAAGAUUCUUUAAACUGGCAAUUUAGAAGCCAAUUGGAAUACGCAAUUUAGAAGCCAAUUACGAGUCAAGAGUCUUCCCGUAAGAAGAAUUUGUCAGGAUUUAGUACUAACAAGUUUAGAGUGACUUCUAACAAAAUGAAUAUUCGUAUUUCUUAAUAUAUAGUUAGCUUUAAUUAUCAUGCAUAAGAAUAUAAUAAUUGGAGAUAAUUUUAACACAUAUAAUAAUUGGAGAUGAAGAAAAUGAUUGUUAAAUAUAGGUGUAAAUGUGUAAUUUUUAAUUUUGAUUACCAAUAAUAGAAGAAAUUUUUAAUUUUAAUCUCAGUGCAAAAAGAUUAUCCUAGAAGAAAUUUGGUAGGACCUGCUAUUUAUUAUCCAGCUGGGGACUAACUCUCACUUUAACACUAUUGUUAAUGUAGGUUUGUACAAACAGAAGUAAGGAUAAACCAAAUUGGGUUUGCAUAUUGCCAAUACAUUUCUAACCUGCCUACUUCUUGAUCGUUUGCGAAAUCAAUUAUAGAAAAGAUCAAGAAACAAAAAAAAAAAAAAUAAGAGAGUAAAAUACAGUACAUCAAGUCGUUAACAACAUCACACAAUAUACACAAUGUAGUAUACAAUAAAUAAGGUAAAAUACAAAAAAAAAAAAGAAAAAGAUGCAAUGUCGUCUACAUUCCACAACCAGAGAAAGGGAAGCCACGGUUGCUAUUGCUGCUGCUGCUGCUUGUUAGGAAAGAUUAUAUGUUUUCUUCUUCUCCGCCCACAGCCAGCGGUCUCUCCAUUUCCUAUCAUCUGUGUAGUAACCAAUGAGAAUUUCAGGAAUGUGUGCGAUUCUUCUGUAAUCUUCACUUUCUUCCUUCUGAUUCUCCAACAGCUUCCCUCUCAAUUGAGAACUCAUCUCAUACAAAGUUAGCUCUUGAAGUUGGCUCAAGUGCUGAAUACCCACAGGUAACUCCUCUAGUAAUGGAAGUUGUUCCAGAAAUAGUUUUUGGAGACGAGGCAAUGCACCCUCCUCCACUCUCAUCCAUCUCAACCCUUCCAUUCUCUUUAAGUGCAACUCCUUCAGCUUUAGGAACCCUCCAGCUUUGAAGCACAAUCCUUCUCCCUGGUAAGAUCCACAGAAAUUAAUUUCACCAAAUUGGGCAAAUGUUGGAGGGAUUCAAGCGGAUCCUCCUCACCCUUAACCUGCUCCAGUCCAAAUCUAUCUUACCAAGCCGUGAAGACGAGCUACCCAUUGUGGCAUCUUUUCUAAGCGGCCACACAUAAACAGCGUACGAAGAGAUUGAAGAAACAAAGAAGAAGAAGAAAGAGAAGGAUGAUUUAAAUCGAUUAUCUCAAAAUCAUCACCUUUUCCAAUUGAAUCAACACUUAAUUCCCGAAGACUGGUGAGGUUGGCAAGGGAGGAGCAGAGCUCCUUUCCAUCUUCGCUUCUUAACUUUGUAAUAUAUAGCUCUCUUAAUUGGGUCAGCUUUCCUAUCUCCUUAACUAUUGUAGAUCCACUACUUGCAUCUAUGCAGUUUAAUACUUCUAGGGCAAGAAGCCUCCCAUAUUCGAGGGAGCUUUAAAUCCAUGAUAUCCAUAAUCAUCAUCUGAAGUAUCAACUUGUUGAUAUACUCUGAGAACUCGAAGCUGUUGCAGCUUUAGGAUUUCCAAGGGUAAUUCCCUAACUCUGGUGUUACCCAAAUCCAGAUACUCCAAAUGUUGAAGCUUUCCAAUGCUUUCGGGAUUCUCUCCACUCUCGUACAGGAUAGGUCCAGAUGCUUGAGCUGAAACAAGUUGAAAAUCUCAUUUGGUAUUUCCACUUGACUAUCCAGUUCCAAACCUUUAACAGCUUACUACUCUUGAAAUUUCAGAUAACAACAUUCUAGACAGGAGUGGGUUCGGGGAUCCAAUUGUAAAGAAUGACCGAAGGUGGUCAAAGCAAUAACUUCGUCUUUGUUGGUGGUGCUGGUGUUGUUACUGCUACUACUACGGAGUACUAGACGGCGUACCUUGUCGGACGGCCACAUCGUUGGUUGUCCAUCAAUGACUGUGACCAAGUUUUGUUCCCUUGACUUGAGAAGAAUAACUGCUCUCAAUAGGUCAUGGAUUCGACAAGUGUAGGGUAUUCCUUCGUAAAACACACAGGUCACUUGAAUUAGGUUUCUACUGACGAGUUCACUGAGAUAACCCCAAGCUACAUCUUCAAUACUCAUUCCUUCUCUCCAUUCUACAAACCUUUCAGCAAUCCACAAAUUAAUGAGUCUUCCGCAUCCUAUUUUAUAAUCCUCUGGGUAGAUGCUUAAAUACAACAAGCAUGCCUUUAGAUGCCAAGGCAAAUCAUUAUAACUAAGAGAGAGAAUCUUUUUAACUCUGUCCAGCUUACCAGUGCCUUCUAAUUCACCUCCAAGACUGCGUCGAACCGUCUCCCAUUCCUCUGUUCUGUUUACAUCUUUCAAAGCCAAAAGCCCACUGAUUGCAAGAAUCGCAAGGGGCAAGCCCUCACAUUUAUCCAAUACACCUUUGCAACAUCCAUCAAAUGGCCAGGGCAACUAUUUCCCUUAAAGAUCUUGUUACAAAACAGGGUCCACGAAUCUUCAAAGGACAGUGACUCCAUUCUGUGGAGAUAACCUAGAGAUUCUGUACAAGAGGCAGAGGCUACAUCAGCUUUCCGAGUUGUUAGCAUGACACGGUUGCCGUGGCUACUCUCGGGCAGUGCAAAUUUGAUGGUAUUCCAAAAUUCCACGUCCCAUACGUCAUCAAAAACAAUUGCAUACCUUCCAGCUUGUUGAAGAAAAUCUUUGACAAUUUUUUUCAGCCCAGUGGCGGUCAUAGACUCUAUCGAUUGUGGGACUGGUUUCUUCCCUUCCUCGUGUAACUGCCGAAUCAAGUCUUUCAGGAGGUACUGAAAGUCACAUGUUUGAGAGACAGUUACCCAAGCACGAACUGGGAAAUGCCUUCUGACUUCAGGAUCCUCGUGGACUUUUUUCACUAGGGUAGUUUUGCCGAGUCCUCCCAUACCAACCACUGAAACAACUUUCAGUUGGUGAUCAUCCUCUUCGAGGAGCUCAGAAAUAAGACGUUUCUUGGGCUGGUCAAUGCCAACCAAUUUAGCUUCUUCCACAAGCAGUGCGUCAUCUCUGCUAUAGCGCCAGGUUGUGGUGUUCACAGCCGAAAGUGAGUUGGACGCUGGGGCAGAGAUACCAUAUUCGGAUUGGUAUCUUUGAUGAGCUUCAGAAAUACUUUUGAUUCGGGACUUGAUGCUUUGUAUUUCG